rnacentral:lncRNA from 1 species
UAUUAUAGCACAUUCGAAAAAUAAUUAAAUCGUUCUUAUUUACAUAGUGAAAAUGCAAAUAGCUCAUUCAAAUGUUAAGGAAUUGGAGAGCUGCUGCUGGAGACGAAAGAUGUGAAUUAAACAUCAGAAAAAAAAUUAUGUUCACUAUCUUGCCAGACCAAGCACCGAAAAGCGUCGUAAAGAAAAAUUAGAUAAUUUAGAAGAUAAAGCACGUGGAAUGGAGGCAGAAAGCAAGUAAUGAUAACUCUUUCGACAAACUAAUAUAUAUCAAAAUGCAAUAUCGGCCCUAAUAAAAAAUGAAAAUAAAAAUUCAUUACGAAUACGUGUUAAAGAUAUCCCAAGUAUUAAUGUGACUGAAAUAUUUGAGAUUGAAGAAGAAUUAGGACUCAAAAUCAAUUGGGAGGAAUAAAUGAGAAACCCCAAUACCAAAAAAUACACGCACAAAUCCUAAUACUAAUUGUAAUCACGGAUAAAAAGCAUAAUACAAAUAAAUUACAUGGGCAACUAUUCCAUUGAGAAAUUAAUUAAAUCGUGUAUUAAUAUUUUGUAUACAUAUAUUUUUCUAUAUAUAACUUUUGGUAAUUUAAUUUUCCACUAAUCAUUUUUACUCCAAAAAAUAAUUGAGAAUAUUAUUUAUGUUUUGGUACAAAAUAUUUGAACAAUAUACAAAUUUUCAGUUUAAUAAAUCUAAACAUCUAUUAAGUUAUAAAUGAAUUUAAUGGGUUUAAUUAAUAAAAUUACCAUUAUUAUAUAAAUUGGGUUUAGUAAUGGUAUAUUGGGUGGGUUUGUUGAGUAAAUUUUAAAAUUUAAAGAUGGGUUUAUUUAGUAAAUGAGUUAAGGGAAUAGUUUGUUGGGAUUCACGUAGCCCCACCAAAUUCAAAAGUAAAAUUUUUGAAAAAAAAAAAGCUAUUGAGUUAUUCUUUUAAAAAAAGAAUUAAAAUGUCAAGAAUACCUUUAUUUAAUUUUAUAAUCUUAUUUUAUAGUCAUAUUUUAUUUCCACCUUAACAUAAUUUUAAAAACCUUAACUAAUAAAUUCUAUAUUUUUUUUUAUAAAAGUUAUCAUUAAUAUCCAAACGGCUAAAGAUUUUUUUUUUAAAAAAAAAAAGGAACUAUGCUUACAAAAGUUGUAUACAUUAACAAUAAAUUUAGUCCAAAGAAUAAAGUUAUUCCAAACAAGCACUCCAAUUCAUCUUGCUAAUGAAUCAAGAUGACUGAAUCCUUCUCUAAGCCAAAUCUAUUUUCACUUUUAGGUCAGAAAUUGUCAUUAAAAAAGUGUUUGAUAAAACACGCUCUGGGAACGCUAUUCGUCAUAUGGUUACUCCAAUUUUAUGAAAUCAAUGGGAUUUCAUCAUAUUUAUAACAUUCUUCUUUAAUGUCUAUUCUAACAAAGAAAUCAUAUACAGAGAAAAGGUUUCGUUAAAACUUUUACUAGAAAAACUAACCACAAUUCAUCAUUCAUUUAUAUCUUAAGUAAGCGUAAGAUUUUAUCAUUAAAAUCCCAUCAUGAAAAAACUCAUGGGAGAAAAACUAUAAAAAUUGAAGAAAAAAGAGUAUGGCGUGCAUGUAAAUUAUAUCGAUUUUAUCUAUAUGACAAAUAAGACUCUCUUUUACAAUGGCACGGAUGCUUCAUUGAGUAAUCAUGAUUCUUGCUGGUAGUGCUUUGUUGUAUCAAUCUGCUAGCUAUUCAGCUUUCUUUCUUUCUUUCUUCUUUUUAUUUUUUUGUUUUCAAAUAGCUUGUGGUUGUAGAAAUAUUUCAAUUAAACUAUACUUAAGUACUUAUUUGGUAUAACUUCUUUACUAGCUAAAAGAAUUUUUUUUUUUUUUGGUUUUUUAUAAUUUAAUUAUACUUUAACUAGAGUUUUUGGGAUAAAACAAGUGAUAAUUUCUCUCUAUUAAGAAAAACUCAAAGGGUAGGGUUAUCUCAAUCCACCAAACUAUUUAUGAAAAAUCCACUUAUGAAAAUAGUUUUUAAUUAUUAGAAUGCCUCUAAAUUAAAUUACAAUUAUGGACACUAAAAUAUAGUAAAUUUUUUUUUUAUUUUUUAAAACCGUCUUUACGUUCGGUAUUAUAUCUUUUUCUUAAAAUCUAAAUUGAUAUUUUUUUUAUUUUUGAUUAAUCUCAGAACACGUAUAAAGUGAUUCAUAUUGGUUUUAUACUAACAAACUAUCAUAGCACAUUCGAAAAUAAUUAACUCGUUCUUAUUUGCAUAUGAAAAGGCAAAUAGCUCAUCCAAAUGUUAAAGAAUUGGAGAGCCGCUGCUGGAGAUGAAAGAUGUGAAAAGCAUGGUAAAGAAAAAUUACAUAAUUCUCACUUAGAAGAGGGAGAAAAAAAAAAUACAAUUAGAAUGAGAGGUAGGCAGUAGCCAGUAGCCAGUAGCCACCAUCACCAGUGAAACUAUUUCACAUAAUAGAAGAUAAAGCACGUGUAAAUGGAGGCAAAAAGCAAGUAAUGAUAACUCUUUUCGACACACUAAUACAUAUCAAAAUGCAAUAUCGGUCCUAACAAAAUGAAAAUAAAAAAUUCAUUACGAAUAUGUGUCGAAAUAAGACUCAAAAUCAAUUGAGAGGAAUAAAUGAGAAACUGUAAUACUAAUAAAAUACAUUCACAAAUCCUAAUGCUAAUUAAAAUCACGGAUUAAAAAAAAUAAUAUGAAUAAAUUACAGGCGCAACUGUUUCAUUAAGAAAUUAAUUCAAUCGUGUAUUAAUAUUUUGUACACAUACAUUUUCCAUAUAUAACUUUUGGUAAUUUAGUUUUCCACUUAUCAUUUUUACUCCAAAAAAAUAAUUGAGAAUAUUAUUUAUGUUUUGAUGCAAAAUAUUUAAACAACGUACAAAUUUUCAGUUUAAUAAAUCUAAACAUUUCUCAAGUUAUAAAUGAAUUUAAUGGGUUUAAUUAGUAAAAAUACUAUUAUUUUAUAAAUUGGGUUUAGUAAUGGUUAUUGGGUAUUUAAAUGGGUUUGUUGAGUAAAUUUUAAAAUUUUAAAGUUCAAGGGUGGGUUUAUUUAGUAAAUGGGUUAAGGCAGCAAUUUUCCAAACUACAAUUUUUGGAAAAAGAGGCUAUUGAGUGUUUUUUUUUUUUAAAAAGAAUUAAAAUGUUGAGAAUACCUUUAUUAAUUUUAUAAUCUUAUUUUAAAAAAUUUACCCAAUAAAUUUUAUAAUUUUUUAUAAAAAUUAUCAUUAACAUCCAAACAGCUAAAGAUUUAAAAAAAAAAAAGAAGAAGGGAACUGUACUAGCAAAAGUUAGAUUAACAAUAAAUUUAGUCCAAAGAAUAAAGUUAUAGCUAAAAAGUGCUCCUAUCCUACUUUUCUGUAUUUUAACAAUAAUCUUCCAAUCCGUUUUACAAUGGACUUUAACAAAUGGGCUCAAUCUCUAAACUUCAUUUUCUUUUGCUUACCCAUGGCCAUUAGCCAGAAAGCCUAAAACAAUUUUAGGAUCACAUGUGUAAAUGGAACUCCAAGAUUGAUCAAGAAUUAACAAGACAAGAUGAAGAGAUGAUCUUGUAACUAAGAAUGAAGAAAUUGAAUCAAGACAGUACUCUAGUAAAACCCAGAAAACAGAGCUUGAAGAAUCACGCACAAAGCAGUAAAUUUGUAAAACCAGAAUUGGAGCUUCACUUCUCAAGAGAGACGAAACAGGAUACAAUCUAGCUUUGGUCAACUUCGUUUGGCCACGUCAUAAAGUCUUCCCCCACAGUCUUUCCCGCCAAAACAGAAAAGCUUUAAAAGCCAUUUACCUUCCUGAGUUACUUGCUCCUAUUACAUCAAGGCCCUGUAAGUCUAUAUUUAUUAUUACAAAAGCACCCUUAAACUGAGAUUUGAAGCAUACUUCAACAAUGUUGAAGCGCAUGAUUUCACGGCUAUGUUGCAUCGUCAAUUUUAGUGCUUUACAGUUAAGGGAUAGUUUAAAUUCAUUACAAAGCAUUCGCAAAGAAAUUGUUUUUAAAUGAAACUCCUCGUCUUGACCAGAUUAUUUAUUAUUAUUAAAAAAAAAAUGUUCAAAACUUAGCCAAAGUGAUAAACUCGUAAUUUUUCUACAAAGGGAACAAUUUUGAAAGGUCGGAAAUUCCAUAAUUAUGGUUUUCGGUGAAUUAUUUUAAAUAAAAUUAUAAAAACCAAUAUAAAAUUAUUACCCAGUAAAGACUUUAGAGAGACAAGUGCCCCCAAGAGGAUCUAAGUGAAUAUGCCCCACAAAGAUCACAUGAUCAUUUCUUGUUCUUUUUCUUUUUGACAAUUUUAUCUGUGGUUUCAACUUUUAUGCUUUAUUGUCGUAUCCCGUUGAGGGCUCCGCUGCACCCGUUACAACUUACCCCUAAAUUGCCUCUUACUAACUAAACCGUUAGAGUUUAUGGAAGCGCGUUCAAUGCUGAAUUUUAAUUAUGUCAUCAAAUUUCGUUCAGCUCCUUUAACUCCAUUUUAUUUGUAAUUUCUUCAUAAAAUAGUCAAAGCUUCAUCAAGCUCCUAAUGGACCAUCAUGGCUAGGGGUGCAUUAGAGCCGAACUGAAAUAUGUUAGUUUAGUUCAGUUUGGUCAGUUUAAAUCGAAUGGUUUAGAACAUAUAAACUGAUCAAUUUUAAUUUUGAAUUGAACCGAACCGAAAAUCAAUUGGUUCACUAUUAGUAUUUUUGUAUAAACACGAAUGAUUAGUGAUUAUAAUUAAAUUGGACUAAAAAAAUUCAAAACUAAGGUUAAAAAAAAUUCAAACUAAGGUGGAAAAAAUAAAAUCUUAGACAAUAUAAAAGAAAAAAUAUUAAAAAAUUUUAACCGAAACGAACUGAAUUAUUUUGACUCAGUUUGGUUCAUAUUUGGUUCAAAAUUUUUUAAACCAAACUAAUUUAUUCCCACCCCCUAAUCGUGGCCCUCUAUCUUUAGUCAUUCACCCUUGAGUUUGAUACCAAUUGUUGGGUUUCAAAUGAUUAUACACUCAAAUGGAACCCUCAUAACAAAAAAACUAACAGAAACAAUAAGAACACGAUGUUAAACUCUUAAAUCAAUUGCAAAAAAGCACCCAAAACAGAUCAAUUAGGAAUAGUUAACAACAAAAGAUUUGAUGGUUCAAAAUCAUAAUGUGACCUACUUCCAUCCAAGAAUCAUACUAAUUGCUUUACUAGUUGUCAAAUACAUGAUCACAAGAUUAUUUAUCACUCUAUAGAGAAAAACUUUUUAGAAUAAAUACUCCCCAAUUUUUCUCUUAAUAGUUAUGAAUCAACACCCCUAGAAAGGCUAUUGAUUUACUUUUCCUUAUUUCCUAUGAUCGGUUGCUGCAACUUAAUCCUUGCCAAGCUCCAACAUAGUCCAAACACUGUUCAUGGUGCAUGCAUAGUGCACCUUCAGAAACUUUACAGCUCUUCUUAAAACCUCAGGCCUAUAGAGUGCAAUUUCCCACCUAUAUGCUUAGUCCUCUCAGUUCUCGUGAUGUUUCUGAUUUAUUUAUCGGACGAGUAACACUUUUAGCUGUCAUAAUACAAUGUAAUUGACUUCUGAGCAUGACUUAAUUUUGAGAUCAUUACUUUUAGUUAAAUGAUCUCCAGAGCUUCUACCUAUGUUGUGUUUUUAGACCUCUAUAGUUGAUAAAGCAUGUUCAAGGUGAAGGCUUGUUUUCCAAUCUAUAGUCCAAUUAUAGACUGGAAAUGGUCAGGCUUAAUGCACCUUCAAAAGCUUCACAAUUUGUAUUGAAACCUUAAGCCUUAGAAUGCUACAAAUUUUAAAUCCAUAUACUUAGUGCUCUUAUGAUUUGUUUGAUUUUUUCUUAGAUGAGGAGCAUUUUAGCUAUAGAAUACAUUGUAACUAAUUCAAAGCAAGCCUUAGCUACGAGAUCAUUCAUUCUAGCCAAAUGCCCCCUUUAGAGAUUCUACUAUUGUUGAGUAUUCAGCCUCUAUAUUUGGCAAAGCAAUUACAUGUCGAAGGCUUGCUUGCUUUCCAGUUAACAGCGCAAUUACAUAGAUUAAAGGUGUAACCAGGCAAAGAACUUAGUUAUUCUGCCAAGGUCUCCAACAUACUCCAAAUCCAUAUAACCACCAAACUUCAAUCUUUAGACUCCAUAGAUCAAACCAUAACUUAGUGUGCCUUUCAAUCUCAGGUAACAUUUUACUGUUUUCCACGUCUUGCCAUGUACUUGCUGCGAACACUAACAAUUUGAGAAAUGUUAGGCAUCGUAAGCAGCCGACAACACUCUUCUUCAUUUCUUCAUUGUCAAUUUCCUUCUUGGAACAUUGCUCCAUUGACAAUUUACUGGAAGUAAAUUUCAAUGACAAUUUACUGGAAGUAAAUUUCCUAUGACCCUACAGGUGACUAAUUAACGAGAACUUGACAAUGACAAAAGAAAGUGUAUGAGCUUUGCAGGCUGGCAUGCCAAUAUUGACUGUAUGGUGGAGUCCACUGGGACCACAUCACAUGGUCAGUCUUAUCUCUAUUCCUCAAUUUUCAGUAUUCCAUACAUCAAACCAAUUUCAGUUUUGUUAUCAAUUAUAAUUUCAUUGUUGGUGACGAUUCUGAUUCCUUUCUUUCUGACAAAACGGAACCAUGGUUGCUGUGGGAGAGAUCUUACUCAACGCCUUCUUUCAGGUGUUGUUCGACAGGUUGGCUUCCCGCGAUUUGCUCAGCUUUGUCCGUCAACUUGGAGGCGGGGUCGAUUCCGAGCUCAAGAAGUGGCAAAGAAAGCUGAAGAUGAUUCAGGCGGUGCUCAACGAUGCGGAGGAGAAGCAACUGACUGACGAGGCUGUGAAGAUGUGGCUGGACGAUCUCCAAGACUUGGCUUAUGACGCUGAGGACAUUCUUGAUGAGUUUGCUACUCAAGCUUUGGAAAGCAAGUUGAUGGCGCAAAAUCAGGAUAGCUCUGGCCAGCUUCUCAGUUUCAUCCCGGCUAGUUUGAAUCCGAAUGCUGUUAGGUUCAAUUAUAGCAUGAGGUCCAAGAUUAACGAUAUUACUAGCCGGUUGGAGCAACUCUGCAAAGAAAGAAUCGAACUUGGACUGCAACGGAUUCCUGAAGGGGCAUCAUCAACUGCUGCUGCUGCACAUCAGAGGCCACCCAGUUCAAGCGUCCCACCAGAACGUGAAGUAUUUGGAAGAGAAGAAGAUAAGGCCAAAAUUCUUGAUAUGGUAUUGGCCGAUAGCCCAAGUGAUCAUGCCAACUUUGCUGUAAUACCCAUUGUUGGCAUGGGCGGGAUAGGAAAAACAACUCUCGCUCGGGAGGUCUACAAUGACAAGGCCGUUGGAGAUUCCAAGUUUGAUGUAAAAGCAUGGGUUUGCGUAUCUGACGUCUUUGAUGUUUUGGGCAUCUCAAAGGCACUUCUCGAGUCAAUCACCCGCAGGCCUUGUCUUCUAAACAGUUUAAAUGAAGUGCAGGUUGAAUUGAAAGUAGCUGUGGACGGAAAAAGAUUCUUGUUGGUCUUAGAUGAUGUUUGGAACGAGGACUACAGCUCGUGGGUAGACUUAAAAGCUCCAUUCUUGGCAGCUGCACCAAACAGUAAGAUGAUCGUCACCACACGCAAUUCAAAUGUUGCAUCAAUAAUGGGACCAAUUGAACAUUAUAAUCUCAAGAGACUGUUAGACGAUGAUUGCUGGUCUAUUUUCAAAACGCAUGCAUUGGAGGGUAGAGAUCAUAAUGCACUUGAAAUCUCAGAAUCAUUCCGCAAGAAAGUUGUUGGCAAAUGUGGAGGCUUGCCCCUUGCUGCAAAAACACUCGGAGGCCUUUUGCGUACGACGAGGCAUGAUGCGUGGGAUGAUAUAUUAGAGAGCAAAAUAUGGGAUUUACCUCAACAAAGUGGGGUUCUCCCAGUAUUAAGAUUGAGUUACCAUCAUCUUCCUUCUCAUUUGAAAAGAUGUUUCGCUUACUGUGCAAUCUUUCCAAAAGAUUAUGAAUUCAAUGAGAAGGAGGUGACUUUUUUAUGGAUGGCCGGAGGAAUUAUUCGACAGUCAAGAAGCAAAGAGCGGCUAGAAGAUUGGGGUAGCAAGUGCUUCUAUGAUCUGGUGUCAAGGUCAAUUUUUCAGCAAACAGCAAUCUCUGAUAGUUCUAAAUAUGUAAUGCAUGACCUUAUUCAUGAUCUUGCUGAAUUGGUCUCUGGAGGGACCAUUUUUAGGUUAGAGAAGUCCCCCAACUUGUCGUCAAGGGGAUUUGAAAGAGCUCGCCAUUCUUCCUACGCCAGUGAUUGGUGUGAUGGUAGAAAUAAGUUUGAGGUUUUCUAUGCAAUUGAACAUCUACGAACAUUCUUGCCAUUACGCAUAAGAGGUGGCACUAAUACUAGUUACAUAACUAGAACGGUUCUAUCUGAUUUGCUGCCAAAGUUCGAAAAAUUGAGGAUGCUAUCUUUACAAGGAUACUGUAUUGGUGAGUUACCGAUUCCAUUUGAAGAUCUCAGACUUUUAAGGUUCCUCAACCUUGCUGACACUGACAUAAGAAGUUUACCCGAGUCAACAUGCAAAUUGCUGAACUUGGAAAUUUUGAUAUUAAGAAAUUGUUCCCGCUUGAUAAAGCUUCCACCCAAAAUGAGGAAUUUGAUCAAUUUACGCCAUCUCGAUAUAAGAGGUGCGACGUUGCUGAAGGAGAUGCCAUUCGGAAUGAAAGAGCUGAAGAAGCUUCAAAUAUUGUACAAUUUCAUUGUGGGCAAGGGUGAAACCGCAUGCGGUUUGGAAGAAUUAAAAAGUUUAAACUUUCUUUGUGAUGAACUUUGCAUUGCUGGAUUAGAGAAUGUGAAUAAUCCACAGAAUGCAAGAGAAGCCGCAUUAUGCGAGAAGCACAAUCUUGAAGCACUGACUCUAGAUUGGGGGUCUCAAUUUGACAAUUCUCGAGAUGCAGUAGUAGAAGAGCAUGUACUGGAAAUUCUACAGCCUCAUAAACGUAUAAAAAAAGUGGCAAUCAGGAACUAUAGAGGUGCAAGAUUUCCACAUUGGGUAGGAGAUCCUUUGUUCUCCAAAAUAGAGUUCCUUGAAUUGGAGAACUGUGACAAUUGUGUAUCUUUGCCAUCGCUUGGCCGUUUGAGUUCACUUAAACACCUUGCUGUUAAAGGGCUGAAGAAACUAAAAAGCAUAGAGUCUGAGGUUUAUGGGGAGGGUUUCUCAACGCCUUUUCCAUCAUUGGAGGUUCUAAGUUUCGAGAAUUUGCCAGAAUGGGAGCAUUGGGACACGGAUAUCAAAGGAAAUGUGCUCGUUGAAAUGUUUCCUCGUCUCCAUAAACUUUCCAUUGUGGAAUGUCCCAAACUCUCUGGGGAACUGCCUGAGCUCCUGCCCUCCUUGGAGACACUUGUUGUUAGUAAAUGUGAAAAGUUGGUAGUUCCAUUGUCUCGCUAUCCGAUGCUCUGCAGAUUAGAAGUUGAUGAGUGCAAGGAACUAGCGUGCGGUCGUCCAAUUGAUUCUAAGUUGAUAGAGUCCAUGACUAUUUCAAAUAGUUCAUUAGACGUGAAUGGACGCAAGGGGAUGCUAUAUGAUGGUCCAGCUGGCUCUUCACUGCCAAAGCCCAUGACUACUACAAAUGUUUUGGAGUUUGGAAAAUUAUUGAAGCCCAUGAUUGCUACAAAUGCUUUGGUAAUUGGCAAUUCUGAACAGCUCAAGUCAUGGAGUUUUUUUAUUGAACCAGGGCUACAUUUGCUCGCUCACAAUGAGGAGGUAUCAAUUGAAGAAAGUUGCGUACGUCUUGUUUCGGUUCCAGAGAUCAAUUUCUUUCCCAGAAAUCUGCGCUCUCUUCGAAUUUGCAACAGCACAGCUUUGAAAUCCUUACCCGAGGAAAUGAUGGAAAACAAUUCACAACUGGAAAGGUUGUAUAUCAGAGAUUGCGACUCUCUAACAUUCAUCGCAAGACGGAGGCUACCAGCAUCUCUUAAAAGGCUCGAGAUAGAAAAUUGUGAGAAAUUGCAACGUCUGUUCGAUGAUGAAGAGGAUGCUUCUUCUUCUUCUUCUCCUGCAUCCUCGUCUUCCCCAGUGAUGCUGCAACACCUGAGUAUAGAGAACUGCCCAGAGCUCACCAGUUUAUCAUCGGGUGUCCAAUUCCUUGAGGCGCUUGAAGACCUCGAGAUACAGCAUUGUCGAAAGCUGGAGUCAAUACCGGAUGGCCUGCCCAAUCUUAAAUGUUUACAGAGCAUUUAUAUACGGGAUUGUCCAAGUCUUGUUUCCUUCCCAGAAAGAGGGCUUCCCAACGCCAUUUCAAGUUUUGACAUUUCCAGAUGUGACAAGCUCGAAGCCUUGCCCAAUGAUUUGCACAAACUCAACUCUCUUCGAGGGUUAAGCAUUCUGCGGUGUCCAAAUCUUGUAUCGUUUCCAGAAGAAGGUUUUCCUACCAAUCUAACAUCACUUACAAUUGGAUAUUUCAAAAUGUAUAAGACACUCGUCCAGUGGGGGUUGCACAGGCUUACCUCUCUUCGAGACCUCUGGAUCAUUGGAUGUGAUGAUGAAGCAGAGUGUUUUCCAGACGAGGCGAUAGGAAUGACGCUGCCCACCUCUCUCACUGUACUGGGCCUUACGGGAUUCAAAAAUUUGAUAUCUCUGUCUUCGACGGGUUUUCAGAGCCUCAACUCUCUUCGAUCUUUGUGGAUAUUGGGUUGCCCAAAUCUCACAUCAUUCCCAGAGGUGGGCCUACCAUCCUCACUUUUGGAAUUACACAUUGGAGAUUGUCCAAAGCUUAAAAAAGCGUGCAAAAGAGAUCAAGGAAAAGAGUGGCCCAAAAUUGCUCACAUCCCUCUGGUUUUGAUAGACGGUAAAUUCAUAUACGAUCCAGAAGCAGAGGAGUAGAUUCUACUAUUAAGGUCAGUUGAUUUGUAUUAUCAGCAAUAACAAGCUCCUCCUAUUUGUUAAGGUAAUCACUCACAGAUGAAAUUAUAACUUUUAUCUUAAAUUUAUUGCCAUUGACAGAUGGACGAUUUUUAGUCCAAAGUUUUGUUAUUCACUUCAAUCAAAAUUUUAGAUUGCAGAUUUUUGUCAAUUAUUUCAUUUUUUAUUUUAUUUUAAAGCAGAAUUGGAUUAUAACAUUUGGAGCGCGACGACUCUGAUGCAUGCAAUUAACUGUUUUUAAUCGUUGGAUUUUGAAAUUAAUGAUGGUAAGAUGUGUACUUAUUUUUUCUUCCGGACAACCUUGCCUUCUUUCUUCGGUAGCAUAUCUAAUGAAUAUUUCUCUGUUUAGUUAAGGAUGAAUGCUUGGAGUGGAGUAUUUGAUAACAUUUCUGCCGUAGAUGAAUCCUUGAAGAAAUGCCUGCACUUCCUGAGACCAAAUACUGGUCUGAUUCAAAACAGCACCUGUCCCAGAAAAUAUGAUUCAAGACAAAGCCAUGUUCUGAAGCAGAAAUGAUGCAUUUCAAAUUUUGAAAUGAUGCAGAAAUGAUACAACAGUUGCAGUAUCCGAGGUACCUUUUCCAUUUAACUGGCCUUUAUUUGUUUUGCUUGUGACUUAAGAACACAUCAUUUUCCAGAGAUUUGGAGAAGCAUCUCAAGAUGCUUAACAAACUUGACAAGCUUCAAGAUGCACUUGCUCCCAAGCCUUGAUUCUUCACAAUGGAAAACCUGUGAGUACACUUAUGCCCGCAAUUAUUGUUAAGUGUUUGCAAUUUUGAUGCAGCGAAAUGGUUUGUGGAUGCAAAGCUUUAAAACUGUUAAGAACUACCCUGCAGGCUUGUUGGAUGUUGUAUACUUCAAAAGCCACCAACACCAAGAACUACAACAGCAAGACUAGGUUUGCGUUGCUUCAAUCAGCUGAAAUAAUGAUGCAAAUUGACACUAUCAAGCUGGACUUAGAGACUAGUCAGGUCAAUCAUCCAUUUCAUCAACAGUUAAUGUCAUGAUGGUGGCUAUCAGAGGAAACAAAAGAUCUGUUGGAAUCAAUUCAAACAGUGAGAAGCAUGAGAGGAGCUUUGAUUAUAAAUAGGCUCAAUGAGCUCAUGCUGGUAAGUGGUAAUUAAGAAAUUUGUGAGCUUAGUAUAGUUUCAAUUUUUUUCUGUUUGGGAUAUAGUUGAUAAGUUGAUACUCUGAUUAAGAAGCCUGAUUAUAGUAGCUGACUGUGCUAACUGCGUUCUUUUAUUUUUUAUUUUUUUGGUUUGCUGUCGUUUUUUCUUUUGAUUAUUUGUUCAACAUUAGAUUGAUCUGUUGAAGACUUUGAGGAAGAUCCAGACUUGGAUGCAGGCGUGCAGCUCUUAAUAGGUGAGACCAAAUGAAUGCUUUAACCAUGUUUCUCACUUAUGACAAUGCACGGAUCGAAGGCAUCUGAGUUGAUCCAGAAAAUGAGAUGGAAAUACGUCUCUGUUUUCAUAAAACAGAACAAAUAGAGAUCUCUGAUCACUCCUGAGAAUUCAUUGCAUUGAAAUUUCUACCAUUGCCAAACAUAGAAUAAACUGGGGAUACAUUAGCUUUAGACUCAAUUUUGAGGAGGAAGUUUGUACUUGCAGCCUAUAAAAUCAUAUCCCUGUUGUAUGUUUCUUUGGGAAAUGAAAGAUUCUGUGUGUUCUUUUAUUUCAAGUUUGCUGAAAUCACAUUUGUUUUCUAAGAUGCUUUACAGAAGGUACCAACAUCAUUUUCAAAAAUGCUGGGGUAAGAUACAUCGUGCAGUGCUCCUCAACAUGAGAAUUCCUGGCCGCAUUACCCAUAUGUGGAAUGAUCUGAGAGUACAACCGUGAGAAUGUUGUAAGGAGUACACAACCAGAUGUGAGUAGUUUGAAAAUGAAUUCGCAUGGAAUGAUUUCUUGCCAGUGCAGAAAUGGCUUGGUUCAAAAGUGCUCAGCUUCAUUGACACUCUUCGGUAGGCCUCUCCGUCCUUCCAUUCUUAACUACAAUACUACUCUUGUCUGUCUAGUUAUGGAAUCUCUCUUUUAAUCCUCAAAGUUUGAAUUAUAUUAUAUUGCCUCUGUGUUUCCGCAGAAACUGAGUCAGUUGGUGAUCCUUCAAAACAAGAAAAACCAAAAACAGAUACAGCGCGCGAUAAGAUAAUGAGACAGAUGGCUCCCGUUGCUGCAUGCCACUUGCUUGUGUGCGUAUUGGGACCAUCAUCAACAACACUGAUGUAAACCCAGCUCAAGGUGGGAAGCUAGUUCGAGCUGCAGGGACGUUAACCAAGAUUUUGAGAAAGAACCCACUUCAAGGUAUUGCUUAGUUAGGCUACGUUGUGGAAAUGAGAAAGUGAUUGACCCUAGAUGUCGCGCCACCAUUGGUACAGUGUCUAACCCCAGCCAUGGAGCUAAAAAGCUUAGUAAGGCAGGUCAGAGAAGUUGGUUGGGUCGAAGAGCUGUGGUUAGAGGAGUAGCCAUGAUUCCAGUUGAUCACCCUCAUGUUGAACGAAGCAAAAGUAGCGGUAACAAUGGAAGGUGUUCACUCACACCUUGGGGCAAGCCUUGUAAGUCUGGGAAUUAAACUGCAUCUCCUAAGAAGAAAGAGAAAUCAGCUGUCUGAUAAUAUUGUCCUUUUCUGCUAUUUGGUCUUUUUAACAUUGUUACACUGUUUUUACAUCUUUGAGGUUAGUUUUAGACCAAUUUUUAACUGAUCCAUAAUAAAAAUUGAAGUUUAAUUUUUGAUUAACUUUCACUGGUUUUACUCUUCUGUCACUUCAAUUUAGCAUUGAUUUAAGAUGCUGAAUUCUGUGCUUGGAGCUUGUAAAUUGGAAAGAGAUAUUUUGGGAUAGAAUGUAGAUUUUGUGUUUUGCUUUCUCAAGCUAGUUGUGACUUCUUAAAAGAGUCAAUCCAUGUCUUUAUAUAUUUUUCUUUUGUCUUGAUUCUGUUUCUUCAUACAGAUUCUUAUUUUAUGCUUCACAUACCACAUGAAAGAUGAAAGCUUUUUCUGUGAUUAGAAUUGAAUUGCAUCAUAGUAACUUUAAACCACUGUGACAUUUUUAUAAUAGCAGUCUAAGAUCUCCUUGAAGGAUUCAAAAGCAUUUCAUUCGAUAGUCUUGGCUUCCAUUAUAAACUCCUUUAUAUAGAUUGGUUGGUCUCUGUUAAAAGCAAUGCCUGUUUUAAGUAAUCAAAAUUUGGGGUUAUUUCUGAAGUCUUCUGUAUCAUCUGACUAAAUUACAUGAAAGCACACUUGGCUACAAAAAUACAUUUGGGGUUAUUUCUGAAGUAUUCAAUAACACCUUUUCCCCCUUUUUCCCCCAUGGUGGUUUUUUUUAGUUCUCUUUAUAGGUUUCUGAAGUAAUUCCAACAUAAGCAUUUUUUUCAGAAGCACUUUAGAUGUGUGGCAUUUAGAAAAUCUCAUUCCAGUGUUCACACAGUAUAAAGCAUAGAGAGUUGGAUUCAUUUUAUUUACGUACAUGUGCUAGUGCCCACUGGCAUCCACUUUACUUGUAUCGGUCAAAAGUUUUAUGCAAUACAAUAUUAGCGUCGAGGAGAACGGGUUGGUGUUGGUCUGAAUUCUGAUAUUUGAAUAAAUAUAACAGCUCAUGUGACUCCACCACUUUUUACUUGUUCUGUAGUCUGUACCUACCUCCAUUGUCGGCACUGCCCAUACAAGGUCUUUUAGCUUUUUAAAAAGUUUCAUGAUAUUCCUUAGUUCACAUGGAUUUCUACAGUUUGUAGAAAACCUAAUUAGGGCACAUUUAAUUAAUAUGCAGAAGAUUCUUUUUUCUUGCUCACCAAUAAUUCUUUGUACUUAUUUGAAAGAUGUGUUUCAAAAAAAUUAAAAAAAAAAUAUUUGAAAGAUGAGAAAUCCCUUAGCCGAACGACAAACUCAUCUAUCAGUCCUAUAAAAAAAAAAUAAAUAAAUAAACUCAUCUUUUAGUGGUUUUUUUUUUUUUCACUUGUAUUCAGUCGCACAAGUGAAGAUUGUGGGCAAUUUUUCCCUUCAGUAAAAUUCGAAUAGAUGUUUUUAUUCACACAAAUUUUCGAGCUAUGUUUGGGAAACCCUUAAGACUUUGUUACGAUGAUAUGUAUCUAAGCUUUCAACAGACCGUUGAGGUCUUAUUAUCAAAAUACUAUAAAUUUACAAUUCGAUUUUGAUAAGGACUAGUUUAAUAAUGCUGUAAUUUUUAAAAUAAUUACCGUUUACUGUGUUGUAAAAAUAAUCAGUUAUGAAAAGAAUCAAUUAAAUAUUUGGUAAAUUUUAUUUUUAAAAGUGCUUUGAAUUUUAAAAAUAGUCAUAUGUAUUCAGAAAAUCUCACUUCUAAAAUACUGUAAGAAUGCAAAAAACUUAAAAAGACAAAUGUAUAAAAUUUAUUUACACAUGCACUUAUAAAUAUGUGUAUAUAAUAACAUUUUAUGUGUACAUAUAAUAAUUGAUAACUAAAAUAAAUAUUUUUUUUAUUAAUUAUUUUUUUGUCUCAAUAUAAUUGGUAAUACUUUUUUUAAUCUUCGCAUCCUAAGUUUUUUUUUUAUUGUUUUGUACAAAAUUCAAGGUUUGGACUUUUAUAAAAUGUCCACUCAAAAAUAAAUUGUUUUCUAACUAAGAUUUGUUGCUAAUGUAUAACUCAAAGUAAUACUAGAUAUUUGUAAUUUUAUUUCAAAAUUUUUAUUCAAAUGAUAUGGUAACUAAUGUACAUUAGUUGAUAGCAAUUUUUUUUUUUUUUACAAUGUUCAAAUCAAUCAAUUGCAUCAUCUCACCAUUUUAUCAAUUGCAUCAUCUCACCAUUUUUUUAUGAUGUCGUGUUAUUUUAAACGAAUUUUUUAUUUUUAUAUAAGACAUUCUAUGUUUAACAUCAUUUGCAUAACUUGACCUUUUUUUUUUCCUACAAAUAGUAAGUCAAAUUUACUCACCCUAUUUCUACCUAAAAUCUACCUAACACUCAUGCAUCACUGUAAAACAAAUCCAAAGAUUGCGGUACGUUUUUCUUGGUAAGAAAUCAAUAAUUAGGUCAAGUACUACUACUAAGCGUGCUCAAUUAAUUCUAAAAUACGGUGAUCAAACUCAUACUUCACGCAAGAGGAUAAGGGCUGAACCGCAAUUAGGCAUUAUUCAUCCAAAAUUCAUUGACUGGGCAUUCUUUGCAAGUUGUAGCACGGGACAGCUAAGAUUAGCAAAUGAUAUGGACCAUACGCACCCAUACAUUUGUGACAUGUGAAUCUUGGCAUUAAAGGAAAGGUAAUGCACUAAAAUUUAAUAGCGCCCAACUCUUCAUUGAAUGAUUAUCAGAUCCAAUGAGCAUCCUUUGAUUGGAUUAAUUUAAGUCAAUUAUUGGUGGAUUGGGGCCCGCUUGACUCUACCAAAUCGGGCUCCGCCAUAUCACCUAUUAACGACCACCUGUCCUUAUCAUAAAUAGCAAAUGUCACUUGUUUUAUUUUGUAUUUUACCAAAAGUAAAGUCACUACGAACCCAAAUGAAAGUGACCUCAAUUUUGGGGGUCAUGAACUUUGGAUUAUUAUGGACACAAGAGACAAGCGCAAUGUUUCUCAUUUAUCACUGGAUAAGAUUUAAGUUAUCAACCCAACAUUAAUAAAUUCUGCUUGAGAAGUAAAGUUUGAAGCUUCAUUUUGCGAAUAUUCAAUGGUUAACAUUUAAGUAAUUAACCUGAUAUUAAUCCAAUUAAACUUUUUAUGUAAUCCAAGUCAAAAACAUAUUGAUAAACCUAAAUUAAUCUAAUUGGACAUAUUAUUUCAACUUGAAAAGGUGAAUCUAUCAUUUUUCAAUUAAUUUUGAAUCAAGCUAUGUAAAAUAUAAGCUUAUUAAAGACAUAUUUUUAUCAUGUUAAAAUAUCGAAGUACUUCUUACUCAUUUCGUAAUAACAUUAACAAACCUUUUGGUAAAUUUGACAGUCCAAUCAAUUCAGUUGGUUUUUUGUUAUUGAAACUCCAACAAAAUUUAUGACGAUUAUUAAAAACCCAUUAAAAAAAAAUGAAGGUAACUAUUUAAAAAAUUCUAAUUGAAUUAUUUAACAACUACAUUUCAACUAAAUUGUGUUGCUAAUUAACUUCCUCAACUUAAACUAUAUUUUUCUGAAUUAAUUCAUAACAAAUAAUGUUAGAUAUUUUAUUCGAAUAAUAACAUUCAACAUCCUUAUUCUUUAUGAUUAUUGCAUAAAAACAUAUUUUAUCCAUUUACAUCACAUAUGUUCCUAAAUUGUAUAAGAAAAUCACCAAAUUUACUCUUGUAAGUUACUAUAUCAAUGAACAUGAAAUUCACUAAUCAUUAAAGUCUCGGAAUGACAUCAUGAGAGGGAUUCAGUUACAUUUAUUGAUAGGAUUAGAUAUAUGUCUUCUCAAAUAUUAGUAGGAGCAAUUUAACAGAUGCAGCUACUAAAAAUAUAGAAUUACUUAUCUCGUCAAUAACUAACGAUAUUUUUUAUCUAUGCUCAAUAAAUUGUAAUAUUUGUAGAUUGUAACAAUUGUUAAAAAAAAAAAGCUCCCUGAGACUAAAUGACAAAAGGACUGUUUUGAAAUAGAUAGAUAAAAUAUGCCCUUAUUUGAAAAAAUGUAAAACACUAGGGAUCUAAAUGUUAUUAUAAUCCCAUGCACAAAAAUACCAAAAAUAACUAAUAACAACUAACCGAAAAUCCCAGGCGUCAUAUUCCUUUUUUCCGCGUUUUAAAAUGCCCUCUGAUUCAUUCACAGUCAGACGCUGUCGGCAUUUCUCUUCUCUCCCUCUCUCUCCACGUAUUAAAACAUGUAAAGUACGGAAAAAUUUAAAAAAAUUUUAAAAUUACAUAAUUUAAAAGAUAUAAAAUUAUACGGUUUUAAAAUUUUUUUAAAUUUUUUCGUAUUUUAAAAUUUCGGACUAAAAAAUUAUUAUACGAAUACUUCGUAUAACCGCUUUGCGCUUAAAAUCUGUGCCUAACAAACUCACGAAAUCACUCCUCAUUUUCCUCUCUCCCUCUCCUCCUCUCAUUCCCUUUCAAAUCCUUCCACCACCUUCCCCGCCUCUCUCUCUUUCUCUCUCCCCUCACCGCCACAGCUCAACUUUUCCAUGUAAACCACCACGGGCGCCGUCGUUUCAACCUCCCACUCAUCCGACGUCGUUUUGUGUGAAUAAGAUAACGAUUUAAAUUAAAAUACGAAAAUGGAGAACUUAACGGCGCAGUUGAAGCGAGGGAUAUCGCGGCAGUUCUCGACGGGAUCGCUGCGGCGGAGCCUGACGAGGCAGAUGUCGAGGCAGUCGUCGUUCGAUCCGAGGAGGAAUAACAUGAGGUUUAGCUUCGGGAGGCAGUCGUCGUUGGAUCCGAUACGCAGGAGUCCGGUUCAGGACGAGUUGACGGUGCCGGAGAACCUUGACUCGACGAUGCAGCUGUUGUUUAUGGCAUGCAGAGGUGACGUCAAGGGAGUCGAGGAUUUGCUGAACGAAGGCAGUGAUGUCAACAGCAUUGAUCUUGACGGACGGUUUUGGCGAGAAAUCAAAGAAUUAAGAGACAGUAUUUAGUUAAGCUAAUAGUAUUUGUUCUGUUUAGUACGUCGUUUUACCAACAAGCAUCCCGGCAUUGCACGCAUUAAUAAAUUUUUUUUAUCUGUUUGGACUGAUGGUGGUAAAAAAUUCCACAUACUUUAUAUUAAAAAGGAAAAAGGACAAACACACCCCUAAUGUCAACUUGGAGGGGGGUCGAUUCCGAGCUCAAGAAGUGGGAAAGAAAGCUGAAGAUGAUUCAGGCGGUGCUCAAUGGUGGGUAUGACGGCAAAAAUAAGUUGGAGGUUUUCUAUGAAUUUGAACAUCUAAGAACAUUCUUCCCAUUACACAUAAGAGGUGGCUCCAAAACUGGUUACAUAACUCGUGUGGUUCUAACUGAUUUGUUGCCGAAGUUUAAAAGGUUGAGGGUGCUAUCUUUACAAGGAUACCAUAUUGGACCAAUUCCAUUUGAAGAUUUGAGACUUCAAAGUAUAAUUACCCAAAGUAUAAUUACCCAAAGUAUAAUUACCCAAAGUGUAUACAAUAAAAGCCAAAUUUAAGAAAUUCCUCAACCUUGCUGACACUGACAUAAGAAGUUUACCUGAGUCAACAUGCUCAAUGUUGAACUUGGAAAUUUUGAUAUUAAGAAAUUGUUUCCGUUUGAUGAAACUCCCGCCCAAAAUGAGGAACUUGGUUAAUUUACACCCAGACUCUUUUCUUUUGACAUGGGGUUAACGAUCAAAGUUGGUUUCGUGCGGUAUAUAUUUACAAAUUGAUAGGUAUGCCUGGUAUGACUGCUUAUGCUGGAUUUUAUGAGGUGUGCUCUCCUAAGCAAGGAGAGUGGGUCUUAAUAUGGGCAAGGGUGCAGUUGGUCAGCUUAUGGGGCAGUUUGCAAAGUUACUGGGCUGCUAUGUUGUCGGAAGUGCUGGAAGCAAAGACCAGGUAUACAAACAAACAAUCCGUAUCAGUUGCUUGAUUGUUCCCAUUUUGCUUUCAAAAUAUCUAACUUACAUAAGGAAAAUUUUCACCAUCUCGUCUUUUCUUUGAUUUUGAACGCUAAGAUUGAUCUACUGAAGAAUAGGCUUGGGUUCGAUGAGGCGUUCAACUAUAAAGAAGAUCCUGAUUUGAAUGCAGCCUUGAUAAGGUUAGUAUAUCAGCAAACUACAAAUUAGAAGACAUUUUUUCCUGAAAAUCAAAUAACGUUUCUAAUUUGACAGGUGCUUUCCUGAAGGCAUUGACAUAUACUUUGAAAACGUUGGUGGGAAAAUGCUCGAUGCGGUGCUGAUCAACAUGAAAAUCGGUGGUCGAAUUGCUGUGCGUGGGAUGAUCUCGCAGUACAACCUUGACGAACCCAAAGGCGUACACAACUUGACGCGUCUUAUUUCGAAACGGGUUCGGAUGGAAGGAUUCCUCGUAUCGGAUUACAAUAAACUCUAUCCGAAAUUUCUGGAAAUGAUCAUUCCUCACAUCAAGGGGGGAAAGAUUGUAUACAUUGAAGACACGGCUGAAGGUCUUGAGAGUGCUCGGGCAGCUCUCGUCGGUCUGUUCUCUGGCCGGAAUCUCGGGAAACAGGUGGUUGCAGUUGCUUCUGAAUGAAUGAAGGAUUUGGUUGUUUACAUCAUGCUUCUACUCGUCCAUUUAUUUAAUAAAAUGGUUACGCUCAAUGAGUGUAAUUUUUAUGAUGCUAAAUUAAAUGUGGAAUGUGGCUGCUGGUUUGAUAAUGUUAAAAGUGCUAAAAAAUUUCAUGUUAGGCGCGGUGUGCGUCUGUAUAUCAUUUUUAGGUACGGGCAUUCUAUCUUUUUUUUUAAUUAAUACAGACACAUUCUUAAACUGUAUGGUUUAAGAGAGAGUUAAAAAAAACUUUUACCACAUGGUUUAAAAGCGUAUCCGUAUGGGAAAAAAAUGAAAGUCCAUUGGAGAAGAAUUUUAUAUAUAGUCCAGGAUAUUAAAGUACGGAAAAACUAUAGAGUUUUAAAAACUUAAAAUUUAAAACGUUUAAACUGCACGAUUUAUGUGUUUUUCGAUGUGAUCCCACAUUUUAAAAUUGUGGAUUGGAACAUUUGUCUUUGAGGGAAAAAAAACAAUAACAACAACUUCUUUUGGAGACCGUGGGGCUCAUAUGCAGAUUCAACCCCGAGCUAUACACUGGAUCUGGUGGGCUAGGUUUGAACCCAAAACAAGCUCUAUUCAUUACACGGUUCAGCGGGUUGGUCCAUUUGACGCUUCUAACUUAACAAUUUAAUCAUAAUAAAUUGAAAAAAUAAAAUAAAACCCACGUAUCUAAAUUAUUGUAUUGAGCUAUUGGUGCAGAGAAUAAGUAUAUAUGAGAACAAAAACAACACGAUGUAGUCGCUCGUUUUGUCACUUCUAAAAUCAGGACUUAGAGCAUCACCAAAAGGCUCUUCAAAUAAGAUUUUAUUACUCAUUUGAAGAGCCACAUCAAUAUUUAAAGCUCCAAAAGACACUCUAAUUAAGAUUCUUCAAAUAAGAAUUGAUUCUCUCUCUUCAAAUUUGGAGAGUUAAUUUCUCCCUCUUCAAUUUAUAUUUUAUUACUUUUCAUUAAAGAAAGAGAGAGAAGUGCUUUAAUUGCUAUUGACUUUUCCUUUUAAAAACUAAUUAUAUGAUUAAAAUAAUAUUAACUUAUUUCUAUUUGAAGAGUCUUUUGGAGAAUAUCAUAUUUUUUCACCCUUCUAUUUGCCACAUAGGUAAGCAAAUAGAUAUUUGAAGAGUAAAAUUUAUAGAGGCUUUUGGAGAUGCUCUUAUGAUAGAGCCAUAGUGUUAACAGUACAUCGGUGUAUAAUUAUUUGUAAUGAAAUUAAUUAAUAUGGGUUUUAUGUUGUCUUUGUCAAUAAUCAAUUAAAUUUUUCGUUUUCAUUUAAAUGUUACUGAUCGAUGAAACAUUUGACUGCGUUCAAGUUAUCUUUUAAUUUUGUGAGAUCCACAUUGUUUUUAUUUCAAAAACAUAAUUUUUCAUAUUAUUAAAAAGCUGUUGCUUGGGCCUAGAGAAAUUGGAUUAAUGAAAUACCUUAAGGGUGUGUUUGACACAUUAUAUUGUAUUAUGUUGCAUUGCAUUAUUUUAUUUGGUGUUGCACUAUACUUUACUAAUUUUUUUGCAAUUAAUUUAAAUUACAUAGUUAGCAAAUAAUAUUUAUUAGUGCUUAGAAAAAUACUAAAUAUAGAAGUCUUAAAUUUUAGAAAUUUAACAAUUUUUUUACUAUAAAUGUUAAAAAAUAUAAUAAUUCUUCAUAAAGAUGGAAGCUUACAGCCUUAAGUUUUUGGAAGCAGAGCAUUUAUUUUUUAGUAUCUUCUAAAUAUAUAAUUUUUGAAAUAAAGAUAUAAGCACAUAAUUUAAUCACAUAGUCUUUAAAUAAUAUAACAACAUAAAUAAAUAGUUAAAAUGUGCAAGAUUAGUUCAAAACUCAUCUUAGGAUGAUAUAAUAAAAGUUUAUACACACCACAAGAUAAUCACAAAAUAAUAAAGUGAUAAAAUUAUUAUAACAUAUUCACUACCAAAAUAAAUUAUAUUAAAUAAUCCAAGUGAGAGUUCUGUAGUUUAUAUAAUAAUAUUAUUUAUGUUAUUAUUAUUAAUUUUAAAUUAAUAUUAUCCAAAUUUAUUCAUACUUAAAUAUGUAUUAUUAGUUAUAUUACAUUAUUUUUACAUAUUAAUUAUUGUAAUAUAAUUAAAUAAUGUAAAAUUAUAUUAUAUUUUUAUAUACUAUUUAAGUAUUUAUUAUUAAUUAUAUUCAAUUAUAAAUUUAUUAAUAAAUUAUAGUGCAAAAAAAAAUAGAAAUAAAAAUUAAUAUUGUAUAAUAAAUAACAUUCUGCUCCCAAUUUCUGGAUUUUAAAUUCCAAAAAUAGUAUUCACGUUCGCCACAUUCAAAAAUCCAACCUGGGCUUGGAGAUUCGAUUCAUCUCAUAGAUUAAUUUUAUAAACUAAUGUUUAGUGAAAAAUUAACCUUAAUGGGUCCUCCUCUCCAGGCCUAAUUCUUAAUUUUUUUUUAAAUUUGGUCCUACUUAAGUGGCUUCUAACGUUACCGUGUCUUUAUUUUGUGUACAGUUGUUUUACUAAUUUGUCAUUUAGUGCAAAUAACAGCACUCAACUUGUAAUAUCCAGUAUCCACAAAUCAGCCACUUCGGCCAAGGCCGAAGUGGUGGGCUGCUGCCCUCACAAUGCUUGUGAGGGCAGCGGUUCUAGCCCCCACAAAAGCAUUGUGGGGGCUAAAUGUUCUUUAUAUUUCCAAAAAAAUCCUUCUCCCUUGCGAAAUGCAAGUGGAGUAUGGACAUCCCUCUCCUGUGAGGGGUUAUUUGUCUGGGCAUGUACUUCAUAGAAUUCAUUGUAAUAAUGUAAGUCUCAAUCAUGUAUAUCUGAUAGAAUUCAUUGUAAUAAUGUAAGUCCCAAUCAUGUAUAUCUGAUUGUAAAUAUCAGUGUAAUAUCUCUGCUACAAUAAGCAGUUGUUGUAAAUAUCUUUCAUUGUAAUAAUGUAAGUCCCAAUCAUGUAUAUCUGAUUGUAAAUAUCAGUGUAAUAUCUCUGCUACAAUAAGCAGUUGUUGUAAAUAUCUUUCAUUGUAAUAAUGUAAGUCCCAAUCAUGUAUAUCUGAUUGUAAAUAUCAGUGUAAUAUCUCUGCUACAAUAAGCAGUUGUUGUAAAUAUCUGUGUAAUGCAGUAAUCUGAUGAUUAAUCAGUAUUAAAAAAAAAAAGUAUCCACAAAUCAUGAACUCAUUUUUUAGUUCUUUCAUGUGUACUAACAUUCGUACAAAUAUACAAUAAGUUCAUAAUUUAGUCCAAGUUGACGAGAAAUUCUUGACCCACCCCUAAAUAUCUGUCCGCCAAUAGCGUGAAGUGGCCGGCAUAAAUUUAAAGCAGCUGGGACAUUGUAACUCAUCCAAAGAUUGUAUAACAUCUCUUUUUUGCUUUAUCGUUUUUCUCCAUUUGCAUAGUUUCUUAUCCUACCGCUUUAAAAACAAUUAUUCCUAGAAAUUUUCAUUUAUCUAAUGAAUUUUAAGAAAUUUUUCAGCAAACAAUUUUUACUUUUUUUUUUUUAUCAUUGAUGGGUAAAGAAAAUAUUAAUGAAAAAUGAGGAGUUAUUGGCUGGUUCAACGGAUUAAUUGCAAUGAUAAAUACAGGGAGGAUUGGAUUAUAUGGCAAAUUUUUAUAGUAAAUGUAAUAUAUAUGCUAACGCUUUUUAUUUAUGGAAAAAUAUCUUCCUCUUUUGAGACUUUUCCCACUAAGAAAAUUGGAGGAUACGACCAAAAAAAAAAAAAUAUAUAUAUAUAUAUACUAAUAUUUAUCAUUUAUAGAAAAGUAUCUAUCCCACUUAAGAUUUGCCCCACUAGAAAAGGAAAAACAAAUCCCUCAAAAUAAAAGAGCGAAAUGGAAACAGAACAAAAUUUGAUUUUGUGGAUCUUGUAUUGUGUGAUAAGUCCGGCAUGCAAUUUUGGGCCAGCGUACCGUGCGCAUGGGAGCAUUCACAAAGUAUCUCUCGUCACUAUCGAAAACUUUUAACAGUCAAUACAAAUGCUUCCGUUUCAUCCCAUAAACAAAUAAAAUUCACAUCUGUACACAUCUACUUUUCUUUGCUAGAUAGAGUUCCUCUGCAUUUCCCAAUUGCCUAAAGAGAAGGGGAAAAGAAAAAGAGGGCCAAAAAAUGCCUGAAAUGGUAAGGAACAAGCAAGUGAUAUUGAAGGACUAUGUGUCUGGUUUCCCAAAAGAAACAGACAUGUACAUGACCGAAAGUUCCAUAGAAUUGAAGGUACCAAAAGGUUCGAAUGGGGUUCUUUUAAAGAACUUGUACUUGUCCUGUGAUCCGUACAUGCGACCAAGAAUGACCUACAUCGGAGGAUCUUACGUUGAAUCCUUUAAACCUGGCUUGGUUAGUGCACUCGCUCAUGGCCACGCUUUUCAUUUCCAUGGCUUCUUGCUCUUUUGUUAUAGAAAAUUUAUUUUUGGUUGCAGUUUGGUUCGACUGCUAAAAUCUCGUGCGAUAACUGUAUAAGAUAUCUAGAGUUUGAACUUCUUUCACAUUAGGGUUCAAGGAAGUUAACUUAAAUGAUUUUCAAAAUUUUAAAUGUGUACCAAUGAGUUUAAUUUCAUAGCUUAAACUUAUAUUUUGAUCAUACUCUAACUUUGGACAGGAAAAUUAUAUUUUUCCUUUUGUUCUUUGACUUGGUGUAUGUUGUGUGAAGUACUUGUGCUUGAAAAUUAAUUGCUGACACAGAAAUUUCUAUGAAUGCAUGCAGCCCAUAAGUGGAUAUGGGGUGGGUAAAGUUUUGGAUUCAGAGAAUCCAGAGUUCAACAAAGGUGACUUGGUUUGGGGAAUGACUGGAUGGGAAGAGUAUAGUCUCAUUACGGCUCCACACUUGUUUAAAAUUCAACACACAGAUGUGCCUCUUUCUUACUAUACUGGAAUCCUCGGUAAACUUUUUGUUUGCGCAAUUUAUGUGAGCAAAUUGUGUCUUGUUUUUCAUUAGUAAAUGUUUUUGAUAUCUCGAUGUGAAGGUAGAAAAUUGCAUGUUUUGAGUUUUUGCAUAUUUGAUGGAAACACAGAACUAUACCUGAAUCUUUCAGACCCCCCUUUUCUUUGAAGUUUGAACACUUUUCUUGAAUGUAUCAACUUUAUUUAUGGGGUAUGUUGCCAAAUUGGCAAAUCUAUUCGUUAUAAAACUUUCCUUUGACAGUUAAUCUAAGCAGAUGUUAAUUCUGCAAAUAGAGUGUGCCUUAGUUUAGAUUGAUAGAUUUGUCUCCUUCUGUACAGUAAAAACUUUGAGCAUUUUCGCCAUAUUCUGAUCAAUACACUCCAACUAGUUAGUUCUUGAGGCGUUUUCUGGUUUCGUGGAGUGAGCCAAGAUGUAUACGUUUGCAAAUUGGCAAUGUCUUUUGCUUGAUGGGUUGUGAGUUGAGAGUGUCAAUAGGAAAGUCUCAAAGUGCACAGUGCUCACUUGAGCACCCAUAUUACUUGGUGACCUGUUACCUCAGCAAACAAGACCUCUGUUUUAUGAACUCCAAAAAGUUAUUCUGUUAAAAAGAUCGAGACAGAGGCCAUACUAUAUUUAUUAUUGCCAUAAAAGUGUGAAACAAUAUUCUUUAUUUAAUAUUCUAAACGAUUGAGCCAUUUAGUUAUGAUACUUUGCUGUACUGGGGCUAAUAAUCUAAGUCGGUUCAAAGUGGUAAAUUUAUAAAUUGAUAGGUAUGCCUGGUAUGACCGCUUACGUUGGUUUUUAUGAGGUCUGCUCUCCUAAGCAUGGAGAGUGUGUCUUCAUAUCAGCAGCAUCUGGUGCAGUUGGUCAGCUUGUGGGGCAGUUUGCAAAGUUAUUGGGCUGCUAUGUCGUCGGAAGUGCUGGAAGCAAAGACAAGGUAGGUUAUCUGUGUGAAGUACUUGAUUGUUUCCAUGUUACUUUCAAACAUUUAAAUUAAAAAGGAAAUUUUCAUAAUCUUGCCUUUUCUAUGAUUUUCAAAACCAAGGUUGAUCUACUGAAGAACAAGUUUGGGUUCGACGAGGCAUUUAACUAUAAAGAAGAAGCUGAUUUGAAUGCAGCAUUGAAAAGGUUAGCAUCAAUAAAUGCCUUAGCUUGAUGCAGCUUGAUGAAGUAUGAUACAUAUUUCUGACCAAUAUACUGCGUUCCCUGAUCUCUUACUUGAAAUAUCUUGGUUUGAGAAUCUCAUGCUAAUGCCUUUAACAUUUUGGCAGGUACUUUCCUGAAGGAAUUGAUAUAUAUUUUGAAAACGUUGGUGGAAAAACUCUUGACGCAGUGCUACCCAACAUGAAAAUCCGUGGUCGAAUUGCUGCAUGCGGUAUGAUCUCACAGUACAAUCUUGACAAGCCUGAAGGUGUGCACAACUUGAUGUAUCUUGUUUCGAAGCGGCUUCGAAUGGAAGGAUUCAUUGUUCUCGAUCACUAUCACCUCUAUCCAAAGUUUCUGGAAAUGAUCAUUCCUCACAUCAAAGAAGGGAAGCUUGUAUACGUUGAAGACAUGGCUGAGGGUCUGGAGAGUGCUCCGGCAGCUCUCAUCGGUCUAUUCUCUGGCCAGAAUGUUGGGAAACAGGUGGUUGCUGUUGCUCCUGAAUGAAGAACAAGUUAGUGUUGUAUGUUCGUUUACCCUUUGACACAAAACUUCAAUGUUAAAGAGAGAAUGCUGCUCAUACUGCUUUAUAAAAUAAUCAAAUGAGUGCAAGUUUCAUGAUAUGUGCUGAAUAAAAAUAUUGGAAAUUAAGCAGCUAGCCUAGCUCCUUGUAGUUGCAGUUUGAAUGAUGCUGCUGCACAACCGCUGCCGAAAAAAUCCUUAAUAGAUGAUUAGCGAGGUUUCAAAAAUAAAAAUAAAUGUUUGUGCAAUGUGCCGAAUAUGACAGCCACAAAGAAAGAGCAUACAAAUUGAUUGGUUUUAUGUCUUCUCUAGGAGAAGGCUACAAUACAAGAAAUUGUAUUGAUGGAGCCAUGGACCAAAUUUCUUAUUUAAACUUUUAAUUUUUUUUAUUAAAUUACUUAUGUUAUUAUGGUUUAUAUUUUUAGAAAUUCUUUAGAAAUUAAUACAGAACUAGUAGCAAGUUGAGAAAUCUACUGAAUGGUCAAGAUAUGAUCAUGUUUAUUGAAUUAAAUUGGCAAUCAUCAUUUUGAUAAAUUAUUAUCGGGAUAUUUGAUUCAUCACAGGUGUAAGUAACUAAAUGUGCUAAAGAAAAAAGUUAAUGAGUUGGACGUGUUUAAUAUUCAUUUGUUGUAAUUCUUUUAAUAAUUAUUAUGGAAAAAAAAGUUAUGGUAAAAAAAUUAUAAUUAUAAAAUAAAAAUUAAUAAUAUAUAAUAAAUAAAUUUUUUAAAUAAUAAAUAUAUUAUGAGUUUUUCAUCGUUAAUUUUUAAGUCAAAAUAAUAAAUAUUUACUAAAUAUUUUAAUACCACAACUAAUACCACAACUUUUGAAUUAUAACAGUACAAUGUAAAUGACAGAGGCCUUAAAAAAUAAAAUUACAGUCAAGUUUUAAAACUGUUAAUGAUAUUCAUAAAGGUGCUCGUCGUGUAAAAACACAUGGGACCCAACCAAUAAAUGCUUAUGAACCUCAACUUUCCUCCUCACUGUCCCUGCAAACAAUUCUGAUUUUCUUGUCUGAGCAAAAAACUGAGAAACAAUGGCGGCCGAACAAGAAGCUGUGAGGAAUAAGCGGGUGAUUCUAAGCAACUAUGUGACAGGUUUUCCAAAAGAAUCAGACAUGAAGAUAACAUGUGGAUCAAUAAAACUGAAGGUAGCAGACGGUUUAAAAGAUACGGUGCUUUUGAAGAAUCUUUAUAUUUCUUGUGAUCCUUACAUGCGAGAGCGUAUGAGCAAGCUUGAUAGACCUUCUUUUGUUGAUUCAUUCCAUCCUGGUGAGGUUAGUUCAUCACGACCCAUCUCUUGAUUUUUUUUUUUUUUUUUCAUUUGCUUCAAGUUUUGAUGAGUUUCUGAGGUCAUUUGUACGGUUUUGGAAUGUGAAUACAAUUGGUGAUUUUGGUGCUGUAACUGUCAUUAAUGAUAUGUAGUAAUUCAAUCAGAAUUUGGAUUUAGUGCUGGUAUGAUCUCUGCUCAUUUUUUAAAAUCUUGUGUCCACAUGCAUUUUUAUAAUCUUGUACGGUUGAGAUUGUAUGUAGAUUAAUCUACGUACAGUAUUCUUGUCUAAUGACUAGUAACCACAACCUUAUGAGACGAUCGAAACCAAGCUCAGAUCAAUAAUCCAAUCGAGAGAGGAUCAUAACUCAAGCUUAUCGUGUGUGGGAAUAUUUCGGUUAAAUUGUAAUCAUGAUCAUGAAUCAUGCAGGGAAAAGGGAAGUUGAGGUCAAUUUAUGCACUUGAUGGAAUUAAAGAACCAAUAUUUGAUUUUGGUUUACAUUAUUUCUCAGUAAUGGUGACUUUGUGAUGUUAAAUUUAUGCAGCCUAUAAACGGAUAUGGGGUGGCCAAAGUUUUGGAUUCUACACAUCCAAAUUAUGCAAAAGAUGACUUGGUUUGUGGCUUUAUGGGGUGGGAGGAGUACAGUGUCGUUACAGCUCCGCAGCUUUUGAUUAAAAUUCAGCAUACAGAUGUGCCACUUUCAUACUAUACUGGGAUCCUUGGUAAUGAUUUUUGCUACACAAUAAGAUUUGCUUGUAGUAAUAUCAAUACAUAUGCUGCUUAAUGCUUUCUGAUUUUUUGCCGGCGAUUGUCCAUUUUGCCCUGGAGUCUAUAAUUGAGGGAAUUUACUGAAGGAAUGUGAUUGUUGGGAAUUUGAUUAUUCUAGGUAUGCCUGGUGUGACGGCAUACGCUGGUUUAUACGAAGUUUGCUCUCCGAAGAAAGGAGAAUAUGUAUAUGCAUCUGCAGCAUCUGGAGCUGUUGGUCAGCCUGUUGGCCAGUUUGCAAAACUAGCUGGUUGCUAUGUUGUUGGAAGUGCUGGAAGCAAAGAAAAGGUGCUGUUAUAACAUUUUCAAGUUGUAAAUAAUUUAAUUUCAAAAUUGUCUGAGUUGUACAUGCUUUUUGUUCUAACCAAGCAUCAAAAUUUUGAUCGUGAUAAUUAGCAAGUUCAAUAAUUUUUUUGAAUAUCUUUUCAAUGUAAGGUCGAUUUGUUGAAGAACAAGUUUGGAUUCAAUGAUGCUUUUAACUACAAGGAAGAGCCAGACUUGGAUGCUGCUCUCAAAAGGUCAGCUGCGACAAAUGCUUCAACUAUAAUUUUUCACUUUAAUAUAUAUUACAGAGCUUUGGUAAUUUGGUUGAAGUGCGUGAGUCGAUCCCGAAAUUGUAACUUCACCAGUGUUCUCUGUUUUAAAGAAACAGGAAGUAUUAGAAAUCUGAUUUUUCUUUUAUGGAUAAGCUGAGAAUAAGUGACUGAAUCCAUUGUCUGGUUAAAAAUGUUUACAUGUGUUAAUAUGAACUAUCCUUGUUUAGUAAUUGGAUAGUUUGAUAACUUUGUGGAGCAUUUGUGUACGAAGUGUCAAAUAAUUUUGAUUGAAAUAAGAACUUAGUGGAUGCAUUCAAUGAUUUUUUUUCCUUUUUUUCUCUCUCCCCAAGAUAUUGAGAGAAUGAUUGUAACAUUUGAGGGAUAAGAUCAAAGUGUCUUUGAGGACACCUCAUUGAUUGAUGAAGAACAAAUUACAGCCGUUAGAUUAUAGUAAAAUUAAAGACAUGAAUAGUAUACAUUUUUUGUGUGAAAAAGUAAGAAGAGACAUUCCUUUGUAGUUUGUACAAAAUUGACUUAAUGCUGAAUGCAAAGUUAACUUAAUAAUUUGUCUUUAAACUAUUAUUAUUAUUGUUUAAUCAACAUUGACUUUGUGGCACCAUCCACCAUCUGCAAUUGAAUAUCAUUAUUGUUUAAUCAACAUGGUGGAGUCCACUGGAACCACACCACAUGGUCAGUCUUAUCUCUAUUCCUCAAUUUUCAAUAUUCCAUACAUCCAACCAAUUUCAGGUUUGUUAGCAAUUAUAAGUUCAUUGUUGGUGACGAUUCUGAUUCCUUUCUUUCUCAUAAAACGGAACCAUGGUUGCUUUUGGAGAGAUCUUACUCAACGCCUUCUUUCAGGUGUUGUUUGAUAGGUUGGCUUCUGGUAAUUUUCUCAGCUUUGUGCGUCAACUCCAAGGCGGGGUUGAUUGGGAACUCAAAAAGUGGGAGAAAAAGCUGAAGAUGAUUCAGGCUGUGCUCUGCGAUGCAGAGGAGAAGCAACUGAUCGACGAGGCUGUGCAGAUGUGGCUGGACGAACUCCAAGACUUGGUUUAUGACGCUGAGGACAUUCUUGAUGAGUUUGCUACUCAAGCUUUGGAAAGCGAGUUGAUGGCGCAAAAUCAGGAUAGCUCUGGCCAGCUUCUCAGUUUCAUCCCAGCUAGUUUGAAUCCGAAUGCUAUUAUGUUCAAUUAUAGCAUGGGGUCCAAGAUUAAAGAUAUUACUAGCCGGUUGGAGCACCUUGGCCAAGAAAGAAUUGAACUUGGUCUGCAACGGAUUACUGGAGGGGCAUCAUCAUCUACUGCUGCUGCACACCAGAGGCCACCCAGUUCAAGUGUCCCAACAGAGCGUGAAGUAUUUGGAAGAGAAGAAGAUAAGGCCAAAAUUCUUGAUAUGGUAGUGACCGAUACCCCCAGUGAUCAUGCCAACUUUGUUGUAAUACCCAUUGUUGGCAUGGGCGGGAUAGGAAAAACAACUCUUGCUCGGGAGGUCUACAAUGACAAGGCCGUUGAAGAUUCCAAGUUUGAUGUAAAAGCAUGGGUUUGUGUCUCUGAUGUCUUUGAUGUUUUGGGCAUCUCAAAGGCACUUCUUGAGUCAAUCACCCGCAGGCCUUGUCUUCUGAACAGUUUAAAUGAAGUGCAGGUUGAGUUGAAAGUAGCUGUGGAUAAAAAAAGAUUCUUGCUGGUCUUAGAUGAUGUUUGGAACGAGGACUACAGCUUGUGGGUAGACUUAAAAGCUCCAUUCUUGGCAGCUGCACCAAACAGUAAGAUGAUUGUCACCACACGCAAUUCAAAUGUUGCAUCAAUAAUGGGACCAAUUGAACAUUAUAAUCUCAAGAGACUGUUAGAUGAUGAUUGCUGGUCCAUUUUCAUACAGCAUGCACUUGAAUCUAGAGAUCUUAACGCACAUCAAAUUUCAGAAUCAUUCCGCAAGAAAGUUGUUGGCAAGUGUGGAGGCUUGCCCCUGGCAGCAAAAACACUAGGGGGCCUUCUGCGUACUACGAGGCAUGAUGCAUGGGACGAUAUAUUAGAUAGCAAAAUAUGGGAUUUACCUCAACAAAGUCGCGUUCUCCCUGUGUUAAGAUUGAGUUACCACCAUCUUCCGUCUCAUUUGAAAAGAUGUUUCGCUUAUUGUGCAAUCUUUCCAAAAGAUUAUGAAUUCAAUGAGAAGGAGCUGACUUUCUUAUGGAUGGCUGGAGGAAUUAUUCGACAGUCAAGAAAGAAUGAGCAGCUGAAAGAUUUGGGCGGCAAGUGCUUUCAUGAUCUAGUGUCAAGGUCAAUUUUUCAACAAACCAGCUCGGGCAGUUCUAAAUUUGUAAUGCACGACCUUAUCCAUGAUCUUGCUGAACUGGUUUCUAGAGAAACCAUUUUCAGAUUAGAGGAGGCCAACUUGUCAUCAAGAAGAUUUGAAAGGAUCCGCCAUUUUUCCUAUACCCGUGGUCGGUAUGAUGGUAAAAAUAAGUUCAAGGUUUUCAAUGAAAUUGAACAUCUACGAACAUUCCUACCAUUACACGAAAGACGUGGCUAUUACAUAACUCGAACGGUUCUAUCUGAUUUGCUGCCAAAGUUCAGAAGGUUGAGAAUGCUAUCUUUACAAGGAUACUGUAUUGGUGAGUUACCAAUGUCAUUGAAGAUCUGAGACUUUUAAGGCUCCUCAACCUUGCUGACACUGACAUAAGAAGUUUACCUGAGUCAACAUGCACAUUGUUGAACUUGGAAAUUUUGAUAUUAAGAAAUUGUUCCCGUUUGAUAAAGCUUUCGUCCAAAAUGAGGAAUUUGAUCAAUUUACGCCAUCUUGAUAUAAGAGGUGCGAAGUUGCUGAAGGAGAUGCCAUCCGGAAUGAAGGAGUUGAAGAAUCUUCAAACGUUGUCCAAUUUUAUUGUGGGCAAGGGUGAAACUGCAUCCGGUUUGGAAGAUUUAAAAUGUUUAAACUUUCUUUGUGAUGAACUAUGCAUGAGUGGAUUAGAGAAUGUGAAUAAUCCACAGAAUGCAAGAGAAGCUGCAUUAUGUGAGAAGCACAAUCUUGAAGCAUUGACUCUAGAUUGGGGGUCUCAAUUUGACAGUUCUCGAGAUGGAGUAGUAGAAGAGCAUGUACUGCAAAUUCUACAGCCUCAUAAAUGUAUAAAAAAGGUGGCAAUCAAGAACUAUGAUGGUGUAAGAUUUCCACUUUGGAUCGGAGAUCCUUCGUUCUCCAAGAUGAAGGUCCUUAAAUUGGAGAACUGUCACAAUUGUGUAUCUUUGCCGUCGCUUGGCCUGUUGAGUUCACUUAAGCACCUUGCUGUUAAAGGGCUGAAGAAACUAAAAAGCAUAGGGUCUGAGGUUUAUGGGGAGGGUUUCUCAAUGCCUUUUCCAUCACUGGAGAUUCUAAGUUUCGAGAAUUUCCCAGAAUGGGAGCAUUGGGACACCGAGAUCAAAGGAAAUGUGCCUGUUGAUAUAUUUCCUCGUCUCCAAGAACUUUCCAUUGCAGAAUGUCCCAAACUCUCUGGACAACUGCCUGAGCUCCUGCCUUCCUUGGAGACACUUGUUGUUAGUAAAUGUGAAAAGUUGGUAGUUCCAUUGUCUUGCUAUCCGAUGCUCUGCAGAUUAGAAGUUGAUGAGUGCAAAGAACUAGUCUGCCGGACUCCGAUUGAUGUUAAGUUGAUAAAGUCCAUGACUAUUUCAAAUAGUUCAUUAGACCUGAAUGGAUGCAAGGGGAUGCUAUACGAUGGUCCAGCUGGCUCUUCACUGCCAAAGCCCAUGACUACUACAAAUGUUUUGGAGUUUGGAAAAUUAUUGAAGCCUGGAUUUCAGAUAUUCGAAACUUUGGUAAUUGGCAAUUCUGAACAGCUCAAGUCAUGGAGGCAGCAUGGGGAUUUUCCUAAAAAAUACAUGGUCACUGACCAUAGGUUUAAAAAACCAGUACCAGGGCUGAAUAUACUCGCUUCCCCUGAAGAGGUAAAAAUUGAAGAAAGCUGCGUAAGUCUUGUUAUGUUUCCAGAGAUCAAUUUUUUUCCCAGAAAUCUGCGCUCUCUUCUAAUUAAAAACAGCACAACUUUAAAAUCCUUACCCGAGGAAGUGAUGGACAACAAUUCACAACUCGAAAGGUUGUAUAUCAGAGAUCGCGACUGUCUAACAUUCAUCGCAAGACGGAGGCUACCGGCAUCUCUUAAAAGGCUCGAGAUAGAAAAUUGUGAGAAAUUGCAACAUCUGUUCGAUGAUGAAGAGGAUGCUUCUUCUUCUUCUUCUCCUGCAUCCUCGUCGUCCCCAGUGAUGCUGCAACACCUGAGUAUAGAGAACUGCCCAGAGCUCACCAGUUUAUCAUCGGGUGUCCAAUUCCUUGAGGCGCUUGAAGACCUCGAGAUACGGGAUUGUCGAAAGCUGGAGUCAUUACCGGAUGGCCUGCACAAUCUUAACUGUUUACAGAAGAUUAGUCUAGUGAGUUGUCCAAGUCUUGUUUCCUUCCCAGAAAGAGGGCUUCCCCACACCAUUUCACAGGUUGACAUUUUUUAUUGUGAAAAGCUUGAAGCCCUGCCCAAUGACAUGCACAAACUCAACUCUCUUCGAGAUUUAAGCAUAUUGGGGUGUCGAAAUCUUGUAUCGUUUCCAGAAGAAGGUUUUCCUACCAGUCUAACAUCACUUAGAAUUGGAGAUUUCAAAAUGUAUAAGAUACUCGUCCAGUGGGGGUUGCACAGGUUUACCUCUCUUAGACGCCUCUAUAUCGUUGAUUGUGAUGGCGAAGCAGAGUAUUUUCCAGACGAGGAGAUAGGAAUGACGCUGCCCACCUCUCUCACUCAACUGGAACUUUCGGGAUUCAAAAAAUUGAUAUCUCUGUCUUCGACGGGUUUUCAGAGCCUCACCUCUCUUCAAUCUUUGUGGAUCUUCUAUUGCCCAAAUCUCACAUCAUUUCCAGAGGUGGGCCUUCCAUCCUCACUUUUGGGACUAUACAUUUUCAAAUGUCCAAAGCUUAAAAGAGCGUGCAAAAGAUAUCAAGGAAAAGAGUGGCCCAAAAUUGCUCACAUCCCUUGCGUUGAGAUAGACGAAAAAUUCAUAUACGAUCCGGAAUCAGAGGAGUAGAUUUCUGUUAUCCACUAUAACGAUCUCCUAUUAGUUUUAUUUUUUAAAUAAUAAUUUUUCAGUUCUGUUUUCUGUAUAAUUAUAAAUCCUCUGUCGUUAAUUAUUGACAAUGUCACUCACGUGAUUCCGUUUUCACUAAUGAGACUGUAUGUUGAGGCUGUUUGCUUUUUAAUCACAGAUUAAAUUAUAUGGUGUAAGGAAAUCAAAAGAAAAUUAUGCAUAGUCAAAUUCUGAUAUUUGCUAUAUAUUAUACAUUCGAAAGUUUCUCCAGUUUGUUCUCAGAUUACCAUCAUUUUUUGCCUUCACCUAAAAAUAUAUAUAUAUAUAUUUGAGUGGCUUUCCGGUGGAUAUUUAAUCGGAGGCAUGACUGGAUUUUUUUUCACUUCUGUAGAUCUUGCAUUUUAAACUGGCAAAUUUAACUUUAAUUUUAAUACGACUUUGUUGGUGCCUUCUAUUCCAGGAGCUAGAAAGAUGUGUAGUUUUCAGAUAAAGGGGCUUGUGAAUUCUCUAGUAAGAAUCCAAUAAUUUGCUUUUGCACGUUCAUUUUAUUUGUAGAUCCUUGCAUCUGAAUUUGAUCAAUCCAAAAGGAAUUGCUUUUGGACGGAAAAGAAUAGCAGUACCUAUUCGAUGACAUAGUGUAUGGACCCUCACAUGUUAACUUUCAUGAAGAACACAUUUAAGAAAUUUGCAACUUUUUGGUUAGUUAUGUAUCCAAUGUUGUUUUCUGUUUUAGCAUUUGUAGAAUCUACUGUAUUAUAUUUUGGCAGUUACAGUAUCUGAGGUAUCUUUUGCAUUUAACUUGCUUUAUAUGUUUUGCCUGUGACUUAAGAACACCAAUAUUUGCCAGAGAUUUAGAGAAGCAUAUCAAGAUGCUUGGCUAACUUGACAAACUUCAGGAUCCUUCAUUCUUCACAAUGCAAAACUUGUGAGUACUCUUAUGCCUGCAAUUAUUGUGAAAUGCUUGCAAUUUUGAUGCAGCGAAAUGGUUUGUUGAUGCAAAGGUUUAAACUUCUAAGAUUUACCCUGCAGGGUAGUUGGAUGUUGUAUACUCGAAAAGCCACCAACAUCAAGAACUAUACCUCCAAGAUCGGGUUUGCAUUAAUUCAAUCAGCUGAAAUAAUGAUGCAAAUGACACUAUCAGCUGGACUUAGAGACCAGUCAGAUCAAUCAUCCAUUUUAUCAACAGUUAAUGUCAUCAUGGUGGCUAUUAGAGGAAACAAAGGAUGUGUCGGAAUCAAUAUGAACAGUGAGAAGAAUGAGAGGAGCUUUGAUUAUAAGUAGGCUCAAUGAACUCAUGCUGGUAAGUGGUAAUUAAAGAAAUUUGUGCGCUUAGCAGAGUUUCAAUAUUUUCUGUUUGGGAUAUAGUUGAUAAGUUGAUACUCUGAUUAAUAAGCCUGAUUAUAGUAGCUGACUCUAUUAACCAGGUUCUUUUCUUUCUUCUUUUUUGGUGGUUUGCUGUUGUUUUGAUUAUGCUGUAACUACAAGGAAGAGCCGGACUUGGAUGCAGGCGUUCAGCUUUUAAUGGUUAAGAACAAAUGUAUGCUUUAACCAUGUCUCUCACUUAUUACAAUGCACGCAUUGAAGGCAUCUGAGCUGAUCCUGAAAAUGUCAUGGAAAUACUUCUCUGUUUACAUAAAACAGGACAAAUAGAGAUCUCUGAUCAUGCCUGAGAAUUCGUUUCAUUGAAAUUUCUACCAUUGCCAAAAAUAGAAUAAACUAGGGAUACAUUAGCGUAAGACUCAAUUUUGAGAAGGAAGUUUGUACUUGCGGCCUAAAAAAUCAUGUCUGUGUUGUAUACUUGUAUGUUUCUUUGGUAAAUGAAAGAUUCUGUGUUCUUUUAUUUCAAGUUUGCUGAAAUCACAUUUGUUUUCUUAGAUGCUUUCCAGAAGGUAACAACAUCAAUUUCAAAAAUGCUGGGGUAAGAUGCAUCACGCAGUGCUACUCAACAUGAGAAAUCCUGGCUGCAUUAACUGUAUGUUGAGUGAUCGCACAGUACAACCUUCAGAAGCUUGUAAGGAGUAGACAACUAGAUGCGAGUAGUUUCAAUAUGGAUUCGCAUCAAAUGAUUUCUUGCCACUGAUUACUAUAACCUCUAUCCCAAAAUUCUUGGAACUGGUCAUACCAGCUAUGAAGUAUUGUAUGCGUUGAAGAGCUCAAGGCCUUGCAAAAGCUCCGUCAGCCUUUGUAUUGGCAAACAGAUGGUUGUAGUUGCAUCUGAAUGAUAUGAUUAAUAGAUUCUGUAAAAAUGAAUUGUGCCAUACGCUUUCAGAGUUCUGUUAAGAUGUCUUGGUAGUUUUUUAUGCUUGUUUGAUUUAUAUUGCAUUCAGCUAUAAAUCAAAGGUUCAGAACACGAGUAUGUUACUGAUUUCCAAAUAGAAAAAUUGCCUUGUGAUGUUAGUGUCCAUUGUUUUCACAGGAGAUCAGGUUCCUUGUUAAUGAAUCAAGAAGGCAAACGCAUCCAUGUCUGAGUUCAAAUGUGUCUCUUCUAUUUUCUAUUACUGACUCAUUUAUUUUGAUUUCUUCAUUGUGAUUGAACUGGUUUUUUAUUCCAAAUUAGUCAAAACCUCAUAGAGUUAUUAAGUUCUGUUAGCAUUUAAAGACAGAACUACGUAACAAAUGAUUAGCAGGAUUAAAUUACAAUAAAGAAUUAAGUUCUUCAUUGUAAUUGAAUUUGCUUUCCCAUGUUUAUAGAUAUUAUGUUCUGGUUAGUGGUGAUUUCUUGAAGAGUCAAUCCAUUUGUGUUUAUACAUUUUUCUUUUGCCUUGAUUUCUGUUUUUUGGGGAGUUUAUACAGAUUCUUAUUUUAUGCUUCACAUGCCACAUGAAAGAUCAAAGCCUUUUGUCUGAAUAGAAUUGACUUGCAUUGUAGUAACUUUAAACUACUGUGACAUUUUCAUAAUAACAGUCUGAGAUCUCCCUGAAAGAUUCAAAGCAUUUUAUUUUAUAUUAAACUCCUCUACGUGGUUUGGCGGCUCUCCUUUAAAUCAAUUUCGGUUUUAAGUUAUCAACAUUUUGAUUUGAAAGUGUGUUUCAACACUACCACAAGUUCUUUAAAAACUAAAACAAUUUUGAGUCUCCUGUAUCAUCUGAUUGAAAUACAUGAAAGCACUCUUGGCUGUAAAAAUACAGUUGGGUUUAUUUCUAAAGUCUUCAACAACAUUUUCCUUUUUCCCUUUAUCCUCAUGGUUGUUUUUUCAGUUGUUCUUUAAGAGAACACUUAAAGAUUCUCUUUAUAGACUUCUGAAAAUAAUUUCAGCUUAAGCAUUUUUCAAAAGCACUUUAGAUGUCUGGCGUUUAGAAAAUUUUAUUCUGGUGUCACAUAAUAUACGUAGGAAGUUAAAUUUAUUUAUUUAUAAGCAUGUCCCAAUGCCCAGUGGCAUCCUCUUAACUUGUGAUAGUCAGAUGUAUUAUACGAUACAAUAUCAGCUUGACUGUAGCAUAGAGGAGAAUAGGGUUGGUGUUGGACUGAAUUCUGAUCCUUGAAUAAAUAUAACAGCUGCCUGAACCAGCUUAUUUGACUCCACAACUUUAUACUUGUUUUAUAGUCUAUGCCUACCUCCAUCGUCGGCAGCUUACACAGUCUCUUUUAGCAUUUUAAAAAGUUUCAUGAUAUUCCCAUGGACUGCUACAAUUUAUAGAAAACAUAAUUACGGCAUAUUUAAUUACCACGCGAGGAGUCUUCUUUUUUGCGCACCAAUAAUUCUUUGUACUUAAUUAGAAGAUGAGAAAUCCUUUAGCCGAACCACGAACUCACCUAUUAGUGGGUUUUUUUCCACUUGCAUUCAGUCGUUCAAGUGAAAAUUGCGUGCAAUUUUUUCCUCAAGUAAAAUUGGAAUAGAUAUUGUUGAUUCGAGAUUCUGGUUACGCCCUUCCAACGACCAGGAUGUCUGUUCGAUCAACCUCAUCUCGAUCAGGAUCUCUCCUCGUACGCUUUCUUCUCUAAGUAUCCCUGCGUCCACAGAAACAAGUCAGAGCACGCCGGUUGGUUUCCCGGCGUAAACCCUCCGACGCUCAAGUCAGAUAUGAAGGCUCUGGGAACGCUCGCCACAAAUCUUAUGGCUUUUUGGUCGUUUUCCCUUUUUUAGAAUUUCCUUUAUCUCUGUUCUAAUCUCAAAAUUGCUAACCCUUUUACCUUCGUUGGCUACCUUUUUAUAGGUCACUUUUGAACUCGGGCCUCCCCUCCAUUUGCGCUCAUUACCCUCCCACCUCUCAAAAGUGGAUUCCCCUUUUCCGUAGUCGUGGGUGGUUGCGUGGCCCUCGUGCCUAGAUUCUCGGACUGGAAAGCAUGCCUUGCCAACUGUCGUUGACCGGGUCUCCUCGACUCAGCCCUUAGCAGGAAUACAACAGGAAUGGCUUUAUGCUUCUUACAGGAGAUUGGCCUCGCGGAUGACGUGCUCGUGGGUGAGCAGGGUAUUCCUGCUCCUGCUCCUCCGGAUACCAGGCUCUUACGGGACACACCGGUUCGCAGAGCUCUGCCAUCAGAUAUCUGCUCAUCAUGCUUGGUCUCGUCGACGUAUUUCUCCCAAACACCGGUCCCCCAGUUUCUGGUGUUGGGUAAUGUAGUGGACCAGCAGUAGAAACUCGACAGUACUUACUCGCGUGGGAUUGGAAAAGGCUGCCAAGAGUCGUGUCGCAUUUAAUUGCGGAUGAGGUGAUGUGGCAGAGAUCCACCCCUAUAUUUGAAUUUCAAACCGACGGUUACGAGACCCUCGGGAUUUGGUGCUGUUAAAUGCUGGCUAUCCAAGGGUUUUUCUUCCAAUAAGGUAACCCAAAACCUCUCUAAGGGAAAUUAGCCAUUUCCACUGUCUCUGUCCCUGUCUCUCCGGCGAAGAAGUUUCGGCAUAAAAGCCCCCAUCCUUGCCUUUCUCCGACUGAAACAGUACUUCAGGUAUUACUUCUUUCUCCUCGGUCUCGGAUAGUUUGUAGAUAACUUCUUUUUUCUUUGUUUUGCUUGGGGUAGUAGUUGUUGGUGGUGUUUUGGUUAUUACCUAGGGAAUGUCGAAGGGUAAGGAGAAAGUCGUUGAGAUUGAUGACGACGAACUAGGUUUCUUGCUUGGUCUGCUCAUUGAUCCUGCUUUUGACCCCGGGGUCCCCUUAGAACCCAUUAGGUUUAGUGUCGGGACUAGUGCUAGGAGGAUGUCCCCCCAAACAACCUCCAUGAGCGGAAGCAAUGGUGAGGAGAGACCUUCUGGCUCUGAGGACACCUUAAGUGAGAAUGGGGAAGGUGACUCUGGUGAGGUGUCUCCAUCUGGAACAUCACGACCAGAAGAACGGGGUACAGUAGGAGGUAGAGCCUUGUUGCGUGAUUAUGCCAUUGAUUACAUGACGUGCACGACCAUGUUUGACGAGCUCAAUGACCUCCGGCUUAGGUAUAGCAUUCCUGGUGAGAUACCUCUCAAGGUCCCAGGAAAGAAGGAUGCUCCCAGCCGGCCUCCUCGGGGAUACGUUACCCUGUUUCUAGAGAGCUUUAAGUAUGGGCUGAGGUGUCCUUUGCAACCCUACUUUGCCCGGAUACUUAACGGACUAAAUUUACCUCCUGGUCAGCUGAAUCCCAAUGGGUGGAGAGUGCUCUCUGGUCUGUUCAUAUUGUGGGACAGAUGUUGCCAAAGCGAGCCCACGGUUGAUGAGGUGAAGCACCUGUACCAGCUAAAGAGCAGCCCCAAAUAUGCCGGCUGGUACUACUUCCAAUCUAGUACCAAGAGCAGGAAACCCAUAACGGAUCUUCCAACUGGUGGUGGUGGGACUUGGAAGAGGAAAUUCUUUUUUGCUGGGGGUCCUUGGGGUCAAGUUGCACGAAUAGAUGGGAAGGAUUGUCGUGUCCCACCCCGUUUCACGGUCCCAGGUUGCCUGCUCGCUUUAGAUGUCUUGUAUCCAUAACUGUUCUUGCUUUAUUGGCUUGUCUCUAACCAAGUGCCUGUUUGUGUUGUAGUUUCUUGGGGUGUUCAUUUCCCGCUCCAACCUAACCAGUUCAAACAGGUCGAGGCUGUACUAGCCAAUUCCUGCUCGAGCCGCGAACUGCUAACUACUUACAACUUGCUCGAGUCUCGCUUGAUACUUCCUGGCCAUAAGAUGGAGGACGCCGUGAUUGGGGCUCUGAACAGGAAACGUUCUCGACCUCAAACCACGAAGAGGGACCAGAACAAGGACGCCCCUUCUGCAAAGCGGGCCAACAUCGUGCAGCAAGUCUCUCCCUUAAAGACUUUACCUCCUGCUCCCGCCAAAAUUGGGGAAACUAGUGGAGCAGCCACGGAUCCUGCUUCCUCUUCUCCUCUUGUCGGGCCUCGAUCUCGCUUACCUGACAACCGAGCAGAACACUUGGUCCCCUACCUCAAUGAGUUAUCUAAACUCGUGAGCAAGAAGGACCUGGAGGACUUUGACGGCUGCACCUUGGGUGAACUGGUGGGGGCCAUGCAGUAUAGCGCUUUCCACCUCAGCUGCAUGACCACUUAUUACAAGGCUAAGGUUGGCCGCUACGACCGGAAGAUGAAGGAGGAUAUUCAAUCGGCGACGACCAGAGCUGACUUUGCCGAGAAGAAAGCAGGGGAGCUAAAUCUCGAGAAUCUGAAGCUGACAGAGCAAGAAUCACUUGCUUAAGCAAAAGCCGUUACCCUCGAGGAGGAGCUGACCAAGGUCAAGGAGGAUCUGCAAAGGCAGAAGGCUAUGUAUGAGGCUCAGCUCGAAUCUCUCCGCGACUCCUACCGAGCUCAGGUCGAGAACUUGGAGAGGGAGGCCGACAACCAGUACGACCAGGGACUUCGGCAUUCCUAUCGUUGCAUCAUGGCCGUCCUCGGGAAGCAACACCCUGAUCUGAAGAUGGAUGACCUUGCAGCUGGUGUUGCUCAACAUAUGGACGAGGAGGCGGCCAAGGAAGAUGCUAAAGGGGUAGAGCCGAUCGUGAUUGAGGAGGAAAACUCUCCUCCUCGUGCAGUCCCUGCUGAUGUUGGCGAGGCGAGCACCCCCCGGACGCAACUGGUGAUACCCCCCCUGCACCUGAGGAGGUCCAGCCAACCGAUGCUGCUCGGCUUACUGAUCCACCAUCUUCUUGAUAUAUUUCUUGUAUUGUAAUGAACAAUGUUUGUGAAGAUUAUCUCCUCUGUUAAUUAUUAACAAAUUAAUAAAAAUGUUUUUGAUUACUUUCUUGUGUUGUAAUUUUUCGUUUGAGAAUCUGCUCGUCUUUGUCUGGUCGACCAGGUUCUGGCUUGGUACAUGGUUUUGCCACAUGCCUUUGAAAAUUUUUCAAUGCUUGGGAUUCUGCUCGCCUUCUCGUGGUCGAGCAGAUCCUGGCACGCUUGGUUUCUGUCUCGCCAUAAACAGGCUUUGAGACUUGGUGAGCCUUUGCAUGCUUUGGAAAUUUUUCGAUGCUUGGGGAUUCUGCUCGCCUUCGCGUGGUCGAGCAGAUCCUGGCACGCUUGGCUUCUGUCUCGCCAUAAACAGACUUUGAGACUUGGUGAGCCUUUGCAUGCCUUAGAAAUUUUUCGAUGCUUGGGGAUUCUGCUCGCCUUCGCGUGGUCGAGUAGAUCCUGGCACGCUUGGCUUCUGUCUCGCCAUAAACAGGCUUUGAGACUUGGUGAGCCUUUGCAUGUCUUAGAAAUUUUUCGAUGCUUAGGGAUUCUGCUCGCUUUCGCGUGGUCGAGCAGAUCCUGGCACGCUUGGCUUCUGUCUCGCCAUAAACAGGCUUUGAGACUUGGUGAGCCUUUGCAUGCCUUCGAAAUUUUUCGAUGCUUAGGGAUUCUGCUCGCCUUCGCGUGGUCGAGCAGAUCCUGGCACGCUUGGCUUCUGUCUCGCCAUAAACAGGCUUUGAGACUUGGUGAGCCUUUGCAUGCCUUCGAAAUUUUUCGAUACUUGGGGAUUCUGCUCGCCUUCGCGUGGUCGAGCAGAUCCUGGCACGCUUGGCUUCUGUCUCGCCAUAAACAGGCUUUGAGACUUGGUGAGCCUUUGCAUGCCUUAGAAAUUUUCACAAUUUCAAGUGAAUGAAAUUUCUCGACGUUCCAUUAAUUGCAGGAUUCAACUUACAUGAAAUUGUUUGGUCAUAAAAUAAAUAACAGCCAAUACGAACAAAAAGAACUUGAAAAUAUUAACAACUCUUACUGGAAAUAUUUCCUGAGAUGUGCUGUGUUCCAUGGGCGCUUCACCUCGUGGCCAUCCAUGCGAACCAGCUUGUAAGCUCCUGGUCCAACUAGCUGCUUGACUCUAUAUGGCCCCUCCCAAUUCGGACCGAGCACUCUUUGAGUCGAGUCUUUGGUGUUUUGAUUCACUCUCCUUAACAUCCAAUCUCCGACCUUGAACUGCCGUAUGUUCACCUUCUGGUUAUAAUACCGGGCAACCCUCUGCUGGUAAAUAACUGAUCGCUCGGCUGCUUGCUGCCUCUUUUCCGUUAGCAGAUCAAGAUUCAAACAUAUCUGCUCGUCGUUCUCCUGCUCAUUGAAAUGGUUUGUCCGGUGUGUGGUCGUUCCUAUUUCAGCUGGCACGACCGCUUCAAGUCCGAAAGCCAAGGCGAACGGUGUCUCUCCAGUUGCUAUUUUGUGGGUUGUUCUGUAUGCCCAUAGCACACCUGACAGCUCAUCAACCCAUGCACCCUUUUUUGCUCCAAGCCUGGUUUUCAAAAGCCUCUUAAUGGUCUUGUUGGAUGCUUCUACUUGUCCAUUCGAUUGAGGGUGAGCAGGCGAGCAAUACUUCAGCUCUAUCCCGAGGUUCUGGCAGAAAUCCCUGAAGCUGUGAUUAUCGAACUGCCUGCCAUUAUCCGUUACCAAGGCAUAAGGGAUCCCGUAUCGACAGACCAGGUUUCUCCACACAAAGUCCGUCGUUUUCUUCUCUAUAAUCCUGCUAAGGGCUUCGACCUCUAUCCACUUCGUGAAGUAAUCUAUAGCAACUAUUGCAUGCGUUGCUGCUCCUCGUCCCUUUGGCAGCGGGCCGAUCAGAUCAAUUCCCCAUUGAGCAAAUGGCCAAGGGGAGGCCAUAGAGGUGAGCUUCUCUGGUGGUUGGUUGGGGAAUCUUGCAAAACUCUAGCAGCUUACACAUCUCCUUGUCUUCUCCUGUGCAUCCUGGUGCAUUGUCGGCCAGAAAUAUCCCUGCCUUAGAACCUUGUGGGCCAGGGAUCUUCCACCAGAAUGAUUCCCGCAAAUUCCUUCAUGUACUUCUCUCAGUACAUAAUCUGCAUCGUCCUCAUCCAAACAUCGAAGGAAAGGUAGUGUAUAUCCUCGCCGAUACAGCACCCCAUCAAUCAUCGUGUAUCUCGAGGCCUGGGCUCUAAUCUUCCGAGCUCGCAGCUUAUUUGGUGGUAAUACCCUGUCUCUAAGGUAUGAAACUAUCGGGUCCAUCCACGAGCAUUUUUGUUCUAUCCGCAGCACCUUUAAAUUCUGCUCAAUGCUCGGGCUGGACUUCACCUUCAGAGGGAUCGACUUUGGCAUUUUUGGGUCUGCUACCGCUGCCAUCCUGGCCAAAAUAUCUGCUCGGCUAUUCUGCUCCCUCGGGAUUUGUACCACCUCCACCGCUUCGAAUUUCCCCAUCAUCUGCCUGACUAUCUUCAGGUACUGCUCCAUCUUCUCCUCUCUCGGUUGGAAUCUUUCACUGACAUGAUUCGCAACCAGCUGGGAAUCAGUUCUGAUCUUCACUCUAUCUGCUCUCACGGCCUUAGCCAGUUCCAAACCUGCUAUCAAGGCUUCAUACUCUGCCUGAUUAUUUGUUGCUGCGAAUUCUAACUUUACAGCAUAAGAGAUCUCCUCCCCCUCCGGUCCUUCCAGUACAAUCCCUGCUCCCCUGAUGACCCAUCUACAGACAUUUGCCAUACUUGAGCUUCGCCACUGUCUACAAAUCGGCCAUUGCCUGAGCCUUUAUCGCUGCUCGGGGUUUGUAGUCUAUGUCGAACUCGCUCAGCUCUAUAGCCCACUUGACGAGCCGACCAGAAGCAUCUGGCUUGUGCAGAGUUUGACGCAAUGGCUGGUUUGUUAUUACUGAGACUGGGAAUGCCUGAAAAUAUGGCCUCAACUUCCGAGCAGCAACCACAAGGGCAAGUGCCCAUUUCUCCAACAGUGGGUAUCUGGUCUCAGCGUCGAGCAGGGCCUUGCUGGUGUAGUAUAUCGGAUACUAAACUCCUUCUUCCUCUCUCACCAGAACAGAACUGGCGGCCCGAUCCGAUACCGCCAAAUACAGAUAUAACUUGUCCCCAUCCCUCGGUGUGGACAGCAGUGAAGCCUACUGCAAGUAUUGCUUCAAGUUCUGGAAGGCUUCCUCGCAUUCUGGGGUCCAUUCUGUUUUCUUUCCCCUCCUUAUCACUUGAAAGAAUGGCUAACACUUAUCCGUAGCCUUGGAUAUGAAUCUGCUCAACACCGCCAACCUCCCCGUGAGGCUCUGCAUCUCCUUCAGGUUACGAGGAGACCUCAUCUGCACAAUCGCCUGGAUUUUCUCGGGAUUUGCUUCAAUCCCCCUAUGGCUCACCAUGAAUCCAAGGAAUUUUCCUGACUCAACCCCAAAAGCACACUUCUCCGGGUUGAGCUUCAUCUUAUACUUCUUCAAAAGCCCGAAUGUCUCCUCGAGGUGUCUGACAUGUUCCUUCGGGAUUUUAGACUUGGUGAUCAUGUCAUCCACGUACACCUCCAUGGUUUUCCCAAUCAACGGCUUAAAGACUUUGUUCACCAGCCUCUGAUAGGUGGUCCCAGCAUUUUUGAGACCAAAUGGCAUUACUCUGUAACAGAACAAACCCUGGUUAGUGAUGAAAGCCGUGCUCUCCUCAUCCUGCUCGUACAUGGGGAUCUGGUUGUAUCCCGAGAACGCGUCCAUGAAGCUAAGCAGACCGUGUCCAGCCGUUGAAUCUACUAGCUGAUCGAUCUUUGGCAAAGGGAAGCUGUCUUUUGGGCACGCCUUAUUAAGGUCUGUGAAAUCUACACACAUCCUCCACUUGCCAUUUGCCUUCUUUACCAACACCACAUUCGAUAUCCAUUCAGGGUAAUUGACUUCCCGAAUGAACCCUGCUCUCAAGAGCUUCUCCACCUCGCCAUUUAUAGCCUCGUACCUCUCCUGGUUAAAGCACCUCAUCUUCUGCCUUACUCGAGCACCUUUCUUUAUUGCCAGCUUAUGACAUGCUACCUCAGGGUCAAUCUCUGGAAUGUCUUCAUGUGUCCAAGCAAACACAUCUGCAUUAGCCUGUAAGCAUUUCACCAACUCCUGUUUUUGCUCUCCCUUAAGUCUCGACCCGAUUUUGAUUGUCUUUCCCGGAUUCUCUGGUCCCAGGCUUACUGUUUCUAGAUCCUCUACAGGUUCUUGUCUGUCAUUCUUAUUUUCCACUCGGGUAUCGAGGGAUGUUAUCUGCAUUGCUUCUCUUGCUGCCGAGGAGUAGCAGCUUCUUGCGAUCCUCUGGUCUCCUCGUACCACUCCUACUACCCAUUCACCCAGUACUUCAGAGCCAGAUAAUGGUUGGACAGCACCGCUUUGCUCAUCCUCAGAAAUGGCCGGCCUAGGAUCAUCUGGUAAAGACCUUCUUCGUCUACCACCACAAAGUCCAGUAUCAUUGUCCUUUCUGUCGGGAAGCUUCCAAUCGUGAUAGGCAGCUCGACCACGCCUAGAGGGACCAGCUUUCCUCCUCCAAACCAUUUCAAGGAGGUAUUGGUAUAUUCCAACUUCCGGUCUGCUAUUCCCAUCUCCUCCAAGGUUGACUUAAAUAACACAUCAACUGAACUUCCUGUAUCAACCAAUAUCCGGUCAAACUUCUUGCUAGCGACAGUAGCCUUGAUGACUAACGCAUCCUCGUGGGGGUAUAGAAUUCCUUCCUCAUCUUCAUUCGUCCACAUGAUUGGCACUUGCCUGACCCUUGCUCGUUUGGCUGCUGGGGUGUUGAAGAAUACCUCUUUGCUGGUCAUGGCGUAUCUAGCAUAAUUCUUCCUCGACCUGUUGGAAUCUCCGGCCAAUGUUGGGCCCCCAGCUAUAACCCUUACUGCAGGCUGCUCGCGCCUCAAGUUCCUGUCACUCUGCUCCCCUUCACUUGUUGAGGCUACCAUUGGGAAGGUCCCAUCUACAAACUCGUCCAAAUACCGGUUUCUCACCAGAUCUUCAACCUGGGUCUUGAGAUCUCUGCAAUCUGCUGUGGUGUGGCCAUGAGUGCCAUGGAACUUACAAUAGUGUCCCCUAUCCCUCAUGCUGGGUAGCUUUGUUAUUGGAGCAGGGAGGUAUAGCAGCCCCCGAUCCUUUAUGGCCUCGUACACCUCGUCCAGGGACAUCUUCAAGGAAGUAUACCGCCCAUAGUCCUAGUUCUGGUCGAUCAGGUGCACUGCUCUUUCUCUAUUUGCUCCGUUCUGAGUUGGAGGCGGUGGCAGUACUUCUGGUCUGCUCCCUCUACUACUGUGGGGGUGUUGAUGACCACUAUAUGUUGAAUCAUGCCUUCUCCAAGGCUCCCUAGCUGGGGAACGAGGAGGUUGCACCCUGCUGCGCUGAUACUGAGGUGGCCUCUGAUGAGGCUGGUAAGCAGUUACCCUACCUUCUGCUCCACUACCUGCGGCCUGGUGGUCCCUCCUUUUGAUCGGCUCAUUCCCUGGUAAUACUUUCUUCUCUUUCCUCCCCAACCCUUCUAACUGGUCUGUCUUAAUCCGUGCUGCCUUUUCCUCUUCAAUCUCUAUGUCUCUCUUAACCUGCUCGUAUGCAGUUGCAUACGUUUGAACAGCUGGGCUCCUCAAGUUGUACCACAGCCUUCGUAUCUUCACUCCCUCUUUCAAACCCCUUAGUGCCUAAGGAUGGUUGAAGGCUCCCAAAUCAAGGACAGCACGAUGAAACCUCUUGAUGAAUUCCCUAAGGGUUUCUUGCUCCCCCUGCUUCAUGCUUUUCAACUCCAUCAUAUCAUCUUCUGGUGCCAUUGCCCCACGAAACUGCUCUGCAAACUCCUUGCACAUCUGCUCGAAGGUUUUAAUGCUCCCCCGAGGGAGUUUCCUGUACCACUCGCGUGCACGUCCCUCCAGGGAUAGUGGGAACACCCUGCAUCUUUGGGGUUAAGAUAAUCCUUGUACCCCCGUUAUGUCAUUGAAGCACUCUAUGUGCACCAGCGGAUCAGUUCGUCCCGAAUAUCUAAGGUCCGGGAGGCGGAAAUCUCUCGGAAUAACUGCCCUUAUGAUCUCUGCUGCGAGCGGUGAUUCUCCGUCCAGCAUUAUCCUCCAACCAGGAGCUCUGCUCCUUUCUUGCAUGUCGUCAAUUAUCUGCGCUAGUCUGCACACUUCCUCCUCCAACUGCACUGCACGACCAGGGUCACGUGCUGCAACUUGAUCCCGCUCUUGCUCUACAUCAUGCAAGUGUUGUCUCAACUCUGUUUCCUCUACAUUCGCCACCCCGUCGUCCUCGUCAAAAAUCUAUCUUGCUGGGGAUUGCUCUUCCUCUCUAUGAAAUUCUCCCCGCAGAGGUAUGUUACCCCUCUCACCACCAAAUCUCCCGUGGUUUGACUUCUCCUCGUACUAUCGGGACCUGGUGCCACUCCACCACCUCUCACCCUGUCCUCCUGAGUUACCCUUCGUUCACUCCGCAGCUCAUGCAGGAUGGUUGUCAGGGUCUCCAUUUGCUUUUCCAUCCGUUCCAUCCGGUUGAACAUGGUUUUUUUCCCGUGCUUCACUGGCUAUCUCCCUCAGCGUCACGGAAUCGUUAACCCUCAUAUCACCCCCUUGUGCACUACUUCCUCCUGUCUCCAUUGCUUUUCACUUGCUUCACUCCUCUUCUUGCUAUCAACAGAAGCUUUUUGUUUAGCUCCCCACAGACGGCGCCAAAAUGUUGAUGCGAGAUUCUGGUUACGCCCUUCCAACGACCAAGAUGUCUGCUCGAUCAACCUCACCUCGAUCAGGAUCUCUCCUCGUACGCUUUCUUCUCUAAGUAUCCCUGCGUCCACAGAAACAAGUCAGAGCACGCCGGUUGGUUUCCCGGCGUAAACCCUCCGACGCUCAAGUCAGAUAUGAAGGCUCUGGGAACGCUCGCCACAAAUCUUAUGGCUUUUUGGUUGUUUUCCCUUUUUUAGAAUUUCCUUUAUCUCUGUUCUAAUCUCAAAAUUGCUAACCCUUUUACCUUCGUUGGCUACCUUUUUAUAGGUCACUUUUGAACUCGGGCCUCCCCUCCAUUCGCGCUCAUUACCCUCCCACCUCUCAAAAGUGGAUUCCCCAUUUCCGUAGUCGUGGGUGGUUGCGUGGCCCUCAUGCCUAGAUUCUCGGACUGGAAAGCAUGCCUUGCCAACUGUCGUUGACCGGGUCUCCUCGACUCAGCCCUUAGCAGGAAUACAGCAGGAAUGGCUUUAUGCUUCUUACAGGAGAUUGGCCUCGCGGAUGACGUGCUCGUGGGUAAGCAGGGUAUUCUUGCUCCUGCUCCUCCGGAUACCAGGCUCUUACGGGACACACCGGUUCGCAGAGCUCUGCCAUCAGAUAUCUGCUCAUCAUGCUUGGUCUCGUCGACGUAUUUCUCCCAAACAGAUAUUUUCUUAUUGUUGGCACAAAUUUUCCUUUAAGUCAAAUUGGAAUAGAUGUUUGUGAGAUGCCUAGACUUGAGAAUUUGUUAUGAUUAUAUGCAUUAAAGCUUUCGGUAGACCCUUGAAAUCUUAUGAUCAAUGUAUUAGAAAUUUAGAAUUGGGGUUUAUAAGAGCUAGUUUGAUCAUGUUAUAACUUUUAUAAUUAUUGUUGCUAAUUCUGUUAUAGAAAUAAUUAAUCAGUUGUAAAAAUGAUUAGUUAAACAUUUGGUAAAUUUUAUUUUUAAAAGCAUUAUGACUUUUAAAAGCAGACGUACGUACUUAGUAAAUCUCACUUUUAAAAUAUUAUAAGAAUGCAAAAGGUUUAAAUAUAUAUAAAUUUAUAAAAUUUAUUUACACAUGCAUUUAUAGAUACAUGUAUAUAUAAUAAUUGAUAACUAAAAUAAAGAUUUUUAUUUUAUUAAUUUUUUUUUGUUAUCUAAAAAAAGGUAAUAAUAAUAUCUUUAAUGACGUAUUUAUUAAUCAGUAAUCGGAAUGGACUUGAAUCAAAAUGGAGGAAUGGAAAUCGGAAUAAAUUGUUUACUUUAACUAUCAAAAUUGGAAUCGUAAUGAACUGUAUUAUCACUUAUAUAUUUAUUUUAUCUGAGAAUCAGAAUGGAUUGUUUUAAAUUACUAAACUGGCCUUAUUAUUAUUAUUAUCAUUAUUAAAUAAGGUAAAAAGGAAUUUUCAAUUUUUACUGAAGUAAAAAUAUCAAUUCACUUCUCAUUCUCAGCCCUAGGGAAUGGGACUCCCAUUCCACAUUCUAGAAUUUAUGGAGUCCACUCAAAUUUUCAUUCCCAUUCCCCCUCCUUGUUUUGGAAGUAAACAGGUUAAUAGUUCUAUUCUCUCAUUUCUACUCCCAUUCUCAUUCUCAGGUACUAACACACCAAGGUAUUCGGUUCGGUUUUUGCCCAAUAGAACUGAAAUUAUUCGGUUUGGUUUGAUUUGGUUUAAUAAAAAAGCCAAAGGGUUUAUAUUUUUAUGAACCGAAUGGUUUGUGUUCGAUUCGAUUCCAAAAUUGAACCGAAAGCACAAACCAAUCGGUUCACGUAAUUUUAAUUAUUUUUAGAAAAAGAAAAACCAAAACUAAAUCGUAGAAUGUGAUUCCCUAAAAUCUAAAUCCCUAAUUCUCCUAACUAACUAAAACUAAGCACAGAACAGCACAACCACAACAACCUAGCAAGCGCAGCGGUAGCCCCUCUCUCACGGAACCACGCUCACUCUCAAGUAUAGCACGACAAUAGGGCUCUCUCAUGCAAUGAUAGGUAAUUUCUUAGUUUAGAAGGGAAAGUCAGAGAAACAGAGGAAGAAUAUAAGUUGAUUAAAAGGGAAAAGUCAAUUCUUAUUCCAAAAACUUGCUUAGUGCAAGUUCAAUAAGGUCUCUUAAAUAGACCUAUACAUAUAAUAAAAACUAGAAAACUAGAAAAGACGAAAAUCACUUGAAAAUAAAAAGCAUGAUCACUUAAAUGGUAAACAUACAUAACCGCCAUGAACUACAUGCAACCUAAGUCAAAUAAUCAACUGAAGAAACUUGAUCCCCAUGCAUAUUGAGCACAUACCAUUCCCCACCCUUUAGAAACACCUUGUUGGUGCGGUCAAAGUGAGGGUGAGCCUUCGAGAAUCGCCAUCGGUUCCAAUGAGUGUCCUCAAUUGCUGCUCCUAUCCCUUUAACCAGUAUUGAGUUGUACGAAUGGCACAUGAUCUUCAAUCAUGAAUAGUUGCAGCUUUUAACAACAGUGUGAUACAAACAAAUAAAAUAAUUAAAAUUAUUUAUUUAAUUUUAUUGUAUUAGUUAAUUUUGAACUAGUCAAAAGUAGUUGCCCUUAUUUUGUGGAACUACAUGUAAUUAGUAGAGCAUUAUGUGAGAACAUGUUUAGUGUUACUAAUUUUUAGGUUGUAAUCCUAAAUAAGCUUUUAUUAUAUAAAGCUUGAUGUUAUUCAAUAAAAAGGAUCAUGAGUUUAUUAUUUUGGCAACAUAAAAGUUGUAAUUGGGAGUUUAUUGAUUUCUCGAAUAACCAAUACUUAUUUGGAGGUUUGGAUUUCCUUGAAUUAACCCCAUUUGUCAUCUAAUUUUUCUAUUUCAUUUGAUUUCUUCUUAUAAACUUUAGUGUUCGUAUCACAAUGGCCAAGAAUAAGUUUCUCGUCACAAUAAUAACACAACCCUUUUCCACGAUGAGCAUGUGCUUCUUAGUUGGAUAGUUGCUGGAUAGGAGGGGAAGUGAUGUCAUCUGCUAUUUGAUCAACCUUAGGAGGUAGACCUAAGACCCUAACAAAGCUAUUUGGGGUUGGUUGCUAUAUCACCAAAAUAGGGGGUGGUAGAGAAAAGUGACUGGUGCAUUGAGAAAGUGAAUUCCGCUCCUCAAUCAGUCUUGUCACACCAAUGGUGUUAGCCAAGGUAAAGGGCUAUUUAAUCUUGACAUCUAGUUGUAUCUCAUCCUGAAGACCUACAAUAAAACAACCCACAAAAAAUCAUUCGAGUAAGCCAUCAACCUGAUGUAAAAGCUUUUCAAAAGUUUCUUGAUAUUAAGCUAAUAAUGGAAGUCUAUUUCAGGUGCAUCAAAGCCUUAGAUGGGUCCUCAUAAUCCAUUAGUUCGAAUCGUAGAAGGACUGCCUUUGAAAAUUUUGCCUAAGUUAGUAGGCCACAAAAUUUUAUUAACCAUCUAUGCAAUUAUAGAGCAAUCCCCUCCAAAUAGAAUGAUGCCAAUUGUAUUUAUUGUUCUGGGACUACAUUCUCAAAUCCGAAGAAUUGUUCCACCUUAUGAAUCCAAUCAGUCGAAUCUUCUCCGUUGAAAUUUGGAAAGUUUAGUUUGAGAUGGUGGUGAUGGUUGGGAAAGUUUAAGGAGGAAGGUUUUAUGGCUUGGUUAGAGGAUGCUGUAGCCUGUAGGUGCAAAGGGGUUAAUUUCAGAGGCAAUUACGUGUGAGGUUUAUGAUGCACGAAGAGAUUGAAGAUUUCUUGAACCUCAUUACGAAACUCAGCAUUUGAUUGACUUGGGGUAGCCAUAUUUCGAGCAACCUUUGUUUGAUACCAGAUGAUAGGUAAUUUCUUAGUUUAGAAAGGAAAGUAAGAAAAGUAGAGGAAGAAUAUAAGUUGUUUAGAAGGAAAGAGAUAAUUUUUAUUCCAAAAGCAUGCCCAGUACAAAUCCAAUAAUUUCUCUUAAAUAAACUUAUACAUAUACCAAAAAUUAAAAAACUAGAAAAGAAGAAAAUCACUUGAAAAUAGGAACAUGAUCAAUUAAAACGGUAACAUGUACAACUGCCACAAAUCAAAACCAAUCGAUUUUAAAUAGAAUGAAUUGAAAUCAAAUCAAACCAAACCAAACUAAAUCGAACCGAACCGAAAUAUUAGGUUCGGUUCUAAAUUUUGGUUUGAUUUUGGUUCGGUUCUAAAUUUUCGGUUCGAUUCUAACUUGUUGUUUUAACACCACGAUUUCUGUUCGUUGAAAGUAUCUUCCUCGUCGCCCAAAAUUCAUCCCACUUGCAGCUCAUUCUCUCAUGCAAUCCCUCAUCUUCUGUAGUAAUUUGAUUGCUCUGAUAACUAUAAGCAAUAAACCACUGCCCAAGAACUUUUGCCAAGAACAAUUCAAGAUGAAAAUAAGCCAAUGAUUGAUUUAAAGUUCCAAUGAUGAAACGAAACAUUAGCUCUAGGUUAAUGGAGAUUUAACAGAAGAUUAAAAAAAAUCAAGAUUGCACAGCCUCUUUAUACUCUCUUAUGAAAACAAAUCAAGUUCCAAUCUGCUUCAACAACCAGCCUCUUUAUACUCUCUUAUGAAAACCCAGAUUGCACAGCCCUUUGACACGUGUGUAACGGCUUCUAACGACUUGAUUCCUCCCUCACAUGCUAGCUCACGUGUUUUACUUAAGUUUCCUGAAAACGACACAAAGCAAUGCCGUUCUGCCUUAAGCUGAGGAGCCCGUGACUGCACGUGAGUUGUAAGUAAUUCCAGCUGAUCAAAACGCAGCCGUUUUGGGGCUCUGAGUUUUGAAUUCAUAACACUCCAGUCCACAUCUUCCUCACCCGCUAACAUAAACAAAGCACAAAACAAUUCCAAUCUCAGAAUUAAGAUCAUACUCAGACAAAUCCUUAAUCCAAUCAGCGAUCUAUCGUCUACUGCGAGCUAAUCGAGAGUGCCAUCUAAUUCGAGGUGGCUGAGAGACCGUGAGAGUGAGAUGUUGAUCAGAGAUAGAGAGAGUGAGAGUGAGCGUGGUUGCGUGAGUGUGGAAGAAAGGGGCUGCUGCUGUGCUGCGUUUGAGAGUAAGCAUGGUUGCAUGAGAGAGAGAGAGGGGCUGCUGCUAUGCUGUGCUUGAGAGUGAGGGUGGUUGCAUGAUAUCUGCUCAAUAUGUAUGGGAUGAAGUUUCUUCAGUUGGUUAUUUCACUUAAUCAAAAUAAAUUAUAGUAGUGGUUGCAUGCCUGACUUUGGAGGUAAGGCUAGAGGCAAACUUCUACAUUUAUAACUUGUUUCACAACAAAUUACGGUUAUAAAUGAGACUUAAUCCAAAGACGGAAAGAGAGAAAUUUGCUAUACUGUUUAGUAUCCAUUAUUGAGAAAAACACCAAAAUUAACUUUUACCUCUUUAAAAUCACUUUUGAAACCUCCCAAAAGAUAUCUCAAAUGGGUUCUCAAUUUUUUAAAACAUUACUUUUGGCUAAACACCCCAUCCUCCAGUAGAUUUUGAAAAUGUCAAAAUGUAUAAGACACUCAUCCAGUGGGGGUUUCACAGGCUUACCUCUCUUAGAAGUCUCUGCAUUCUUGGAUGUCAUGAAGCAGAGUGUUUUCCAGACGAGAAGAUAGGAAUGACGCUGCCCAAGUCUCUAACUUGUCUGUCCUUUCGAGGAUUCAAAAACACAUUUAAGAAAUUAGCAAUUUGUUGUUAGUCACAGUAUCUGACGUUCUUUUCUUUUAUAGUUUGCAGAAUCAACUGUAUUAUAUAUGUUGUCAUUUGCAGUAUCUGAGGUGCCUUUUGCAUUUUACUUGACCUUUAUUUGUUUUACUAGUGACUGAAGAAUACCAACAUUGGUUAGAGAUUUGGAGAAGCAUCUGAAGAGGCUUGACAAAGUUGGAGAUGCACUUGCUCCCAAGCCUUCAAUCAUCACAAUGCAAAUCCGAUGAGUACUUAUGCCUGCAAUUAUGUAAAAUAUUUGAAAUUUUGAUUCAGCGAAAUGGUUUGUUGAUGCAAAGCUUUAAACUGUUAAGACUUACCCAGCAGGCCUGUUGGAUGUUGUAUCAACUCCAAAAUCCAACAAGAACUAUGGCACCAAGACCCAGUUUUUACCGAUUCAAUCAGCUGAAAUGAUGAGGCAAAUCCCACGUAUUCGAAUCAAUCCAUUUCAUGAACUGUUAUUUUCAUGAUGCUUUCUAUUGGAGUUGAAGAGGAAACAAGGAUGUGUUGGAAUCAAUGAGAACAGUGGGAAGCAUGACUGGAGCUCUGAUUAUAAAUAGGCAUUUUAAAAACAUGUGCUGGUAAGUGGUAAUUAAAGAAAUUUGUGAGCUUAUUCAAGUUUCAGUAUUUGCUGUUUGGAUAAAGCUGAUACCAAGUUUGGCAAAAUCUGUGCUUUCUUUGUUCAAUCGGUGUUAUGGUUAAAGUAGAUGCUCUGAUUAAUAAGCCAGACUACGAUAGCUGGCUCUAAUAAUCGGCUUCCUUUUUCUUGUUUGCUGUUGUAUAUUCUUUCAAUUUUUUUUUCCGCAUUAGGACGAUCAGUUGAAGAACAAGUUUGUGUUUGACGAUGCAUUUAAGGAAGAGCCAGACUUGGAUGCAGAUCUGAAAAGGUUAGCAUGAAUGAAAACCUUCAGAACUGACUGAAGGUUUCUGAGUUGAUCCUAAAAAUGUAGCAGUUGUCUGUUUCAUAAAGCAGAACAAAAACAGAAUAAGAGAUCACUAAUCAUGCUUGAGAAUUCAUUUAAAUAAAAUUUCAAAAAUUGCCAAACACAGCCUAAACUAGGAUGCACUUGCUUAAGAUUCAUUUUCAGAAGGAAGGUUGUACUUGCAGCUCAUAAAAUCAUGUUUAUGUUGUAUGUUUAUUCAGCAAAUGAAAGAUUCCAAGUUUGCUGAAACCAUAUUAUUUUUUUACCAGGCGCCUUCUUGAAGGUAUCGACGUCAAUUUCAAAAAUGUUGGGGAUAAGUUGCUUGAUGCAAUGCUACACAAAUAUGAAGGAUUUCUUGUCGAUGAUUACUACCACCUCGAUAAAAAAAUUCAUGUAACUGGUCAUGCCGGCAAUAAAAGAAGGAAAGGUGGUAUACGUCGAAGACAUAGAUGAAGGCCUCGAGUCCAUCGGCCCUCGUUGGGCUAUUCACUUGUCGGAAUGUCAGGAAACAACUUGUUGAAGUUGCGUGGGAAUUUUAAAACUACCAUAUGUUGUAGAAAUGCACUGAGCCAUGUGCUUUCAGAGCUUUGUGAAGAUGUCUUGGCCAUGUGUUUGAUACAGGUUAUGCUUGUUCGAUUAAAUUGUACGCAGUUUUAAAUCAAAGAUUCAGAACAUGCGUAUGUUACUGGUUUCUAGAAUCCAGAUCAACAAAUGCCUCUAUGUAGAAGUUAAAAUUUUAAAUUUUUUUAAGUAGAGGUGUAGAGUUUCUUUUUUCAAAAAAGAAAAAGUAAAUUGUGGAGGCUAUCUUUAUUUGAUUUUACAAUCUUAUUUUAUUUAUUUCACGACAUAAUUUUAAAAUAUUUAUUUAGUAAAUUAUUAACAUCUAUACCACUAAAGAUUUUUUUGUUAAACGAUCUACUUACAAAGUUAUAUUAAUUAUAGAUUUACUCAAAGAAGCCCUAUUAAAAAAGUUAUAGCAAGUAAAGCUCUCUCUCUCGAAUAGAGAGGCGGGAAUGGAAGUAUUGAGGGGUCGUAAGGACCCAGGUGUUCACUCCUUGGGAGUGUAAAGUAGAUCAUCAACUUUGGUUUUUUAGUUUUAGUGCGGUUGGCUAGGCUCUCUGGGGAAGCAGAGAGUUUUCUCGGAGGAAGGGCUAGGUAGUCAUUAUUGUUUGCUCAUCCUCAUUCAUUAGCUGCCAUGGAUACGGACGAAUUAAUUCGAAAAUACAAAGCAAUAACUAUCCGAGAGGAAGAUAAAGCUAGAGUGACGUUGGAGGUGGACUUGAAAACUAAGAAAGAGGGAAUGCUAGCAGGAUGUUUAAUGGGUAAAGUCCUUCUCUCGAGAGGAGUUAAUAAAGGAUGGAUAAUGACUAUGGGCCAAUACAUCCUUAGCUUCUUUUCCGCUGAGCAGAGAAAUUUUUUGAAGGGUAUAAAAAAUAGCUAUAACCUAUUUACAUUUUAAAUUUGAAUCAACGGUCAAACAUAAUUUUAAAUUUUUUGAAGUAGAGGUGUAGAGUUUCUUUUUUCAAAAAAGAAAAAUAAAUUGUGAAGACUACCUUUAUUUAAUUUUACAAUCUUAUUUUAUUUCUUUUACAAUAUAUUUUUAAAAUAGUAAAUUAUUAACAUCUAUACCACUAAAGAUUUUUUUGUUAAUCGCUCUACUUACUAACACCGGACACAAUAGAUGAGAAAACACAACGUCACACACCCAAGAAAUCACAAGCUCACCACCACAACAAACAACAAAAGGAUACAGAAAAAAAUCCACCACCUAAAGUUGUUAAGCUAAGGAUACAGGGCUUAAAAUACUCACCACUCAAUGGAAUCCACCAAAGAGAUACAGAGUUUGAUAAUAACUCAAAGUUCAUCCAAUCCCCAAAAUUAAUCUCUGUCUUUUGGUUACAACUACAUAAGCUUAAAUAACUUUCUCGGAACAAUCCUCCAAGUAUAGAUAUACUACAGAGAAACCCUUCAAAUGACUUGACUUCAAAGACCAACAUUAAAGCUAGACAUGAAUAAAACAUUGGUAUGCUUAAAACACAACAAAGAGCAUUAAAAAAAAGUCCCAAGUCCAGAAAUAUUCUUCUUGACUCAAAACUGAACAGUCUGCACUUAACUGAAUAUAACUUACUGUAGAAAGCUCCAAAUUUAGAUUAGUAAAAUUCAUUGGAAAGCUAACAGAAAUAUCUUUCCAAUGAUGUAUGGGUCGAAAAUUAAUUCGAUCUCAUGCAGUACAGUUUAAUUCCCAAAGAUUCCCCUUCUGCACAGAAAUUCUGCUUACUUGAUUAAUGUAAGAACUUGAACUGCACUUGGUAUAACUUGAAUACCAAAUAUUUCAAACACCCCUGUGUUACUUACAAAGUUAUAUUAAUUGUAGAUUUACUCAAAGAAGCCCUAUUUAAAAAGUUAUAGCAAAAAAAGUCCUAGUUACCUUUAGUUAAUAAUAAUCUUCUAAUCUGUCUUACAACGGACUUUUGACAAAAGUGUGCUACUCCCACCUCUUCAAAGUCCACCCGACACCACGUCUUCUCUAUUUAAAAUUUUCUAUAGUUGAAAAUUAUAUUUUCUUUUACUUGACGCCCCUCCAAAUUCUAAAACUUAGCUUCGAUGAACUUUCUUCGUUAAAUCUCUUUGCUUUACUUUAUUCUUGUUACUUGAGAAGAAGAGCCAGAGUCUAGAAGAAUGAAAGAAAAUUCAACGAGAUAGAAAUUUAGAAAUUUCAUCCGAUCCUUUUUUUCUUCAAUUUUUUGGUAUUUUGAUUCGUUCAAUGGAUUCUUGAUCAUUAUUCAUUCUUUCUAGUUUCUACCAUGAUUCGGAAAUUUUUCUUAAAAAAACUACUACUCUUGUGUAUUUAAAAAAAAAGGAAAGAAAGAAAAAAGGCAUUAAUAAAGAAUUGUGCACGUAACAUUAUUAGUACCUUGUUGAUUGGUCGUUUGGUCUUCAAGAAAUGUUAGUUGAUAUAUGCUUGAAAUUAUAUUCUGCUUUUUUUUUUCCUAUGUAUUGUUUCCCGUUUGAUUACAUUUCAAACAUUUUUAACACGAAUGAAUGCUUUAACCAUUUUUGUCACUUCAUUAUUACAAUAAGCUGAUUGAAGUUAUCUGCGUUGGUCCUGAAAAUGUAAUGGACACUUCUCUGUUUGAAUAAAACAGGACAAAACAUUGAUAUUUCUACCAUUGCCAUACAUAGUAUAGCCUAGGAAUACAUUUCCAUAAUUAAUAUUUAUUUCAGAAGGAACUUUUCACUUGCAGCUAACAAAAAAAAAUUGGGAGAUGAAAGAUUCGCUGCAUUACCAACACUUCUCUGUUGGUUUAUUACUUAAAAGUUGGGAGAUGAAAGAUUCGCUGCAUUAUUUUAUUCCAAGUUUGCGGAAAUCAUAUUUGUUUUCCCGGCUGCUUUCCUGAAUGUAUCGACAUCUAAGAUGCUUAAAAUGUCGGGGGUAAGAUGCUUGGUGCAGUGCUACUCAACAUGAGAAUUCAUCUUCUAACUCGUUACCUGAUAUUAUUGUCUUCUUGAAAAUUUAAUUAAGCUUAGAAGUCCCUCAACCACAAAAUCAAUGGAGUUUAACUCCAUCGAUACACAACUUUUAAGUAAUAAACCAACACAUGAGUUCAUCUCUAUUGAUACUCAAGUUCUAAGUCCCUUAUUCAAUACUAAAAUCCAUGAGAAUUAAACUAACCGUAGUUUAACAUGUGAUUAACAAAUGUUAAAAGGUUCAAAAAAUACAUCAAUUAUAAAAGAAAUAAAAUCAGCAAAGAGACCACAUCAGAAAUUUCUUAGAUGUCCGAAACUAUUAAAAGAAUUCACAUACCAAAUCAAAAAAAGUAGAAAAUGCUUAAGCUUCUUAAGGUAAUUUGAAGUAUGAAAGUGAAUGGCAUAUAAUCCAGUAUAAAAAAAAAUGGUUUUAGUGCCGUACAAAGAGAAGUUAAUGGUGGUUACAGAAGUGGGGAAAGUUGGGUACAAAUCAGAUAAUGGGAGGCUCCUAAACUUCCUUAAAUCAAUUUUAAUUUCAAAAAUAAAAUAAUAAUAAAUAAAAAAUAAAAAAUAGCAUAAAAGAAAUAAGAUAAAAAUUACUUUUCUAAAAUUGCAUGCAAGUAUACAAAAAUAACAUAUGUUGAUAUUACAUCGAGAAAGGUCCAUCAGCCCUAGUUGGGCUAUUCGCUGCGUAGAAUGUCGGAGAACAACUUGUUGUGGUAGCUUGGGAAGCAAAUGUGAAUGUUUCUUUCUAGAGCGGAUUCCCUGCAAUCUUACUCGACGAAUGAAGUUGUAUCUCUUAAUUGGAAUUGAGAUUGGACAACUGAAGCUUAAAAAUAUAUUACUAAAGUAGUUAGUAAAUAUUAGUUGCUGUAGUGUAGAAACUAACUUGAUUCAAUUUCAUACUUAUAUGAAAAACCUGUAAUAUCUUUACUAUUUUUAUCAAAAUUACUAUUUAAAAAUUGCAACUUCUACACGGUGUCAAAUUUUAUUCCAUAAUUACACAUUUCUUCAUAGCAGUUAUAGUUUAAAAAUUACAAUACUUCAAUACCAAAUAGAGCCUUCAUCGCUGUAUUCUUUUCAAUUGAUCUAUUACAUUUUGUUUUCAAUGGAGUGACGCAAAAUUUGCCUUCUGUCUUAUUGUUAAAGAGGAGAAUUUAGAGUGGCUUUUUGCUGUUAAAAAAUAGCCUAACGUAAGAAUAAUGAAUGAAUAUCCACAAGCUACUGUAUUAUAUGUUGUUAGAGGAUGUAAAAAUGAGGAGACUAAAGAUACAUUUAAAUUUCAAGGAACAUUUAUUAGAAGUAAAUUUCCUAUGACCCUACAGGUGACUAAUUAAUGGGAAAUUGACAAUGACAAAAGCAAAUUUAUGAGUUUUGUAGGCUGGCAUGCCUAUAUUAUAGCAUUGUUCGAUCAACUGCCACACCAAAUGUUUUUGACGAGAAAUAAAAACAUCAAGAUAUUGCCCGCUUGCCGUAUUCCACAUCGUGAAUUGUAUCUCUGUUCCUCAAUUUUCAGUGUUCCAUACAUAAAACCAUUUUCAGUUUCUCUUGUUAUCAAUUCAAUUUCUUGUUCGUGACGAUCUUGAUUCCUUUCUUUCUGGUAAAACGGAGCCAUGUUUGCUGUUGGAGAGGUCUUCCUCAACGCUUUCUUUCAGGUGUUGUUUGACAGGUUGGCUUCUCGUAAUUUGCUCAGCUUUGUGCGUCAACUCCAAGGCGGGGUUGAUUCGGAGCUCAGAAAGUGGGAGAAAAAGCUGAAGAUGAUUCAGGCUGUGCUUAGCGAUGCAGAGGAGAAGCAACUGACUGACGAGGCUGUGAAGAUGUGGCUAGACGAACUCCAAGACUUGGCUUAUGACGCUGAGGACAUUCUUGAUGAGUUUGGUACUCAAGCUUUGGAAAGCAAGUUGAUGGCGAAAAAUCAGGAUAGCACUGGCCAGGUUCUCAGUUUCAUACCGGCUAGUUUGAAUCCGAAUGCUAUUAUGUCCAAUUAUAGCAUGGGAUCCAAGAUUAAAGAUAUUACUAGCCGGUUGGAGCAACUCUGCCAAGAUAGAAUUGAACUUGGGCUGCAACGGAUUGCUGGAGGGGCAUCAUCACCUACUGCUGCUGCACACCAGAGGCCACCCAGUUCAAGUGUCCCAACAGAGCGUGAAGUAUUCGGAAGAGAAGAAGAUAAGGCCAAAAUUCUUGAUAUGGUAUUGACCGAUACCCCCAGUGAUCAUGCCAACUUUGUUGUAAUACCCAUUGUUGGCAAGGGCGGGAUAGGAAAAACAACUCUUGCUCGGGAGGUCUACAAUGACAAGGCCGUUGAAGAUUCCAAGUUUGAUGUAAAAGCAUGGGUUUGUGUCUCUGAUGUCUUUGAUAUUUUGGGCAUCUCAAAGGCACUUCUCGAGUCAAUCACCCGCAGGCCUUGUCUUCUAAACAAUUUAAAUGAAGUGCAGGUUGAGUUGAAAGUAGCUGUGGAUAAAAAAAGAUUCUUGCUGGUCUUAGAUGAUGUUUGGAACGAGGACUACAGCUUGUGGGUAGACUUAAAAGCUCCAUUCUUGGCAGCUGCACCAAACAGUAAGAUGAUCGUCACCACACGCAAUUCAAAUGUUGCAUCAAUAAUGGGACCAAUUGAACAUUAUAAUCUCAAGAGACUGUUAGAUGAUGAUUGCUGGUCCAUUUUCAUACAGCAUGCACUUGAAUCUAGAGAUCUUAACGCACAUCAAAUUUCAGAAUCGUUCCACAAGAAAGUUGUUGGCAAGUGUGGAGGCUUGCCCCUGGCAGCAAAAACAUUAGCGGGCCUUCUACGUACUACGAGGCAUGAUGCGUGGGACGAUAUCUUGGAUAGCAAACUAUGGGAUUUACCACGACAAAGUGACGUUCUCCCUGUGUUAAGAUUGAGUUACCAUCAUCUUCCGUCUCAUUUGAAAAGAUGUUUUGCUCAUUGUGCCAUCUUUCCGAAAGAUUAUGAAUUCAAUGAGAAGGAGCUGACUUUCUUAUGGAUGGCUGGAGGAAUUAUUCGACAGUCAAGAAAGAAUGAGCAGCUGGAAGAAUUGAGCAGCAAGUGCUUUCAAGAUCUAGUGUCGAGGUCUAUUUUUCAACAAACCAGCUCUGGUAGUGCUAAAUUUGUAAUGCACGACCUUAUCCAUGAUCUUGCUGAAUUGGUUUCUAGAGAAACCAUUUUCAGGUUAGAGGAGUCCACCAACUUGUCAUCAAGAAGAUUUGAAAGGGUUCGCCAUUCUUCGUAUGCCCGUGGUAGGCUUGAUGGUAAAUCUAAGUUCGAGGUUUUCAAUGAAAUUGAACAUCUACGAACAUUCUUGCCAUUAUGCAUAAGAGGUGGCGUUACUUCUGGUUAUAUAACUAGCAUGGUUCUCUACGAUUUGUUGCCGAAGUUCAAAAUGUUGAGAAUGCUAUCUUUACAAGGAUACCGUAUUGGUGAGUUACCAAUUCCAUUUGAAGAUCUGAGACUUUUAAGGUUCCUAAACCUUGCUGAUACUGACAUAAGAAGUUUACCUGAGUCAACAUGCGCAUUGUUGAACUUGGAAAUUUUGAUAUUAAGAAAUUGUUCCCGUUUGAUAAAGCUACCGCCCAAAAUGAUGAACUUGAUCAAUAUUCGUCAUCUCGAUAUAAGAGGUGCAAAUUUGUUGAAGGAGAUGCCAUUCGGAAUGAAAGAGUUGAAGAAGCUUCAAACAUUGUCCAAUUUCAUCGUGGGCAAGGGCGAAACUGCAUCUGGUUUGGAAGAUUUAGGAAGUUUAAACUUUGCAUUGCUGGAUUAGAGAAUGUGAAUAAUCCACAGAAUGCAAGAGAAGCCGCAUUAUGUGAGAAGCUCAAUCUUCAUGCAUUGACUCUAGAAUGGGGGUCUCAAUUUGACAAUUCUCGAGAUGUAGCAGUAGAAGAGCACGUGCUGGACAUUCUACAGCCUCAUAAAUGUAUAAAAAAGGUGGCAAUCAGGAACUAUGGUGGUGCAAGGUUUCCACUUUGGAUAGGAGAUCCGUUGUUCUCCAAGAUAGAAUUCCUUGAAUUGGAGAACUGUAACAAUUGUGUAUCUUUGCCAUCGCUUGGUCUAUUGAGUUCACUUAAGCACCUUGCUGUUAAAGGGAUGAAGAAGCUAAAAAGCAUAGAGUCUGAAGUUUAUGGGGAGGGUUUCUCAAUGCCUUUUCCAUCAUUGAAGAUUCUACGUUUUGAGAAUUUGCCAGAGUGGUGGCAUUGGGACACCGAUAUCAAAGGAAAUGUGCACGUUGAUAUAUUUCCUCGUCUCCAAGAACUUUCCGUUGUGAAAUGUCCCAAACUCUCUGGAAAACUGCCUGAGCUUCUGCCCUCCUUGGAGAUACUUGUUGUUAGUAAAUGUGAAAAGUUGGUAGUUUCAUUGUCAAGCUAUCCAAGGCUCUACAGAUUAGAGGUUGAUGAGUGCAAAGAACUAGUGUGCAGGACCCCAAUUGAUUCUAAGUUGAUAAAGUUCAUGACUAUUUCAAAUAGUUCAUUAGACAUGAUUGGAUGCAAGGGGAUGCUAUACGAUAGUCAAGCUGGCUCUUCACUGCCAAAACCCAUGACCACUACAAAUGUUUUGGAGUUUGGAAAAUUACUGGAGCCUGGAUUUCAGAUAUUAGAAACUUUGGUAAUUGGCAAUUCUGAACAGCUCAAGCCAUGGAGGCAGGGAAGGGGACUUUCAAGUUUUAAUAGACCAGAACACCGGCUAAAAAUACUUGCUCACCCUGAUGAGGUAACAAUUGAAGAAAGUUGCGUAAGUCUUGUUUUGUUUCCAGAGAUCAAUUUCUUUCCCAGAAAUCUGCACUGUCUUCGAAUUUACAACAGCACUGCUUUCAAAUCCUUACCGGAGGAAAUGAUGGACAACAGUUCACAACUCGAAAGCUUGUAUAUCAAAGAUUGCCAUUCUCUACCAUUCAUCACAAGAUGCAAGCUACCUUCAUCUCUAAAAAGGAUAGAGAUUGAGAAUUGUGAGAAAUUGCAACGUUUGUUCGAUGAUAAAGACGAUGCUUCUUCUUCUUCUCCUUCAUCCUCGUCUUCCCAAGUGAUGCUUCAACAUCUAAGUAUAAAGAAUUGCCCAGCGCUCUCCAGUUUGUCAUCGGGAAUUCAAUUACUUGAGUCGCUCGAAGAACUUGUGAUAACAAAUUGUCGAAAGCUGGAGUCAAUACCCGAUGGCCUGCACAAUCUUAACUGUUUACAGAAGAUUACUCUAGUGAGUUGUCCAAGUCUUGUUUCCUUCCCAGAAAGAGGGCUUCCCAACGCCAUUUCAUGGGUUGACAUUAGUUAUUGUGACAAGCUUGAAGCCCUGCCCAAUGACAUGCACAAACUCAACUCUCUCCAAACUUUAAGCAUAAUUCAGUGUCCAAAGCUUGAGUCGUUUCCAGAAGAAGGCUUUCCCACCAAUCUUAGAACGCUUAAAAUUGGAAAUUUCAAAAUGUACAAGACCCUCGUCCAGUGGGGGUUGCACAGGCUUUCCUCUCUCAGAAGCCUCUACAUUUAUGGAUGUCAUGAAGCAGAGUGUUUUCCAGACGAGAAGGUAGGAAUGAUGCUGCCCACAUCUCUAACUCAUCUGUCCUUAUUGGGAUUCCAGAAAAUGAUACUUCUGUCUUCAGUGGGUUUCCAAAGACUCACGUCUCUUCAAUCUUUGAAGAUAUGGAAUUGCCCAAAUCUCACGUUAUUUCCAGAGGUGGGCCUUCCAUCCUCACUUUUGGAUUUAUACAUUAACAAUUGUCCUAGGCUUAAAAAGGUGUGCAAAAGGGACCAAGGAAAAGAGUGGCCCAAAAUUGCUCACAUCCCUUGGGUUGUGAUGGAUGGAAAAUUCAUAUACGAUCCAGAAUUGGAGGUGUAGAUUCUAUUAUUAAAGUCGGUUGAUUUAUAUUAUCCACUAUAACAAUCUCCUAUUAGUUUUUUUUUAAUGAAAAAAAUUGCAGUUCUGUAUAAUUUAAAAUAUAUAUAUUAAUCCUCUGCCCUUAAUUGAAAAUGCCACUCACUUGUUUCUGUUUUCACAAGUCAGAUUGUGCGUUGAGGCUAUUUGCUUUUUAUCAGUGUUUGUUAAGGUAAUUAGUGUCUCAUAGGCUGAUUAUAGGCAGAUGAAAUUAUAACUUUUAACUUAAAAUUUAAUACCAUAGACAGAUAGAUGAUUUUUAAUCCAAAGGUUUUUAGAUGUGAUCAAAUUGUCACAUGCAGAACAUAUUAGGCAUGCAUGAUGUAUCACAAGGUUGAUACAUCUUAUAUGCCACGUGAUGAAAUUAAAGGAUGUUUCUCUUACAAGUGAUACAUCCUUACAUGUUCAAAUUUGAACAUGUAACUUCCAAGUGGUUAAUGGAAGUUACUUGUUCAAAAUUCGAACAUAUAACUGUCAUAUUGUUGCCUAUAUAGAGGCAUGAACGCAUCACAAAUUCAUACAUUCGAAGACAUACUUAAAGUCUUAUCAUACUAUGAUCUUGCAGUUUUGCUUGUAGCCACCAGCCUAAGGGCAGUGUAAAACGAUCCCAAAAACCAUCAAUAAUAACAAUGGAUAUAGUUCCUAAAUAAACUGAUGAAAUUUAAGGAUGAUUGGAUGAAACAGCUAUGAUAAAAUGAACUAUCUCGAACCGAGCAAAUAGCACUGACUCAUGAAUAAGUGUGGAUUCCAAAUAUCUUCGUAUCUUCAUAGAUAUUCAUUUCCGUGUUAAUUCGAGGACUUCUAGAAAUUUAGUUAGUCAUUCUAUGAAACAGAUAUACUAAUAAUAAUAAAACAAAAACGACGGGUGUUACACAAAUUCACAAGUAAAACUGUACUACUUGGAAACUGUGAACAGUGUAGAUUGAAGAUCAUACGAUUGCUAUUUUCAUUGAGUUUCAUGCAUAAAACUUUAUAGAUUAUUAAAUUAGACAUCUUUAUCUUUCUAUCCAUAUGUUUAUUGUUCAAAAACUUGUUGUAUAUUAAUUGUUUUGAUUUUUCAAAAUUGGAACACUAGUGCUGGAAAAUUCUGAUUUUCAAUAGCGAUUCUUUCUCAAUUCUAUAAUUUAUUUCAUAACUCCAAAUACUUCUGAAAAUUCUGGGAAUUUUUAUUACUGUACACUUAUAUGUCUAGUUUCUGUCUUUUUAAUUUCGUAAUUUUUGGCUUUAUAUAAAAAUCAUAGAAUUAGACUGCGCAAUCCCGGAAACUGUUUUCCAGAAUUGCGAGGGCUGAUAUUUAGGUCAGUUUGUAACACAGGAGUGUUUGAAAUAUUUGGUAAUCAAGUUAUACCAAGUGCAGCUCAAGUUCUUACAUUAAUCAAGUGAGCAGAAUUUCUGUGCAGAACGGGCAUCUUUGGGAAUUAAACUGUACUGCAUGAGAUCGAAUUAAUUUUCGAGCCAUACAUCAUUGGAAAGAUAUUUCUGUUAGCUUUCCAAUGAAUUUUACUAAUCUAAAUUUGGAGUUUUCUACGGUAAGUUAUGAUCAGUUAAGUGCAGACUGUUCAGUUUUGAGUCAAGAAGAAUAUUUCGGGACUUGGAUUUUUUUUAAUGUUCUUUGUUGUGUUUUAAGCAUACCAAUGUUUUAUUAAUGUCUAGCUUUAAUGUUGGUCUUUAAAGUCAAGUUAUUUGAAGGGUUUCUUUGUAGUAAAUUUAUGCUUGGAGGAUUGUUCCAAGAAAGCUAUUUAAGCUUAUGUAGUUGUAACCAAAGGACAGAGAUUAAUUUUGGAAUUGGAUGAACUUUGAGUUAUUAUCAAACUCUGUAUCUCUUUGGUGGAUGCCAAUGAGUGGUGAGUAUUUUUAAGCCCUGUAUCCUUAGCUUAACAACUUUAGGUGGUGAAUUUUUCUGUAUCCUUUUGUUGUUUGCUGUGGUGGUGAGCUUGUGAUUUCUUGGGUGUGUGACGUUGUGUUUUCUCAUCUAUUGUGUGCGGUGUCAGUUUGGGAUGGUUUUUCAUCAGUAAAUGUCUUAUAAAUCUUUAAUUCUGACUCCUUAUUGUUUCCUCUAAUUGUCAAAACUAGAAUCACUAUUUUUGGACAUGUGUAACUAAAGUUAUGAAUUUUUCAAGCAACAGUCCUCUGUUUAUAUCGUUAUUGGACAGUUUGGAUAAUUUUGUGGAAAAAUAAGUUUUCAGGGGAUGUUUUUAAACUCUAAUUGAUUAUGUAAAAAUUUAAAUUGAAUGCCAAUAUGUUGACAAGAGUGUUUUGUGAUAUUUGUGAUAUUUCCGACGUACUUAUAGCUUGUUAGAAAUCAGCUCCUAUAUAAUGGUCUAGUAUAGUUUAGUGAAUUGAUGUGCUUAAGUAAGAGUGCAUGGUUUAAGGAUUUUUGGAUUUUCUUAUCUAGGUCAGAAUUGAAUAAGAUAUUGAUAGUACUUUUUUCUUAACAAUCAUAGGCCAAAAGUGAGCUCGUUUGAUUUGGGUUAUUGUUGAUUGCUUUGUAUCAUGGUAAAUCAAUUCAUGCAUAAUAUUUAUUAUAAGUAUACACGUAAAUAUUUAUGAAUAGAAUAAUGUUGUCCAAAUGGAUUGGCAAGUUAUGGUUUUGAAGUUAUUUUAAAAUGUUUUCUUAAAUUUGUUUUAAAAAUAACUUCAAAAUACCUGCUUCUCUAUAAAAUGUUUUCCUUAAAAAUAUUUGUAAAGCUUUGCCAAUUCAAUGUCUUGUAAGCGUUUUAUCGAAAUAUUAUGGAAUGAUUGAUAUUGGAAAUCUGGAAACAGUUUUUUAGGUUUUGGCUCAUUGUCCGUAGUUAUCGUUACUAAUAUUACUAAAUAGCUAGUUGUAUUGUGCGCACCUAUUGACGAUUAUUGCAGGGUAAAGUACCCUGAUAGAACUCUAAGUCGGGUCACUGAGAUUAUAGGUGACAUAUUGAACUAUUGACCAGGUUACCAGGGGUAUAAGUGACACUAUGUGAUAUGAGUAAAUUGAAUGAAAGAAAAGUUUUAUUGAUAAAAGAUUUCUUACACGAUUAUUUAUUGAAAAUGAUUAUUAUGCUAUGACUUAAUUGAUUAUGAGUUUUACUGCACACAUAUGAUUACAAAAUGAUUUUUGUUUCCUGACUUGUGGUACUACAUAAUAAUGAUUAUAUACUUUUUCCUUAUUGGUAACCUUAUGCAUGAGUUCGCUUACCGAUUGACAGCUCACCCCUCGUCUCCAACAUUUUAUAGAUUGAUUUUAGUGAUGUGCGCUUUUGGUCUAGCGAAGAGGAUUUAGCUGAAAAACUUUGGCAUUUUCUAGAUGAAUUAAUUGUAGCUAGUUUGAUUAUUGCUUAGAGCUGGAUUUUAUUUUGGAGGAUUUUUGAGUUAUUUUUUAUUUUAGAGACUAUGUUUUGUCAAUGAACAACAUUGACUUUAUUUGAAAAUAGUAAUUAAAUUAAUGUUAUAAGGUUUCAUUUGGGGUGUUACAACUUGUCUCUUAGUUCCUUUAAGUUUAUUUUUGUUAGCCUAUCCAGUAAGGUUUAUUAUCGACUGACAUCAUUUUCAAUGAAAUCAUCUUAUGUUGUUAAGUUUUGCAUAAAUAAAUAUUUCAGUAGGGUCAAAAGAGCAAGAGUUUACCUAAAAAAAAAAAAGUCAAAAUUAGUUUAACCACCCCAGUGCGAAUUUCUGACCACGUCUUGCUUUGUAUGAUUUAACUCUUUUUUUUUUUUUGAUGAGAGGGGGCUCGUCAAAACGAGCUAAACAGGAACAAAACGGGGUUUAGAAACCCCAAACAAGUCUUGCGAAAUGAUAGAAUAAAUACUCAUAGGAGGGUUAGAGAACACAUGCAGGCUAAGAGGAGCUGAAUGAGCCAUAUUAGCCAUGAAAUCCGCAGCUGAGUUUGCUUCGCGAUAAAUAUGGGUGAUAGCGGUCUGCCAAUUUCUACUUAAUAAUUCCCGGACAGCUGUUAAUAAAGCAGAGAACGCAUUAGGAACGACCACCUGCUUAGAUUGUUAAACUAUCCACCAACUUCCCCUUAAAGAGAAAAUGGUUCCUCCAGAACCACAGCCUCCAAACUACCACACCAAAGAUACAAUCCCAGGGGAGGGGAGACCCAAUCUUCCAUUCAUUUUGCAGGUUCCCAGCAAUCCAUUCACGUAAGUUCGAAUUAAAGAAAGUGUUAUGACUGGCCAUCGGAACAAGCUUACGCCAAACCUGCUUGAUACAGCUGCAGUCUCUCAAUGCAUGGAGGAUAUCUUCAACCGCACCUCCACACCUAUCACAACCCUUAGGAACAUUAAUAUGGCGCCUAACAAGUUCAUCACGAGUCUUGAGUUUCCCAUGCAUAAGCUGCCAAAGAAAAAGGCGGAUGGAUUGAGGCCCCUUCCAACUCCAUGGGAGCUUCCAAUUUCUGUCAUGAACAGCAGCGUGAUGAUAGCAACGAGAUUCGUAAGCUGACCGAACCGUAAACAUGCCGCUUGGAUCAAAGCCCCAGAAAAUAAUAUCAGCCCCAAGAUGAGGAGCUGGAGGCAAUACUGAAGCAAUCUGCAUGAGAGUACCAUGCGGUAGAAGGUGCUCAAAGCUCGACCAAUUCCAUCCCCCAUGCCCAUUCGUAAAGUCACUCACAGUGGCAUUGAUAAGCUCGUGAGGAAUCGGCAAGAUGGCAAGGCUGAUCAAAGGAUAAUUCGUAGCCCAACAAUCAACCCAGAACCGAGUUCUAGCACCAUCACGAACUGACCAGCGAGCUCCCUGCACUGUUGCCAACCAUGUGUUACGAAUAGCCCUCCAAAUCCGAGAACCCGGUUUGUCUGGAAGAGACAUCGGAAGGUUGCGAGGCUCCAAUCCAUAUUUAGAGCAGAAGACUUGCACCCACAGUUUAUCCGAAUUGGAAACAACCUCCCAGCUCAAUUUCAUCAGCAGCGCCUGAUUCAUUUCGUCCAUUUUUUUGAAUCCCAGGCCUCCAUGUUUUUUCGGCAUGCAAAUUUUGUCCCACCCCACCAUACUCAUCUUGUGACUCUUUGAAUUCCCAUCCCAAAUAAAUCUUCGACACGCUUUGUCUAUUUUAUGUCUCACUGGAGAAGGAAGUAAGGUCGUUUGCAUGGCAUAAACAGGCAUUGCUUACAGGACUGAUUGAGCCAGAGUGACGCGACCAGCAAAAGAUAGAUGAGCCGCGUUCCAACCAGUUAGCCGCUUAUCCACUUUAUCAAGGAUGGAUUGAUACGUGUAUUUAUUAACCUGCGAAUGGAUUAAGGGCAUUCCAAGAUAAUCACCCAAAUUAUUUGUGGCCGAAACUCCCAAAGUCGAGCCUAUGAUAUUGGCAUCCCGAGAAGCAACAUUUUUUGAGAAGAAAACUUUAGUUUUCAUUUUGUUGACUUUUGCUUCCGAACUCCUACAAUAAUUAUCCAGAACAGCAUCAAUGACAUAAGCUUGAUCAAUUGAAGCUUCCGCAAAUAAAAGCAAAUCGUCUGCAAAAAAGAGAUGCGUUAAAGGAGUUCCAUAUUUGGCCAACCGGAUAGGCCUCCAUCUCCUCUCUAUCACCACUUGGGUUAUACCAUGGCUUAAUCGUUCAAUGCACAGAACAAAAAGAUAAGGCGAGAGGGGAUCGCUCUGACGGAUACCUCUUCCCGGAGUGAAAGCUUCUGUCGCCUCACCAUUCCACAAAAUACUCAUACUAGCUGAAGUUACGCAUUCCAUGAUUAGUCUAGAUAAGUGAAUUGGAAUACCAGUCUGUUUAAGCGUAUCAAAAAUGAAAUCCCAACUGAGCCGGUCAUAAGCCUUCUCAAGGUCGACCUUAAUGGCCAUGAAUCCUUUCCUGCCAGUUUUUCUGCGCAUGGAGUGAACUACUUCCUGAGCCACUACAAUAUUAUCUACUAUAUGCCUCCCAGGAACAAAGCUCGUCUGAUUGGGGCCUAUUAGAUUGGGCAGCAGCGUUUGCAAUCAAGUGGCUAUAAUUUUAGUCACCGUCUUGUAGGCCACUGUGCAUAGGCUUAUGGGCCUAAACAUCUUUAAGCUAGUGGGGUGCUCCUCUUUAGGAAUCAAAACCAAGAGGGUAGUAUUUAUCUCUUGCGGCACCUUUCCCGUUGUAAAAAUAUCAUGAAUAAACCUGCAAAACGACGGACCAACCACAUGCCAUUGGGAUGGAUAAAAAAUAGUGUGUAAACCAUCCAUACUUGGGGCUUUCAGUGGCUUCAUGCUAAACACAGCGUUUCGAAUUUCCUCCCUCGAAAUUGGGGCUGCAGCCCCAUCUAUGUCAUGAGAGUCCAAGGCUGGGAAAAAGUUUGGGGCAUGAUAAUUCCGAUAAGUUGCAUUAUCACUUUUAAAUAAGUCCGAAAAAUACCCCACUGCAUGCCUCCUUAUAUCCUCCUCAUCAUAUAGCCAAUUCCUCGAACAGUCUCGGAUGGCCUCAAUUCUAUUCCGCCACCUUCGAGCAAUGGUUUUUUGGUGGAAAAAGUUCGUAUUUCUGUCCCCAUGCAGAAGCCAAUCCUUUCGAGAUUUCUGAAGCCAAAGAAUUUCCUACUGAUUCAUCACCAUUUCGAGCUCAUUUCGCAAGCGGGCUUCUAAGCGCAACAAACUGUUAGAGCUAUAAUUCUCUAGAGUGGCUUGAAUUCCAUUAAUCCGAGCCAUAAGCCGGCGUUUUCUCUGAAAGAUAUUCCCAAACACAUCUCGAUUCCAAGCUUGAACCUCCUGGACAAAGUGAGAAGCUGCUGUACUAUAAUGGAUUUGCGGAUUCCAUACCCGCUUAACAAAGUUAUUAAAAUGCUCGUGAGUUAGCCAAGCAGCCAAAAAGCGGAAAGGCCUGUUCCUUCUGUGACCGGCCACUGCUCUCUCAAACCGAACCAGCACCGGCCUGUGAUCCGAUGCAACCUUCGGGAGGUGGAGGACAGAAUUAUUCGGAUACUUAUGCAGCCAUUCACUGUUGCACAGAGCUCUAUCAAGCCGUUUAAAGAGCAAUCCACGUGACCAAGUAAACCUUGGACCUUUAAACUUUAAAUAAAAAAUUUGGUGCCCAUCAAACCAUUUCCGAAACAGAUUACACACUCCUGGGUUCCUGGCCACACCCCCCUGCUUUUCAGAGGCAUAUAAGAUAGAAUUGAAAUCUCCACCUAUCAGCCAAGGGCCUCGAAUUAAAGGCGCAAGGUUCUCCAUAUGGCUCCACAACUGUCUCCUUAACAUUGGAUUUGGGCUGGCAUACAUAGCCGUUACCCAAGACACAAAGGUCUUAUUCAUACAAAUUUUAAAGUGAAUGAACUGCCUAUGAUUAAUUAAGACUUCCACCUCUAUGGAACUGUUGGUGGUAAAUUUUGUGGGGAAUGACAAAUGUAGAGAAAUACAACAAUAAUGGUGGAACUUUAUUAUGUAAAAUAAUGUGUUUACAACUAACUCUGUAUGUAGGAAGAAACUGCAGAAAUUUUGUGUGCUUCAAGGCACGUUACAAAUGUCGCUUUCCUUAAGACGUUAUUUGCCCCCACCAAAUGAGUGAUGCACAUGAGUUAAGCAAAUACGCCUCCAGGAUACAAUGAAGCACUUGUUUGUUUGCUUGAGUUGUGCAUCGACGAAAGCAAACUAGAAUACUCUUGAAUGUUGCAAGCCUGCCAAGAAACAAUAUAUUGUUCCUGCAGAAAACAAUAUAUUGGAAUGUGAAUGCACAAAAGAAAUGGGUGUUUUGUGUUGAAAUUCGUACUAGAAAGGAAUGCUAAGAAAAGAGUGGUGUAGGAUCAUUCAUUUCAUGUCUCAAUGGCUUAAACAUGACCCCUAUUUAUAGAUAUACUUGUGCCCCCUCAUUUGGGUUGUCAUCUUUCAUGAUACCCCUUCAUUCAUGGCCAUUGGAUCUAGAUUUGAUUUUAAUCAAUGGUCCAAAUUGAAUCAUCACCAUUUCAAAUGAAAUGUCACCAUGAAAUGAUGUAUCUCUAAGUGAAAUGUUGUCAUGAAAAGUUAUAUCAUUUAGUAAAAAGAUACCUUUUCUACAAGACACAAUUAAAUGGACAUGUCCUUACAACAAGACAUCAUUUAAUUAGACAUGUCUUUAGUGAAAGGUACCUUUUCUAUAAGGCACAAUUAAUAGGACAUGUCUUUACCAUAAGACACAUUUAUUGUUGAAAAUGUUCCAACAAUCCCCCACCAUUUUCAAAAUAAAUGAAUUUUGAAAAAUUAUCUUGCACAGGCUUGGAAAACUUAUGCAUAGAUGAAGGUGUCUUUUGGACUUGAACCUUCACUUAGUGACAAUGCAUCAAAGUUAAUCAAAGGUGGCAUGGUAGGCAAGCUUUGAACCAGCGACCUUAAUCGACUAACCGGAUAUAUCUCACACAUAAGUUUUCAAAUUCUCAAGUAUUCCUUAGCCGACACGUGGAUUGGCCCUGUGUCUAUAUCCUGUUUUCAUGAGCGCUUUAGUAACCAGCCGAGUUACAUAGGAAGCGGCACCACCUCCUACACUCACAUAGGUAGACUUAUCUAGAAUGUCCCUGUAACUAAAACAUUUAUAAGUCCAUUAAAAGCUAAGUAGCUUAACCUUUCCCAUAUGUUACAGGUAUCAAGCACUAACCUUUGGGACGCAUAUAAAAUAUUAUAGUGCUUGCUAUCACAACAUAUGAUGUACUUUUGCUCAUUGAACCCAAGAUCUUGUUAUUUCAAGUGUUGGGUUGAGUUUCCAUCAUUGGUGAUAAGAUGAUGCUGGCUUCAGUCCCAUCCCCUUAGAAGUUUUAAAUACAAUAUCCCUUGCAAGGCCUUUAGUUAAGGGGUCUGCCAAAUUUUGGCAUGAUUUCACAAAGUCAAUUGUGAUUACUCCAUCUGUAAGUAAUUGUCUUACAUAACUAUGUCUUAGACCAAUGUGCCUAGACUUUCCAUUAUAGAUUUGACUAUAUGCUCUUGAUAAAGUUGCCUCACUAUCACAGUGAAUAGAUACAGGAGGCAUUGGUUUAGGCCAAAUAGGAAUUUCUAUAAGCAAAUUCCUUAACCAUUCAGCUUCCUUGCAACAUGAAGCCAAAGCUACAAAUUCUGCAGCCAUGGUGGAGUCUGCUAUACAAGUUUGCUUCUUUGAGCCCCAUGAAAUAGCUCCUCCACCAAGAUUAAAAAUCCAACCACUUGUGGAUGUAUGAUCAUCUCGAUCAGUAAUCCAACUAGCAUCCGAAAAUCCUUCCAAAACUGAAGGAUAUCCAGUGUAGUAUAUACCAUAAUCCAUUGUAUGUUUUAAAUAUUUUAGAAUUCUGUACACUGCUUGCCAGUGUGCUUGGCUUGGAUUACUAGUAUAUCUACUGAGCUUUCCAACAGCGAAAGCAAUAUCAGGCCUAGUACAAGUCAUCGCAUACAUAAGACAUCCAAUAAUACGUGCAUAUUCUAAUUGAGAUACUGAUCUGCCAGUGUUAGGAUACAGUCUUAUGUUUGAAUCAAAAGGUGUUGACACAGACUUACAAUCAUAAUAAUUAAAUUUCUUUAAAAUUUUCUCAAUAUAAUGUGAUUGGGUCAAUACUAGGCCAUUAUCAUUUUUUAGAAUUUUAAUCCCCAAAAUCACAUCAGCAAGUCCCAUGUCUUUCAUAUCAAAAUUAGAUGACAAUAAUAAUUUAGUGAGUUCAAUGCUCUCACUAUCAGUACCAAAAAUUAACAUGUCAUCUACAUAUAAACAAAUAAUCACACCUUUAUUUCCAUUGAAUCUGCUAUAGACACAUUUAUCAGAUUCAUGAAUAUUAAAUCCAUUUGAGACAAUCACUUUGUCAAACUUUUCGUGCCACUACUUUGGAGCUUGUUUAAGACCAUAUAAAGACUUGACUAGUUUACAAACUUUAUGUUCUUGUCCUGGCAUAACAAACCCUUCUGGUUGUUUCAUGUAAAUUUCCUCAUCUAAUUCUCCAUUUAAGAAAGCUGUUUUUACAUCCAUUUGAUGGAUUUCAAAUUGAUAAAUUGAAGCCAAAGCAAUCAAGACUCUAAUAGUAGCAAUUCUUGCAACAGGUGCAUAUGUAUCAAAAUAAUCAAGGCCUUCUUUUUGUGUAAAGCCUUUUGCUACUAGUCUUGCUUUAAAUCUUUCAAUUGUUCCAUCAACUUUCUUCUUCUUUUUGAAAAUCCAUUUACAACCUAUAGGAUUAGAGCCAGGUGGUAAAUCAACUAAUUUCCAAGUCUUAUUACCCACAAUAGAGUCCAUUUCAUCAUUAAUGGCCUCUUUCCAAAAAGCAGCAUCUUGAGACUUCAUUGCCUCUUCAUAGGUGAGGGGAUCAGACUCCAUAGUAGAUGUGAUCAUGGUCUGUUUUGAUUGUGAGUCUCUUGUCCCUUCAACUAAAUAGACUAUAAAAUCUGGUCCAAAAGAUUUUAUAGUCCUUAUUCUUUUACUUCUUCUCAAAUGAUUUUGUUCAUUAUUAGCAUCACGCUUUUGACCAAUUUCUAUUUGUUUAUCAUUCUCUUGAGAAUCAAUACUUUUUGGUAUAGUGGAAAAUCUAUUUUCAUAGAAUAUUGCAUCUCUAGAUUCCACUAUAGUAUUGAUCUCAACAAAGCUAUUAGGUUCUGUUACAAGAAACCUAUAAGCUUUACUAUGCUCUGCAUAUCCCAAGAAUAUGCAUUCAAUGCCCCUUUCUCCUAAUUUCUUUAUCUUAGGUUCUGGUAGUCUUACAAUGGCUCGACAACCCCAAACUCUUAGAUAAGAAAGAUUAGGCUUUUUCUUUUUCCAUAAUUCAUAUGGAGUCACCUUUGUUUUCUUAUUAGGCACUCUAUUUAAGAUAUGACAUGCAGUUAAAAUAGCUUCACCCCAAAAACCUUUACCAAGCCCAACAUUAAAAAGCAUAGCAUUAACCAUUUCUAUUAAUGUCCUAUUUUUCCUUUCAGCUACGCCAUUUUGUUGUGGAGUAUAUGCAGUGCUAGUUUCAUGUAUAAUGCCAACAUAUUCACAAAAGUCAGGAAAAGCAUAUUCACCUCCUUUAUCACUUCUAAGGCAUUUAAUUUUAGUGUCAUAAAAAUUCUCAACUUCAUUUUUAUAAGUUUUAAAUUUUUCUAACACUUGAUCUUUAGAAUGUAACAAAUACACAUAGCAAUAUUUUGAAAAAUCAUCAAUAAAUGUUACAAAAUAUUUUUUACCACCUUUAGAAGGAUUACUAUGCAUAUCACACACAUCGCUUUGAAUUAAAUGCAAUAAAGAAGAUGUUUUUUCAAUUUUUGGAAAAGGAGAUCUUGUGAUUUUAGUCUGUGCACAUACUUUACAUUUUUCAUGCAUAUCAUUUUCAUGCUUAGGAAUUAACUCUAAAUUAGCCAUAUCAUGCAAUCUUCUAAUAUUCACAUGUCCUAAACGAUUAUGCCACAAAGAUAAUGAAUCAACCAUAUAAGCAGAAGAAACAUUCAUAUUAUUGAUAUUGAGUUUAAACAUUCCUUCAUACAUGUAUCCUUUCCCAACAAAGGUACCACCCUUAGAUAAUAUAAAUUUGUUUGACUCAAAAACAAGUUUGAAGCCAAACUUAUUAAGAAGACUACCAGAUACAAGGUUUUUUCUAACUUCAGGAACAUGAUAAACAUCAGUAAGAGUUAAAGCUUUUCCGGAAGUAAACUCUAGUUGCACAUUGCCUUUUCCUUUAACUAUUGCAGUGGAGGAAUUUCCCAUGUAAAGAACACUUCCAUCAUCCAUUGCUUUAUAAGAUUUGAAAAGGCUACGAUCCUUGCAUACAUGCUUGGUUGCACCAGAAUCUAUCCACCAUGCAUUAUCAUCUUCAAGAACAUUAAUCUCAGAUAUCAUGGCCACAAAAUUUGUGUUCGAAACUUCCUUUUGUUUCUUCAGAAGUCGACAAUCUCUUUUGAAAUGGCCAGGUUUUCCGCAAUGGUGGCAUGUACCCUUCUUUUUCUUCUUAUUGUUUUGAUUCUCUUUGGAAUCAAACUUUCUCUUUUGAUUAUUCUUAGGGUGAUUAGAAUGCUUAAACUCCUUCCCUUCAUCUACGACAUUAAUUUUAGAGGACAUAGUAGUCUGAUCCUCAAGACUAUUAAGCUUGAGUUCCUCUUCAAUACGAAGACUUUGGCCUAAGCCAUCCAGACUAAUUUCCUCUUUGUUAUGUUUAAGACUUUUCUUAUAGUCUUUCCAAGAGGGAGGAAGUUUAUCAAUAAUUGAAGAGACAAUAAUAGACUCAUCCAUUUUCAUGUUAUGUUGGUUGAAUUGAUCAAGAAUAUGCAAAAUCUCAUUAUAUUGUUCAACCACGAGUCUAUUAUCAACCAUUCUAUAAUUAAAAAAUUUAGAAGCCAAGAAUUUCUUACUUGUGGCAUCUUCCAUCAUGUACUUAGCCUCUAAUGAGUCCCAUAUCUCUUUUGAUGUAGGUUUGUUGUGAUAUUGAUCAAACAAAGUAUCAGACAUGGCAUUGCAAAUGUGUCCCUUACACACGUAGUCAUCUUGCUCCCACUUAUGUCGCACUCUGGUUUCCGCUAAUGUCUCAUUCUCACGUUCUUGAGGCUUUGGUGUUGUGAGAACAUAGACCACAUUGAGGCUUGUCAACAAGAAAUGCAACUUUUUCUGCCAACGAAUAAAGUUGCCACCAUCGAACCGCUCCAAUUUGACAAAAUCUACUGCAAAUUGUCGAAGAGAUGAACUUGGUGCCAUUGUUGUAGAAAUAACGUCUUAAGAUUGUUGGUGGUAAAUUUUGUGGGGAAUGACAAAUGUAGAGAAAUACAACAAUAAUGGUGGAACUUUAUUAUGUAAAAUAAUGUGUUUACAACUAACUCUGUAUGUAGGAAGAAACUGCAGAAAUUUUGUGUGCUUCAAGGCACGUUACAAAUGUCGCUUUCCUUAAGACGUUAUUUGCCCCCACCAAAUGAGUGAUGCACAUGAGUUAAGCAAAUACGCCUCCAGGAUACAAUGAAGCACUUGUUUGUUUGCUUGAGUUGUGCAUCGACGAAAGCAAACUAGAAUACUCUUGAAUGUUGCAAGCCUGCCAAGAAACAAUAUAUUGUUCCUGCAGAAAACAAUAUAUUGGAAUGUGAAUGCACAAAAGAAAUGGGUGUUUUGUGUUGAAAUUCGUACUAGAAAGGAAUGCUAAGAAAAGAGUGGUGUAGGAUCAUUCAUUUCAUGUCUCAAUGGCUUAAACAUGACCCCUAUUUAUAGAUAUACUUGUGCCCCCUCAUUUGGGUUGUCAUCUUUCAUGAUACCCCUUCAUUCAUGGCCAUUGGAUCUAGAUUUGAUUUUAAUCAAUGGUCCAAAUUGAAUCAUCACCAUUUCAAAUGAAAUGUCACCAUGAAAUGAUGUAUCUCUAAGUGAAAUGUUGUCAUGAAAAGUUAUAUCAUUUAGUAAAAAGAUACCUUUUCUACAAGACACAAUUAAAUGGACAUGUCCUUACAACAAGACAUCAUUUAAUUAGACAUGUCUUUAGUGAAAGGUACCUUUUCUAUAAGGCACAAUUAAUAGGACAUGUCUUUACCAUAAGACACAUUUAUUGUUGAAAAUGUUCCAACAGGAACUUCGCCAAAGAAGCCAAAUUCCACCAGAAAAACCCACAGCUUCCACUCGGUGCGAAUAAUCAAAUCCACUUUUCUUUAUAAAGUCGUCGGCUUUAGCACCACUAGUACGAGGUUCCAUUAACACCACCAUCGAUGGAUUGUAGUUUUUAAUAAUUGUCUUAAACGAGCGCCUAAAUACCCCCGAGGCUGCCCCUUGUACAUUCCAGAACAUGAUACUAGCUGACAUAAUAAAAAUAAGAGGAGAGAAACAAACGUCUACUGCUGCUGUCCAAGGACAUCAUCCAUCCACGCCAAAGGCGUUUCUUGAACCAUCUCAACUUCAUCCUCAGCCAUCCCAUCUCCAUCAUCACCAUUCAUAGUUACAACUGGAUGGUUAUGAGCACUGUCACCUUCAUUCACCCGAUGGAUGGUUUGAUCAUCUGGAGGGUCUGCUACUUGUUGUGGAUCCGGACCUUGCCUCUCUAUGUGUUCUGUGAUUUAACUCUAUUAUUAAUUAGUACUAAAAUAUCGAUGAAAAAAAUGGACAUGAAUUUUGAUCUCGUGUUGCUUUGUUUUGGUUGAGUGGCCAAUUUUAACUUCACGUUAAACUUUCUCAAUUAUUAGUUGAAUUAUUUGGAUUUGAAAACUUAAAACCACCAUUUUAAUUUGUUUAUUAAUGACUAAGUUGAACUUCAACAUUUGUUUUCAAGAACAAAAUUGAUCAAACUAUGAUGCUCUUGUUUCUAUUAUUAUGGAAUCUCUUUUUCAAUCCUCAAAGUUUGAAUUAUAUUAUGCUGCCUCUGUAUUUCCGCAGAAACAGAAUCAGUUGGUGAUCCUUCAAAACAAGAAAAACCAAAAAAAGAUGUAGUGCGUGAUAAGAUAAUGAGACAGAUGGCUCAUGUUGACAUUAAUACUCAAGUUGGAAGUUGCAUGCCGCUUGCUUGUAUGCGGACUGGGACCAUCAUCCACAAAAUUGAGGUAUACCCCGCUGAAGGUGGCAAGCUAGUUCGAGCUGCUGCGACGUCAGCCAAGAUUUUGAAGAAGACCCAGUUCAAGGUACUGCUUGGUAAGGCUAACUUCUGGAAAUGAGAAACUGAUUGACGCUAGAUGUCGAGCCCACCAUUGGUACAGUGUCUAACCCCAGCCAUGGAGCUACGAAGCUUAGGAAGGCUGGUCAGAGCCGUUGGUUGGGUCGAAGGCCUGUGGUUGGAGGAGUAGCCAUGAAUCCAGUUGAUCAUCCUCGUGGUGGAGGUGAGGGACGAAGCAAAAGUAGCCGUAACCAUGGAAGGUGUUCACUUACGCCUUGGGGCAAGCCUUGUAAUUCUGGGUAUAAAACUGCAUUUCCUAAGGGAAAAAAAAAAGAAAAAAAAAAGAAAUUACCCGUCUGAUAAUAUUUUCCUUUUUAAUAAUGUUACAUUGUUUGUCAUAUAUUUGAGGUUAGUUUUAGACCAAUUUUUAACUGAUCCAUAAUGAAACUGAAGUUUAAUUUUCUAUUGAACUUUUCCUGGUUUUACUCUUCUGUCAUUUCAAUUUAGCAAUGAUUUAAGAUGUUGAGUUCUGUGCUUGGAACAUGUAAAUGGGAAAGAGAGAUAUAAUGGGGUAGAAUAUAGAUUUUGUGUUUUGGUUUCUCAUGUUUAGAGAUAUUCUGUUCUUUUUCAUUUGUUCAAUUUGGUUAGUGGUGAUUUCUUAAAGAGUCGAUGCACGUGUGUAUAUAUACUUUUCUUUUGGCCUUGAUUCUGUUUCUUGGGGAGUUUAUGCAGUUUCUUUUUUUAUGCUUCGCAUGUCACAUGAAAGAUGAAAGCCUUUUGUGUAUUUAGAAUUGACUUGCAUCAUAGUAACUUUGAAUCACUGUUAACAUUUGUAUAAUAGCAGUCUGAGAUCUCCUUGAAGUAUUCAAAAGCAUUAUAUUUGAUGGUCCAGACCUGCAUUCAACUCCUUUAUAUACAUAGGUUGGUCUUCUUCAAAGCAAUUCCUAUUUUAAGUAAUCAAAAUUUUGAUUUGGAAGUGUGUUUUAACACUACCAAAAGUUCUUUAAACACUAAAAAUGGGUUUAGGAGUAAAGUGAUGUGGCUUUUAAGCUACAACUACUGCAAAGUAAAAGUCAUAACUGUGAGUAUAAAUAAGAAAAAAUGACUGUUGAGUUGCCAAAGCCCAACUGCCGCACAUCACUUCAAAAUGCAUCGUAAAAUGAUUUGGAGUCUUCUAUAUUAUUGAAACAAAAUACAUGAAAGCACUUUUGGCUACAGAAGUACACUUGGGGUUCUUUAUAAAAAUCUUCGAAAGCAAUUUUUCCCCCUUUUUGCUCAUGGCGGUUUUUCUGGUUGUUCUUUUAAGAAAACACUUAAAAGGUUCUUUUUAUAGAUUUCUGAAAGUAAUUCCAACAUAAGCAUUUUUCAGAAGAAUUUUUCUGAAAGUAAUUUUAUUUACUCAUCGACUUUUCAACUCCUGUGGUUGUUUAUGAAAUGAAAGGCAAUUUUUAACUAUACCAAUUUGUUGUUUAUGCUUUACUUUUAUUUUUACAGUUUUGUUUAAUGUUUAGAUGAUAGAUAUCUAGACAUUUUAGAUUGGAGAAUUUUGUCAACAAAUUCAUUCCUUUCUUUCACUUUUUCCCUUUUCAGAGGAAAGAAAUUUUGACUAAUUUUAGCCAGAAUCGGACUAUAAUAUUUUGGAGCAAGGCUACUUGAAAUGAUGCUUUUUAAAUUUGAUCUAGUUAAAAUACACUGCCGUUACCCAAAAAAUUCUAGUCUUGGAUUUCAUAGAAUGCCCUUUUAAGAUAUUUUCUCAGCUCUUUGUUGGUCGCAGCAUCUGAGAUUAGCAUUCUCACAUUUCACUUGUUUUGCCUUUGUUUUGAAGGUAACUUAGUUGCAUAGGUGAAUCGAGGUUCAAGAAUGCCGAGAUGGCUACAAGUUUCAAGAAUCAUUUAAAGAGGCGUAAUGACAGCAUCAAGAAGGGCUUUGUGAUUAACAAGAUUACUAAUUGAACCAAGCUUGAUGGCAAUUGGAGAAGGGGACAGAGGACAUGUCAGAACCGUUGCGCACAGGGAGAAGAGUUAGGGGAGCUUGAGAGUUGAGACCAUCAACAUCCAGGAAGGCUGCUGGUAAUGUUUCAUGUGUUACAAAGUUACAAGGAAAUUUCAUUUAUAUUUUAACACCUUGUAUUUGAAAAAUUUAAUGUAAUUUUUUCUUUUUUCAAUUUAUUAUUCAGAUCGUAGACUAGUAAACGGUUUAGAUCGCAAGCUUUUAUUAUUAAGUUAUUUUCUCCUUUUCAGGAAGAAGAAGUGGUCAGUUCCAUUCCAGAAUUGGAAUAUGGUAAUUAGGUGCAAGCAUACGUUGUAACAAUCAUUUCUUGUUUGUUUGAUUAUGCUUAUCUAUUUAGUUGUUUAUCGUUUGGUUGUGUUAAAUUAUUUGAAUUAGCAUUAUUUGAGAUAAACCAUAAUUCUUUUAUUUAUUUAUUUAUUUUUUAAAUAAAUUAUUAUAGAAUAUCAUCUUUAUCGUAUAAUGUACUUUUAUAAAAGUAAACAUUUUUAUAAAAUUUAAACUCUUCCAAUCUCCUUAUGAUUAAAACCCUUAACCUAAUAAACGUAUAAAACCAAAGAGUCUUAGGAUUUUCUUUUAUGCACAUUUGGAAGAAUUUUUGAGGUAAUUAUCCUUCUCUAAAACAUGUUCUCUAAUCUUAGGUGUUUAAUGAUGAAUGCAUGCAUUGUUCUUUUAAAAUCACGAAUGACUAGCUAGACAUUAUGAGGCAUGAGUACUGUGAUUCUAUUACUGUUUUCCCUUAAUUUUUUAUUCAGGUUUUCACUAAAGUUUUCAUAAAAUUAAACUAGACAUUUUAAGGCUUUCAAUGAUAUAUUUUGUACGAAAAGAUUACCAGUAACCAAUUUGUUGUGAAUUUUCGAAUUCAGAACAGUGGUGCUGGAAAAUUCUGAUUUUCAGCAGCAUGUUUGACUUUGCCCAUUUUUCUGUCUAUCCAAAUGAUCCCUAAAAUGAUGCUGAUUUUUCUAUUAAAUCCUCAUUAUGUCUACUUACUAUAUGUUCACUUUCAUAAUUUUUCAUUGAGUAAAAAAAAAUUAAAAAUCAUUAUGUUGGGCUGCUGCAGUUCUGGAAACUGCUUUCCAGAAUUGCGAUGGCUGACAAUAAAAUUACUUUAGGCUAUUAAAAGGCUUUAGAAUGGCCUAUAAAAAUUAUAUUCAUAUAAUUUAUGAAUUCCCUAUGAUUUAAAGUUUAUUUGACUAAUUUUGAUAGUUAACAUUAAGUUAUGAAUUUUUGAAGUGCAAAACAUAAACCUGAAUGUUUCUGGACAGGUUUGCUGGUCUCUUAAUAUAAAUUCGUUUAAAAUAGUGACAUGUCUUCAAAAAUUCUAGGAAUUUGAAGCAUUGUUUCUUGAUGCAUCUACUGUUUUAAAAUCAAGUGGUCUAAUUUUUAAGAGUUCUAUUAAAUAUUUUACAAAUUUUCCAGUUCAGCAACCUCUGUUUUUAUCACAGUUGGACAGUCUGGAUAUGUGCAUGUAAAAUUCCUUUUUGCAAUAUGUUUGACUUUUAUUCAUUCUUUUGAAUUUUUAUUUGAAAUGUUAUCCAUGUUUAUGGUUUAUUUUCUUUGAUUUUACAAUUUUCCAACAUAUGAUUAGCUUGGUAAAAAUCGGCUCAGACUAGCUUUAAUGGUUUAGUGCUUAUGACUAGCUUGAUUAUGUUAGAUUUAUAUCAAGAUCAGAAUGAGUAAUAGUAUUGAUAAGAAUGUGUCUUGAUAUUUUAGGACGAGACUGAGCUCGAGGCUAAGGUUACUAUUCUUUAUUGUUGAGGAUUGAGAUAAGUAGAUUCAUGCAUGGUAUAUGUAUUUCACUAUUAAAUUAUUUUUAAUUCGAGGUAUGUAUUAUGUUAAAUGAAAAGUAUAUGAAACUAAUUUGUUUUAGCCUAUUACAAUAUUUUGUUAAAAUAAAAUCGUUCUUUAAAUUAUUUAUUAAAAACUUGUUUUAUAAAUUGUCUUAAAAAAAACUUUUAUUAAAUUAUUUUAAGUCAAAUACUUUGAAAUAAUUAUCAAUUAUUUAAACGAUUAAAAGUUCAAGGAUGAUUUUAAAUGUUUUUGCUCAUUGUCUGUAGUGAUGCUAUGUUAUGUUUUAUGUUGUGGAAGGCUAGUUGGAUUACGUAUACAUAUGAUGUUAAUGUUAAUGAUUCUUGUGGGGUACAGUACUCUAAAUGAUGUCAUACAGACGGGUCGCCAGGUCUACAAGUGAUACUAUGUGGAAUGAGCUAAGUAUGUUUUAUGUAUUUAAAAAGCUAGUUAUGUUUUACAUGUUUCAAAUGCUAUUAUUAUGUUUAAAGGAUUUAAAUGACUUUAUGAUGUUUUGAUUUAUUUUUGAUAAAUGAUUAUUUACAAAAGUAAUUUCCCUUUUUAUUAUUAUGCAUAUCUAAGAAAUUCAAACAAUUAUAAUUUAAUGGUUUUUAGUAUUAUGCAUGAAUUUACUUACCGAGUUGACAGCUCACCCCUUGUUAUCAUAUUUUUGUAGAUAGAGUUAGAUGAUGUGAGCUCAUGGUCUUAGGAGGAAGAAUGAGAGCUCGUUUAUUUUUGGGGAUUAAUGUUACAUUAAUAAUUUAUGAAUAAUUUAGCUUCCUUUGGUAUGAUAUUUAUUUGAGAAUUUGUUAUUUCAUUACUUAUUAUCUUUUGGAGGAGUAGAACAUUUAUUGUUGGAUAUUAAUUUGAUGAUUUUAGAUACGAGAGUGAUGAAAUACAGUUUCACUUCAAUUUCACUUUAGUAUCUUAUUAGUGGAAUUGGGGUGUUACAUACAUGCCCGGUCAAUGAACUUGAACUUUAAAUAGUUUUUUCAACUCAUUGAUUUUUGGAACUCAUAUUGGUGCAAGGAAAUCGAAAGAAAUUUAUGAUUAGUCAAAUUCUGAUAUUUGCUAUAUAUUAUACAUUCUAAAGUUUCUUGAGUUUGUUUUCAGAUGAAUAUAUGAUCAAUUCAUUUUGUUUUUGAAGUGUAGGAAAAUAGGCUGGGAUAUUAAUGCAUAGGCAAAAACUUUUUGAGUGGCUUUCCAGCCGAUAAUUAUCGGAAAUAUGACUGGAUUUUUUUACUUCCGUAAAUCUUGCAUUUUAACCUGGCAAAUUUAACAAAAGUUCAAUACAACUUUGUUAGUGCCUUGUGUUCUAGAAGCUAGAAAGAUGUGUAGAUUCCAUAUAAGGGGGCUUGUAAUUACUCUAGUAAGAAUCCAAUUAUUUGCCUUUGAACCUUCAUUUUAUUUGUAUAGCCUACAAAAGUUCAAUACAAAAGGAAUUGCUCUGAAGAUUAGCAGUAACUAGCCUAUGUCUUAGUGCAUGGACCUGCAAACCUGAGCUGACAAAGCUGAAACUAUUAGUUUGAGGUGACAAAUCCAUGAUCGUCACCUGUUAACUUCUGCUAGUUGCUUUCGUGAAACACUUUUAAGAAAUAAGCAAUUUGUUGUUAGUCGCCGUAUCUGAUGUGCUUUUCUUUUAUAGUUUGUAGAAUCAACUGUAUUGUAUGUUGUCAGUUGCAGUAUCUGAGGUGUCUUUUGCAAUUUACUUGACCUUUAUUUGUUUGCUAGUGACUUAAGAAUACCAACAUUGGCUAGAGAUUUGGAGAAACAUCCGAAGAGGCUUAACAAACUUGGAGAUGCACUUGCUUCCAAGCUUCAUUCAUCACAAUGCGAAUCCGGUGAGUACUCAUGUCUUCAAUUAUGUAGAGUGUUUGAAAUUUUGAUGCAGCGAAAUGGUUUGUUGAUGCAAAACUUUAUACUGUUAAGGACUUACCCUGCAGGCUUUUUGGAUGUUGUAUCAACUCCAAAAUCCAACGAGAACUACAGCACCAAAACCCAGUUUUCACUGAUUCAAUCAGCUGAAAUCAUGAGGGAAAUAACAGUAUAGCACCAUCAAGCUGGACUUAAGAGAAUAAUCAGAUCAGUCAUCCAUUUCAUGAACUGUUAAUUUCAUGAUGGAGGCUUAGUGGAGCUGAAGAGGAAACAAGGAUGUGUAGGGAUCAACAAACAACAGUGAGAAGCACGAUUGGAGCUCUGAUUACAAAUAGACAAUUUAAAAAUAUGUGCUGGUAAGUGGAAAUUAAAGAAAUUUGUGAGCUCAUUCAAGUUUCGGUAUUUUCUUUUUGGAUAACGUUGAUACCAAGUUUGGCAAAUCUGUGUUUUCUGCGUUUAAUCUGUGUUUUGGUUAAAGUAGAUGCUCUGAUUAAUACUUGUUUGUUUUCAUAAAACAGGACAAAAAGAGAUCACCAAUCUUGCUUGAGAAUUCAUUCAAGUAAAAUUCCAAAAAUUGCCAAACACAGUAUAAACUAGGAUGCACUUGCUUAAGAUUCAUUUUCAGAUGGAAGUUUGUACUUCCAGCUCAUAAAAUCAUGUUUAUGUUGUAUCUUUAUUCAGCAAAUGAAAGAUUCCAAGUUUGCUGAAACCAUAUUAUUUCUUUCCCAGGCGCUUUCCUGAAGGUAUCGACAUCUAUUUCGAAAAUGUUGGGGAUAAGUUGCUUGAUACAGUGCUACAAAACUAUGAAGGAUUUUGAUGGGAAAAAUCAGGUUUUUAAAAUUUUUAUAAAACCUUUUGAAGAUCGCUCUCAUAUAAUAUAUAAGAAUUCGUAUUCUAGAAAUCGUACCUUGAAAAUCCGAGUUGGCUUUUUCCGCUGAAGUGAUUUAGGCUCCUAGAUCACGAUCCACCACCACCACUCUUGUUAGAUCACGAUCCGUCACCACCACGCUUGUUAGAUCACGAACUGUCACCAAUGAUCUUCCAGGUUAUGACUCAGGUUCGAUCUGCACUUGACGUGUGGGCGCCUUUAUCACUACCAAAGCAACUAGCACGAGAAAAUUUUUCUCUCAAUAAUGGAGAGAAAAAUCUUAUUCUCUGAUUUGUAUAAAGUGGCUUCUCUUUUUUCUUUAGGGAAAAAUAAGCCUUUUAUAUCACCCUUUAGUGAAAACCCUAGGCUCCAAAAAUCAAAAAACAAAACCCACGUUUAUUUGCUUUUUCAAUAGGGGACCCACCUUGUAAAAUAACAUAAGGCCCCUUAUACAAAAGCUAAUUAAAUGGAGCCUCCCACUAAAUGAUAUAUUUAGGCUUUUGACCCAAAUAGCUAGUUAUCUUACUUAUUAGUCCAGUAGUGGUGCAGUCAAUUAAAUGAGCUAACCCGGGGAUCAUUUGGGAACAUACAAUAGUGGCUACAAUAAUUAAGCCUGUAAUUAAACUAGCCCAAUUAUUUAAUUCCAAAUCUACUCCACUAAAAGAUUGGAACUGACUUCCAUAAUUGUAUGCUCGAAUAAUAAUUCGUCCCAAGCCACAUUGAUUUCUUUACUGCACAAUCCUUUGUACCACAUCGUUAAUUAAAUUGAUAUCUCAACUGUCCAAUCAAUUUAAUAACAUCUUAUUCCUUGAUCCUUACUGGUUUUCUCUAAUGAUCAUUUUCAACAUACUAAAUAUGUUGACACACUCUGGCCAGAGAAUUCUAUGAUCAAGUACCGAAAACCUAUCAAGAGAUGUGUUGUACAAAUUCUAUAUUGUUAAUCCAUAACUCCAAUACUCAUAAUUGCUCCCAUCAAGAUACCGGGUAAUCUUGACCACAAGGAUGUGUCGUGCCCAUUGGUAACUCAAAUGAAAUAACAAUCACAAUCAUGAAAUCAUAAUUAACUCAAGAUUAAGAUUACAGUAAAAUCAACGCCUGUGAGAUUUAAUAAGUCUGACAGUUAUUAUAAAGUUAAUUAAAUCUCAUAUGUGAUCCUGUUCAAUGUAGUCAUACUACAUCAAUAAAUUCAUACAUGAUUAAGACAAAUCAUUCAAUGAAUUUAUUACAGUCUAUACCUAAAUAAAGUGCCCAACUUUAUUUAUCAACUGCGAACUAAAUUUAUUUAAUCAUAAGAUAACUUGUAUUUAUGUCUUCUGUGAAUCCACAUGGUGAUCACAUAAAUACAUAUAAUAUGAUUAAAUGGACUUUAAUACAAAUAUUAAUGCAAUUAAGAUAUUUGAAUAAAAUACCUCAUUUAUUUUAUUAAUCAGAAAAAUUGUUUAUUAUAAUUAAAUAAACACAUAUGCUUUUAAAGAGCAUAUUUUCCCAACAAUCUCCCACUAGCUCUCAAAGCAUAUCUGGCAUAUUACACAUGCUCUAGGGCUCUAAGUGCAGGUUAUAAAGGUUUCCCACUAAUGGCCAUUGUAAUAAGAUCUGCAAUUUAGCAUCUAAUGCCAUUUGGGGUACUUUCAUAUAACCUUUCUACACUAUUCCCUUAUAAGAUGAUACUUCCUUUCAAUAUGUUUUGUUUCUUGUGGUUCCUUGGUUCCUUAGAUUGAGCUACCGCACCACCAUUAUCACAAAAUAGUUUAAGGGGUGCAGUUACAACAGGUACCACCUCAAGAUUUCGUAGGAACUUGCAGAGCCAUAUAGCUUCUUUUGCAGCUUCAGAUGUAGCCACAUAUUCAGCUUUAGUUAUUGAGUCUGUGAUACAAGAUUGUUUCACACUCAUCCAACUAAUAGCUCCACUUCCCAAUGUAAACACAUAGUCGGAAGUUGAUUUUCUAAAAUCCUUAUCUGACAAAAAAUCAGAAUUAGUAUAACCCACUAGAAUAAGUUUAUCACCAGAAUACACAAGCAUAUAAUUUUAAGUUCUUUUCAGAUACUUCAUUAUAUGCUUGACCGCAGUCCAGUGUUCAGGUCCAGGAUUAGAUUGAUAUCUACUAACCAUCCCUACCGCAAAAUAGAUGUCUGGCCUAGUGCAAAGCAUGGCAUACAUGAGACUUCCCACAGCUAUUGCAUAGCGAACUCAUCUCAUUCUCUCUAUCUCUUCAGAUGUUUUAGGUGAUUGAUCCUUAGAGAAUGUAAUUCCAUGUCUGAAUGGUAAUAAACCAGUCUUGGAAUUUUCCAUGCUAAAUCUAGCCAAUAUCUUAUCGAUAUAGACCGCUUGAGACAAGGCUAAAGUUUUAUUCUUCCGGUCUCGUAGUAACUUGAUACCAAGAAUAUAACUUGCCUCUCCCAGGUCUUUCAUAUCAAAUUGUUUUGCUAACCAACUCUUUAUUGUAGUCAACACUCCUAUAUCAUUUCUAAUUAGAAGAAUAUCGUCUACAUAAAGAAUUAGGAAGGUUACAGAUUUUUCUUGAAUUUUCUUGUACACACAUGGUUCAUCAAUAUUUUGAAUGAAUCCAAACGAUUUUAUCGCUUGAUCAAAUCUGAUGUUCCAUGACCGGGAUGCUUGCUUCAAUCCAUAAAUGGAUCUCUACAACUUACAUACCAUGUGUUCUUGGCCUUUUUGUAUAAAUCCAUCUGGUUGCUGCAUGUAGAUGUUUUCUUCAAGAUGCCCGUUAAGAAAGGCAGUCUUGACAUCCAUUUGCCAAAUUUCAUAAUUUAGCACUGCAACAAUGGAGAACAGAAUCCUGAUGGAUUUAAGCAUAGCAACCGUAGAAAAGGUUUCCUUAUAAUUGAUUCCUUCUUUCUGAGUAAACCCUUCGGCUACUAAUCUUGCUUUAAAUGUUUCCACCUUUCCGUCUACUCCUCUUUUUCUCUUGUAGAUCCACUUGCACCCUAUAGGUUUUAUCCCAUUUGACGCCUCUACAAGUUCCCAGACUUUAUUGGAAUACAUAGAUUCCAUUUCUUGAUUCAUGGCCUUUUUCAAAAUUCAACAUCUCUAUCUAUUAGAGCUUCGUUGUAACUAGUGGGAUCUUGUACAUGUUCAUCUGAGAUAGUCGUAUAGGUUUCUCCCAAAAGCAUGUAUCUCGCAGGUAACCUAGUUACCCUCCCACUACGACGAGGUUCUAAAAGUGAUGGUUGUUCAAGGAUAAUCCUGUACUGAUCAACUGGUUGUUGCUGUUCUUCCUGUUCUAUAACAGGUGUUGAAAGCUGAGCAUCAACCUGAUCUCUUUUAUUUCUCUAGUUUUACCUUACUCUUAGGUUAUAAGUCAUUAUAUAGUCUUCCUCAAAGAAAGUAAAGAAUAUUUCUAUAAAUACAUUCCUAUCUUGAGGACUAUAAUUUAGACUUUCCCUUAUUCCUUUAAGAUACCUAAAACAUGCAAGCUUCUGAACACGAAUCCAUCUUCUCUAUCUCUGAUUCUAGUAAACUCCAAAUACGAAUGUGUCUCAAACUAUGUUUGUGACUUUUUCAUAAUAUCUUAGAGUAGUAGACACCGAGAUAGAUGAAACUAAGUUCAAUAAACUUUGUAGUUUCAAAUACUAGUAUCUGGAAUCAAAAAGGUAAAUGAUAAACCACUUAGUAUAUAUCUUGUCUUAUCCAAAAGAAUCUUGUUUCUCCAUUUAAUUACACUAUUUGUAUCAUAGUGUUCAUUGACAAUCAAAUAGUGCUUGAAUUCUCCAUAGAGAUAUUCUUUGUUUCGAUCAUAUCGAAGUUCUUUUAUGUUCCUGUCUAAUUGCUUCUGUCUUAUCCACGUACUCUUUUGAAUUUCAAAAGCAAUGGAAUCAUGACGCACGUAGACAAACAUAAAUAAAAUGAAUAUUCAUCAACAAGAUUGAUAGAAUACUCAUAACCUCUUAUAACAUAUAAACUGAUUAGUCCGUAUACAUUUGUAUGCGCUAUAUCAUCAAAUACAAUGUUAUGCUUUUAGCUCAAAAAGAGCAUCCUUGUCAUAUUACUUUUCUAAAUAAGAUUUAUAGAGUUACAAUGAUCAAUCUUAAUAGGCCAACAAGUCUAUCAUUAAUCAUUUUCUUAAAAAUCUUAUUAUAGUUUAUAUGACCUAAGCAUAAAUAUCAGAGGUGAUUUUUGGUUAGAAGAAACAUUUCUUUUCUUAGAUAAAUGCAUAUACUUUUUAUCAUUAUAUCUUACUUUGAAUAGAUCAAUGUACUUCUAUGAUAUAAAUUAUCUUUAUAAAUAACCAAAAUAAGUAAUAAAUAGAGGAUCCAUAAAUAACAGUGUACUCCUGUUUAUUAAAACAAGCCACCGAAAUUAAAUUCCUCUAAUAUUUGGAAAAAUAAAGACAAAUAUCAAAACUAAAGUCUUGUAAAAUUGAUCUAGUCUUUCAAUUGAUAUAAACUAGCACGUCCUCAACUGCUGUUUGAAGCUUUCUUCACUUAAUCUCUUGGUUUCCUGAAAACCAAAUAAAUGAAUUACAAAUAAGAUUAGUUAUCUCAGAAUUCAUUAUUGUAUGAAUCAAUAGAAAUCUGAACUAAUUAGGAAGCUUAAAGAUUUCCUAUACCUGAUUUUAAUAAUCUUAGGACAAUCUUUCUUCCAGUGACCCUUCUGUCCACAUUUGUAACACUUGCCUUUUGGCUUGCCACUUCUUUUAAUGGACAGUUUGCCGAUCCCAACUCUUGCUUGCUCAUUCUUGUCUUUCGACUUAAGCCUUGAAGAGAAUCCUUUUUCAGGAAGUUUUCUGCUAUUAUAAAAUUCUUCUAUAGCAUGUGGUUCGUGCAUUAAUUCAAUUAAGGUCAUAUCUUUAUUAUUUAAGAUAUAGCUGACCUUAAACUCUUUGAAUGUAUCAGGUAAAGAUUCAAUCACCAUGUUAAUAUUUGAUUUAUCAUUGAUUUGAACACCAUGAAUCUCUACCUCAUUCAAAUAGUCCAUCAUUUUGAGGACAUGAUCACGAACUUUUGUGCCCUCUUCCAUCUUAGUAUCCGUAAUACGUUUUAAUGCUGCUUCUCUGGCAAAAUGGGUAUUUUGCCCAAACAUCUGAUGAAGACUAGCCAUAAUUUCAAUGGCUGUUUCCAUGCUCCGAUGUUUCUUAUGCAGUUCCACAGAAAUCGAAGCCAAUAUAUAGCGCUUAGCCAUUUUGUUAGCUUCGCACCAUUUCUCAUAAGGCUCCCUCUGAUUUCUAUAAUCAUAUAACGAUGGUUCAGGAGGACAAGGCUGGGUCAACACAUAUUUGCUUCCCUUAGCAGUGAGAAUAUUAAAUAGAUUGCGUUUCCAAUCUAAAUAAUUUUCGCCAGUGAGUUCAUUUUUAACAAGGAUAAUUCAUAAUGGGUUGAUGGAAGACAUUUUCUGAAAAAAAUAAAAUAAACAUGCAUAAAUACUUUGAAACAAUAUUCACAAUAAAUGACAAAAAUGCAAAAAACCAUAAAUGCAUUUUAAUUUAUUGUAACGAUAAUCUAGUACCGCUUUGACAAGCUAUCCGUUGGGGAAGUCAUGUCUACACUUACUAGACCCAAUUAUCCAUUAGGUUAUUUACUUUCAUGUAGAGACAUGAUAAAUAAUUAUCGUUAUCCCUUUGGGCCUAAAUUUGUUAACAGAGCUUCGUUGGGAAGGUUAAUAACAAACUUUAGUUGAGUGUAUAACCAUUGUUUCAAUCUACGUAUUUUUCAUAUCAAUAGUCACCGUUGGGGUGAACAAUCGAUUGAAAAAUAUUUCAAUUUUAUCUUUGAAGAAGUUCAUCAAAUAAAAUAUCUAAUAGAUAUACCCUCCGUAGGUAGCAUCACCGUAUCAUGAAGUCGAGGUAUAUAUAUAAUUUUAUUAUUGAACUAACAAUGGAGCCCGUGGGAAAAUUAUCUUGAAUUUUCCCUCUCCCACUCAAUAUUUUAAAAUUGGUUUUUCCUUUUUAAAACAUACAUAUUGUUAAUUGCAUGCUUCCUAUAAUAUUAUCUAGAUGAUAUCAAAUAUUAUUAAGCAUGCGUAAAUUUCAAACAAUAUAAUGAAAUUCAUAAUUAAUGAAUGACAUGUAUCAUUAUGCAUAGAGUGGCACUACCUAUUCUAUAUGACAUGUUAUCAUGGCAUGUUAUCAUCCAAAACAUAACAUAUAGAAAAACAAUUAAAUAAUCUUAAUUCAUGGCUUUCCUAAUAAUGAAAAAUACAUUAACCCUAUGCCUAAUCUUCAUUGGGCUUCUUGUCAAUGUCCAUCUUCCAUAAGCUUGUUAUUGUUAAUGGACUAGGGGAAAUUGGGCUUUUAAAUUUAUAAUUGGUCCAAUUUUAAUUUUGAAAGGAAAUUAAUUAAUUAAAUAAAUAAAUAAAUAAUUCUUUUUUUUUAUUAAAAUAAAACUUUUGGACCAAAAAUAAAUUUAAUGUAUUUAAUUUUGUCUAUGCAUUUUUUAAUCCAUUAAGCCCAAAUUUGAAUUGGGCCUAAAACUAGGAUUCUUUAAGCCCAAAACUGUUUUUAGACUUAAAUGCCAAAAAUUAAAACUUGACUGCCCAAAUAAAAAUUAUGGAACUAUAGGGAUCUCCAUGAUAAAAGCCAUGAAACCCUAAAUCCAUAUUUUUCUUUCCCCAGCCGCCAUCACCAUAAAAAACCAGCCGUUGUUUACUGUUUCCACACCGGACAGCCGUCAUCGACGCCGGAAAGACGCCAACCAGAACGCUCCGCGCCUUCAGCCCACGUUGACGCUGCUGCUCGCGCGCUGCAGUUGCUGCAUGUGCAGCGCGCGCUGCAGCUGCUGCGUGUGCAGCUCGCGCUGCUAGCAGCGAGGCUGCUGGCCGCUGCGCGUGCAGCGCGCGCUGCUGGCAGCAUGUGCUGCUGGCCGCGCGCUGCUGGCAGCAUGUGCUGCUGGCCGCGCGCUGCUGGCCGCUGCGCGUGCAGCGCGCGCUGCUCGCGCAGCAGCGUAUGAAGCCGGCCGCUCGCUGCUGCGUGCGCUGGUUCGUUGCUGCAGUUUCCAGCAAGUUUCCGCAAUUUUCCAGUGAUGAUUCUUCAUUGAUUUACAAAUUGUCAACACAAAUUUUGGCUUACAAAAUUUCAAUUACAUUAAAAUAAAUCAAGAGGGAAACAUGGUGAUAAUAAAUCACCCCUCUUGUUACAGAUCCAAACGUAAAAUACAAUAGAACAUCUAACCAUGAAUUAAGACAAACCAUAAACAUGCUUUAUUCAUAUAUUAAACAAAUAAUAUAUAUCUGAAUAAAAUGUGCCACUCUAAUACAUAAAUUUUAAGAAUGAUUUCAUACGAAAUUCUUAUUUAUUAGUAUGAGAUGGCUCUGAUACCAAUUGAUGGGGAAAAAUCAGGUUUUUAAAAUUUUUAUAAAACCUUUUGAAGAUCGCUCUCAUAUAAUAUAUAAGAAUUCGUAUUCUAGAAAUCGUAUCUUGAAAAUCCGAGUUGGCUUUUUCCGCUGAAGUGAUUUAGGCUCCUAGAUCACGAUCCACCACCACCACUCUUGUUAGAUCUCAGAGGAGUAUAUGGUUUAGAUUACAAAACACUUAUGGUCAAAUUCAUUUUUUUUUUUAAUCUCAGGGAGAAGAAGUGGUCAGUUUCAAUCCGGAAUUGGAAUAUGGCAAUUUGGUUCAAGCACACACACCCGGUCACUUGGUCAGUGAACCUGAGCUUUAUGCAGUUAGAUCACGAUCCGUCACCACCACGCUUGUUAGAUCACGAACUGUCACCAAUGAUCUUCCAGGUUAUGACUCAGGUUCGAUCUGCACUUGACGUGUGGGCGCCUUUAUCACUACCAAAGCAACUAGCACGAGAAAAUUUUUCUCUCAAUAAUGGAGAGAAAAAUCUUAUUCUCUGAUUUGUAUAAAGUGGCUUCUCUUUUUUCUUUAAGGAAAAAUAAGCCUUUUAUAUCACCCUUUAGUGAAAACCCUAGGCUCCAAAAAUUAAAAAACAAAACCCACGUUUAUUUGCUUUUUCAAUAGGGGACCCACCUUGUAAAAUAACAUAAGGCCCCUUAUACAAAAGCUAAUUAAAUGGAGCCUCCUAUUAAAUGAUAUAUUUAGGCUUUUGACCCAAAUAGCUAGUUAUCUUACUUAUUAGUCCAGUAGUUGUGCAGUCAAUUAAAUGAGCUAACCCGGGGAUCAUUUGGGAACAUACAAUAGUGGCUACAAUAAUUAGGCCUGUAAUUAAACUAGCCCAAUUAUUUAAUUUCAAAUCUACUCCACUAAAAGAUUGGAACUGACUUCCAUAAUUGUAUGCUCGAAUAAUAAUUCGUCCCAAGCCACAUUGAUUUCUUUACUGCACAAUCCUUUGUACCACAUCGUUAAUUAAAUUGAUAUCUCAACUGUCCAAUCAAUUUAAUAACAUCUUAUUCCUUGAUCCUUACUGGUUUUCUCUAAUGAUCAUUUUCAACAUACUAAAUAUGUUGACACACUCUGGCCAGAGAAUUCUAUGAUCAAGUACCGAAAACCUAUCAAGAGAUGUGUUGUACAAAUUCUAUAUUGUUAAUCCAUAACUCCAAUACUCAUAAUUGCUCCCACCAAGAUACCGGGUAAUCUUGACCACAAGGAUGUGUCGUGCCCAUUGGUAACUCAAAUGAAAUAACAAUCACAAUCAUGAAAUCAUAAUUAACUCAAGAUUAAGAUUACAGUAAAAUCAACGCUUGUGAGAUUUAAUAAGUCUGAUAGUUAUUACAAAGUUAAUUAAAUCUCAUAUGUGAUCUUGUUCAAUGUAGUCAUACUACAUCAAUAAAUUCAUACAUGAUUAAGACAAAUCAUUCAAUGAAUUUAUUACAGUCUAUACCUAAAUAAAGUGCCCAACUUUAUUUAUCAACUGCGAACUAAAUUUAUUUAAUCAUAAGAUAACUUGUAUUUAUGUCUUCUGUGAAUCCACAUGGUGAUCACAUAAAUACAUAUAAUAUGAUUAAAUGGACUUUAAUACAAAUAUUAAUGCAAUUAAGAUAUUUGAAUAAAAUACCUCAUUUAUUUUAUUAAUCAGAAAAAUUGUUUAUUAUAAUUAAAUAAACACAUAUGCUUUUAAAGAGCAUAUUUUUCCAACAGAUUUUUUGUCGGUGAUUACUACCACCUCGAUAAAAAAUUCAUGGAACUGGUCAUGCCGGCAGUAAAAGAAGGAAAGGUGGUACACGUGGAAGACAUAGAUGAAGGCCUCUGUAUACGUCGAAGACAUAGAUGAAGGCCUGGAGUCCAACAGCCCUCGCUGGGCUAUUCAUUGGUCGGAAUGUCACGAAACAACUGAUUGUAGUUGCUUGGGAAUUUAAAAACCACCAUAUGCUGUAGAAAUGCACAGAGCCAUGUACUUUCAAAGCUUUGUGAAGAUGUCUUGGCCAUGUGUUAGAACAGAUUAUUUUUGUUCGAUUAAAUUGUACGCAGUUAUAAAUCAAAGAUUCAGAACAUUGCAUGUCUUGGCCAUGCGUGCUAAAGACUUGCUGUUUCCAUUUAGUAUGCAGUUACACAGACAAAGGCCUUAAUUAUUGUCAAGUUCUCCAGUAGCAUACUCCUAAAUCCACAUACCAACCCACCAGAACUCCAAUCUUGAAACUCCAUAUAUCAAACUUGAUGUGCCUGCCUCUCUGGUACCUCUCAAGGUCCAUUUUACUACUUUCCAUGUCUUUCCAUGCAUCUACUGACAACUUGGGAAAUGCCAGGUCUUGCAAGCACCACUACUUACAUUUGAGUCUGCUAUUAUUAUUGUUAUUAUUAUUAUUUUCGCAAAAAAAACACUCUAACUAGGAGAGACAAGUUCCCUGCAAACGUUAUGUUUUUAAUCAUUUUUGUACCAAAGUACUUAAGUAUGCGAUAAAAAAAAAAAAAAAAAAAUUAUUGACAACUAAAAGUUAAUAGUGGGUGGGUGGACCUGGGUUUUGUUUAAAAAAAUUGGUUAAUAAAAUUUUCGAAUUUUCAAAUUUGUAGUACAGAGAAAAUUGAUGAAUAAAGUUCUGCGGGUUAAUUUCUAAUAUGCCAUGAAAAUAUUAUCAAGUUAAAUUGUAACAUCGUUAAUCACUUAAUCCUCAGUCUAAUAUGUCAUAUAUUUGUUACUCUGGCUUUAAUGGAAAGCGUCAGUGAUUUAUUGUUAUUUUCACUAAUCAAAUAGGUAUGUUAAGGCUAUUUAAUUUAUCGACAAUGUACCAACAAGACUCAGAUUGGGAGAUUGUAAAUGUAAUUAACAAUAAUCUUUUAUCCAUUUUGAAGUUCAUUCUAUUGUUUACUCAGGAGAAGCGUUCUCUUAUAUUUUAUGGAUAUAAUGUUUGGUAAUCCUAAUUUAAGCUAAGGUAUAUACAUUUCCUAGUUAUAUCUAAUUUAAGCUUAUUCAAAUGCAAUCAAUUAAUAUUCAAUAAUAAAAUUCCAAAUACUAUAUAUUGUAAGAAUUUUAAUCGUAGUGACAAGGUGAUCAUUUGAAUUAUUAUUAUUAAAUUAUAUGUAUGGUGGAGUCCACACGGUUUUGACUAGAAAUCAAAGAGUUAAGAGACAAUAUUAAUUUAUUUAAGUUAAUAGUAUUUGUUCUGUUUAGUACGUCUUUUGACCAUCAAGCAUCCUGGCAUUGCACGCAUUAAUUAAUAAAGAAUUGUGCAUGUCACGUUAUUAGUUGAUAUAUGCUUGAAAUCAUAUUCUGUUUUAUAUGCCGAAUCAUAUUAUAAGAUGGUGAUAUUAGCAUGUUUCUUUUUCUUUGUGCUGUUUCUCGUUUGAUUACAUUUUCAACAACAAGUCGAUCUGUUGAAGAACAAGUUUGGGUUUGAUGAUGCUUUUAACUAUAAGGAAGAGCCAGACUUGGAUGCAGCUCUCAAUAGGUUGGCACGAAUGAAUCCUUUCACCAUUUUUCUCACUUCAUUAUUACAGUGCGCUUUGAAGUUAUCUGUGUUGGUCCUGAAAAUGUAACAGGACAAACAGAGAUCACUGAUUUCAUUUGUUCCAUUGAUAUUUCUACCAUUGCCAUACACAGUAUAAACUAGGAAUACAUCUGCUUAAUUGAUAUUCAUUUCAGAAGGAAAUUUUCACUUGCAGCUAACAGAACCAUGUUUGUGAUUUAUGUUUAUUUGGGAAAUGAAAGAUUUGCUGCAUUAUUUUAUUCCAAGUUUGCUGAAAUCCUAUUUGUUUCCCCAGGUGCUUUUCUGAAGAUAUCGACAUCUAUUUCGAAAAUGUCGGGGGUUAAUGUGCUUAAUACAGUGCUACUCAAUAUGAGCAUUCAUGGCCGCAUUGCUGCAUGCGGAAUGAUCUCACAGACUCACGAUAUCUGAUGUUCUUUUCUGUUUUAGCAUUUGUAGAAUCUGCUAUAUUAUAUGUUGGCAGUUAGGGUACCAAGGUACCUUUUGCGAGUUACACUAUCAAGGUAUCUUUUGCAGUUAACUUGCCUUUAUUUGUUUUGCUUUUGACUUAAGAACAGCAACCUUUUGACCUUUGUUGUUAAGGUUAACCCUGCAGGCUUGUUCGAUGCUGUAUCAACUCCAAAAUCCAACCAGAUCGACAUCUAUUUAAAAAAUUCUGGGGGUAAGAUGCUUGAUGCAGUGCUACUCAACAUAAGGAUUCACGGCCGCUGCUGUAUGCUGAAAGAUCUCACAGUACAACCGUGAGAAGCCUGAAGGUGUACGCAACUUGAUACAACUGGUCGUAGUUGCUAGGGAAAGAUAUAAGGUGUACUCAACUUGAUAUGCUGUAAAAGUGCACUAUUCCAUGUACUUUUAAAGCUUUUUGAAGAUGUCUUGGCCAUGUGUUUGAUUAGAUUGUACUCAGAUAUAAAUCAAAGAUUCAGAACAUGUGUAUGUUACUGUUUUUCAGAAUCCAGAACAAUAAAUACCUUGAAAUGUUUUUGGUCAAUGAUUUUGCAGAAGACCAGCUUCCUUGUUAAUGAAUCAAGAUGGCUGAAUCCUUCUCUAAGCCAAAUCUGUUUUCACUUUUAGGUUAGAAAUUGUCAUUAAAAAGUGUUUGAUAAAAUAUGCUCUGGGAACGCUAUUCGUCAGAUGGUUACUCCAAGUUUAUGAAAUCAAUGAUAUUUCAUCAUAUUCAUAACACUCUGCUUUAAUGUCUAUUCUAAGAAAGAAAUCAUAUACAGAGAAUAGGUUACGUUAGAACUUUUGCUAGAAAAAAGUGACAAGAAUUCAUCACGCUUAUAUCUUAAGUAAGUGUAAAAUCUUAUCAUUAAAAUCCCAUCAUGAAAAACUCAUGGGAGAAAAACUAUAAAAAUAAAAAGAAAAAAGAGGGUGGCGUGCAUGUAAAUUAUAUCGAUUCAAUCAAUAUGACAAAUAAGACUCUCUUUUACAAUGGCACGGAUGCUUCAUUGAGUAAUCGUGAAUUCGUGAUUGUUGCUGCUACUGCUUUGUUGAAUCAAUCUGCUAGCUAUUCAGCUUUCUUUCUUUCUUUCUUCUUUUUAUUUUUUUUUAUAAAUAGCUUGUGGUUGUGAAAAUAAUUUGAAUUAAACUAUGCUUAAAUGCUUGUUUGGUACAACUUCUUUACUAGUCAAAAGAAUUUUUUUUUAAUCAUUUAAUUGUACCUUGAGUAGAGUUUUUAGGGAUUAAAUAGGAAAUAUUUUGUCUCUAUUAAGAAGAAAACUCAAAAGGUAGGACUAUUUGAACUCACCAAAUUACUCAUUAAAAAUCUACUGGUGAAAAUAUUUUUUAAUUAUUAAAAUACCACUAAAUUAAAUUACAAUUAUGGACACUAAAACAUAAUAAACAGAAUUUUUUUUUAUUUUUUUACUCUUUAAAACUGUCUUUACAUUCAAUGUUAUAUUUUUUUUCUUAAACUCUAAAUUGAUAUUUUUUUCAUUUUUGAUUAAUUUUAGAACACGUAUAAAGUGAUUCAUACUGGAGAUGAAAGCUGUGAAUUAAACAUCAGAAAAAAUUAUGUUUACUAUCUUACCAGACCAAGCACCGAAAAGCAUGGUAAAGAAAAAUUACAUAAUUCUGACUUAGAAGAGGGGGAAAAAAAGAAAAGAAAUACAAUUAGAAUAAGAGAUAAAAGAUAAAGCACGUGGAAUGGAGGCAGAAAACAAGUAAUGAUAACUCUUUCGACAAAACUAAUAUAUAUCAAAAUGCAAUAUCGGCCCUAACAAAAAACGAAAAUAAAAAUUCAUUACGAAUACAUGUUAAAGAUAUCCCAAGUAUUAAUGUGAUUGAAAUAUUUGAGAUUGAAGUAGAAAUAAUUAAAUAAGACUCAAGAUCAGUCGAGAGGAAUAAAUGAGAAACCUAAUACUAAUAAAAUAUAUUCACAAAUCCCGAUGCUAAUUAAAAUCACGGAUAAAAAACAUAACAUGAAUGAAUUACAGGGGCAACUAUUUCAUUAAGAAAUUAAUAAAAUCGUGUAUUAGUAUUUUGUACAUAUAUAUAUAUAUUUGAUACAUAACUUUCGGUAAUUUAGUUUUCCACUUAUCAUUUUUACUCCAAAAAACGAGUGAGAAUAUUAUUUAUGUUUUGGUGUAAAAUAUUUGAACAACAUACAAAUUUUCAGUUUAAUAAAGCUAAGCAUUGAUUAAGUUAUAAAUGAAUUUAAUGGGUUUAACUAGUAAAAAUACUAGUAUUUUAUAAAUUGGGUUUAGUAAUGGUAUAUUGGGGAUUUAGAUUGAGUAAAUUUUAAAAUUUUAAAAUUAAAGGGUGGGUUUAUUUAGUAAAUGAGUUAAGGGA